UCGUUUUCUUUUACCAUUUAAAACUCAUUUAUUUGUCAUUUUUACUUUUCAUUUUUUUGUUUUGUUUAUUAUUAUGUCAUUUUUUUUAUUUUUCUUUGAAAAAAAAAAAAAAGAAAAAAAACAACAAAGAAAGGGGAGUCACUCACGUGACCCUUCCCUCUUUUCUUUCCUCCUUUCUUUUAUUUUAUUAUUAUUAUUAUUAUUAUCUUUUAUUUGUUAAACUUUGUCUCCAAGUUUUCAGCAGGGGCAUUUUUGGUAUUAGUUCUGUGCCUGAGCCAACCCUAGUUUGUCUCUAUAAAUACACUGUCAAUCAUUGAGAAAUGGGUCCGAAAAUCACUGUUCAUGUCAGAAAAAAUCAGCAUCAAUUCACAAACCCUAAUUUUCUACUUUUCCAACCCUUUUUCAAAUCAAGCACAAAAAUUACAAAAAAAAUAGCAUGAGCUUAAGAAGAACAUUCAUGGGUUCAUAGGAGAAAUCCAGCAACACCAAAACUUUGACAAAACCUCAAAUCCAUUCAUAUAACCACACAAAUCACAAACAAGCAUAAACAAGCCAAAACCGAACCGAAGCAAUCAAAACCGGACCGGACCGGAGAAAAGAGCGCGCGAACCGCACCGGAAAGGAAGAAGAGGAGGCCGAACCGGAGCAAGGGGAGAAAAACGUGAAGCUCUCCAUUAGAGGUAACUUUUGAUCCUUUCCACCUCUUGUGUAGUGUUGCUAGUGUUUUUGGUUAUUUUGUAUGAAGUUUUGUUUGAAGCUAAGAUUGUAGAUCUAGGAUUUUUGGUGCAUGUUUUCGAAAUUAUGAGUUUAGAUUUGAGUAGAGGAAGGGAAGAGGAUUGUUUUGGUGCAAAAAUUUUCAAAAAAAAAGCAAAAAAAAACUCCGGCGCGGCGGCGCUCCGGCCGACCACCACGCCGGAGCAGCUCCGGCCGCCCCUCCCCCACCUUCUUCUCCGGCGAGCUUUGUAGAGAGAAGGGGGAGCUUCUCUCUCUAGGUUUUUUUUAGAAAGAGGAAUUGUGUGAUUUGUGUUGUGUUUUUUUUGUUAAAACCCUUUUAUAGUGCUUUCUUUUUUUGGUUUGGUCUUGUGCACAUGCGCAUACUGCAAUUCAGUGCUCCAUCGCGUUACAGCCCUUGGAUCUGGAUCAUUCCUUGAUCUGAGGGCUCCUGUGUAUCUUGAUCUUGGAUCAUGUGUGUGUUAUUCUGCGUGAAUGUAGUGUAGUUUCUGUUUGGACCGUCAGAUCGUUGAUCUGACGGUCACUGUGUUUUCAGUAUAAUCCCUUUGUUUCUAUGUUGUUUUUGUGACCCUUGGAUCGUUGGAUCCAAUGGCUGUGAUGAGAUCUUGGGAUUCAGAUCUGGACCUCUGGAUUCAUCCAACGGUCCAGAUUAAAUCCUGCUGAGCCAAUUUUGUAUUUUCUUUUUUUUUAAUUGUUCUUUAUCAUUUUUAAAGACUUUUUACACUUUUUUUUUACAUUUUAAUGCUUUUAAAAAUUCCAAAAAUAUUGUUCUUAUCAUCUUAAUUUUCUCUAAUUUUAAGAAUCCCUCCUAUUUGUUUUCUUUUAAAAUUUUUUUAUUUAUUUCUUAUAUGAUGAUUUUAAUUGUUGCUUGUCUUUAUUCCUUGCUUUUUAUUUCUUAUGUCUCAUUCACCAUGAUAUUUCUUAUGUUACUAACGAUUUAAUUUUUGUCUUGAAUCAUAACAUGUACAUUUAAUUUUCUCAUCAUUUUAUUUCGUCAUUGACUUAGUGUGUAUAAAUAAGGAAUUGAUGUAAUUUUAUUUCUUGCAUUUUAUUUUGGCAUAAAGGCCUUAGGGUUGUAUUUAGGAAUUGAUGUAAUAAUGUAGGUAACACAAGCACCGACACACGCACCGACACCAUCACGAUUUAUUUACCGCUUUCCGUUCGCUUUUACGACGUUACGUUAGUUUUCACCGUUAGUUUAGAAAAAUCAUUUUUCUCAAAAAAAAUCAAAUAUGCAAAACUUCAAAAUCAUUUUCUUAAUAAUUUUUUUUUUUCUUUUAUUUCUUAAUCAAACUUUCAAUUAACCUCACUCAUUUCUUUUAUCUCAUGCCUUGAGGCCUCUUUCUCUUCUUAAAACCAUUUUCAAAAAUCUUAAAACCAACCUAACCCACCAAAGAAAUUUUUUAGUGGAACUACGUCGGUUUUGAUCCCUUUCUCAAAAAAAGGGGUACGUAGGCAGAGGACUUGUCCUUCCAAAUCAAAUAAAAAUAACCAAAAACAUACUUCUUCUCCCUCCAUUCUUUCACUUAGAUUUUAGGUAAUAAUUUUUCAAGUAAGCAAAUGAAUUUAGCACAAGAUAAUCUAGGUAAGCGGUUCCUUCGGAAUACCGAAGUCGUUUAGGGUGCUUAACACCUUCCCUAUUCGAAACCAACCCCCGAAUCCAAAGUCUCGAAAAGGGUUUUUACUCAUUUUUUCCCUUCCCAAGAAUAAAGAUCGAGAGUUCAAAGAUUGACGAUUCAAAUCAAUCGAUGGUUUGAUAUCCGAAAAUCGAGGAGCACAAACUUGUUUACUUAGAUUUUUUUUCUUGAACAAACAAAAAUGGAUUAUAUUAACAUUAAUAAAACAGUCUCCUUAGACAUACCGAAGAGAGAAAUCACGAACAAGUUAGCCGAUACACAAACAUAUAAGGGGACUCGACCACAACAUAUGAGUACCAAAAACAAAAUUAGCCUUUUUAGUCUUCAUCCAUCGUAGAGAGUAUGACUUUAUUUUAUCUAGUAGAACUUUCUUAUUCUUAAAUAACAUGCUAUUACGUUCAUUUCACACAACCCAAACAUUUCACACAACCCAAACACACAUAAGCCAUAUAAGUUGUAGGAAAGAACGCCGCGACCAACUAUGUAGUAAAUAAAUUGAGUGAAAUGAUCUGAAAUAACUUAAAUGUCCGCCACAUCAAAGCCAAUCCACGCCCACACCAACGGCCAAAGAGAGUUGAAGGUUCUGCACGUUAGGAACAGGUGCUGAGAGCCCUAAACAUGACCACAACCAGCCACACACCAUCAAAGCCAAUCCACUUGUUUAUUUAAGAAAGAUGAUCAAAUUCAAUGGUUUAUUUUUGGUUUCUAGAAAGGAAGGUGUGAUUUGUUAUUUAUAAUGGAAAGUUGAAUACACCAACAAUGAAGUGAUAAAUAAAUUUGGGUUCCUUAAACAAGUGUUGAGAGGAUUUGAUCACCGACUCUUGCGUAUCGACAAAAAAUAAUUAUUUGUAAGCGGCAGUCGAAACUUCGUACUUAUAAUAUGGUAAAAAAAAUUGAAAAUUGGAAUAGAAAUAACUUAGGCUUAAUACAUGCUUUGGUCCCUUAACUUGUUUUUGGUUUUCAUUUUGAUCCCCUAAUUAUAAAGUGUUUCAAUUUGAUCCCAUAACUCUUUUACCGUUUACUAUUUUGGUCCUUUUCGUUAGUUUUUUUCAAAAAUCGUAACCCAUUAUCCACGUAUCACUUAAGAUGGAUGAUCAAGGGUUGGAUUUAGAAAGCGCACAUAUAUACAACGAACUCACAACAUAUGAUUAUUUCUAUUAAAUUACCUAAAAAUAAAAAUUAAAAUAGAAAUAAAAAAAUAUAAAAAAAUUCUCUUCUCUCCUAUCUGUUCCUUUCGUCCUCUUCAUUCUUUUUUCUUUCAAAAUAGGAACAUAUUUGUGUGUUCUUUAUCCAUAGUUCCUGCAACUCAAAAUUCAACACAUACCCAUUUUAAUCCAUCCACAAAUUCAUACCCAUUUUAAAUUCAGAUCUACAAUUCAUUAAGAAGAAAAAAAACCCAGAUCAUCAAUCCGAUCCGAGUUCGAAGAUGAAGGAGAUCGCUUUUCAUUUUUAGAAAAAAAAAAUCCACCGCUGCAAUUCCUUACAUGAGCUUGAGAGUCUUUGAUUUGUAUGUCUGUUUGAUGAAAGGGUUGUUGAGUGGAAUGUGGAUGAUCUAUUUUGUUAUGAAUGAUUUUAGAAAAUGAUUUCCUUUGGGUUUAACAAAGAUGAAUGAGAAAGAUGAGAAGGAGAAGAAAUUUCGGUUGCUGGGAAUCAUCCUUGCAUGCCUGUUCGUUUUUCUCUUUCCUUUUUAUUUUUAAAUUCAAGAAAUUCACAUAUGGCUUUUUUUGUUCUGCAAAUUGAAUGUUUUGAUUUUGUUUUUGCAAUCUUUUUUUAAAUUUGAUGUGUGUUGGGGUUUCUGGAAAAUAGCUGCGCUCCUGAUUUUCGGAUAUCAAACCAUUAAUUGAUUUGAAUCUUCAAUCUUUGAAUUCUCGAUUUUUAUUCGUGGGAAGGGAAAAAAAUGAGUAAAAACCCUUAUCGAGACUUUGGAUUCGGGGGUUGGUUAUGCGAAGGGAAGGUGCUAGCACCCUAAGCGUCUACGGUAUUCCAUAGGAACCUCUUACCUAAUUUAUCUUGUGCUAAAUUGAUUUGCUUAUUUGAAAAUUAUUACCUAAAAGUCUAAGUGAAAGAAUGGAGGGAGAAGAAGUAUGUUUUUGGUUAUUUUUAUUUGAUUUGGAAGGAUAAAAAUCCUAUGCAUACAUACCCUUAAAGAAAAGGGAUCAAAACCAAUGUAGUUCACCUAAAAAGUUUCUUUUUGGUGGGUUAGGUUGAUUUUAAGAUUUUUGAAAAUGAGUUUUAAGAAGAGAAAGAGGCCUCCAGGUGAGAUAAAGGAAACAAGUGAGGUUGAUUGAUUUUAGAGUUUAAAAAUGGUUGAAGUUGAAUUAAGAUUGAUUGAGAAUUUGAUUAAGAAAAUAAAGAGAAAAUGUUGUUAAGAAAAUGAUUUUUGAAUUUGACAUGUUUAGGUUUUUUGAUAAAAAAGUUUUUUUUUAAACUAACGGUAAGCUAACGUAACGACGUACAAGAAAUAAAUGUGAAGUGUCGGUGCAUGUGUCGGUGCUUGUGUUACCUACAUUAUUACAUCAAUUCCUAAAUACAACCCUAAGGCCUUUAUGCCGAAAUAAAAUGCAAGAAAUAAAACUUACAUCAAUUUUCUAUUUAUACACACUAAGUCAAUGACAAAAUAAAAUGAUGAGAAAAUUAAAUUUGCAUGCUAUGAUUCAAAACAAAGAUUAAAUCGUUAGUAAGCAUAAGGAAAAUUGUGAUGAAUGAGUCAUAAGAAGUAAUAAGCAAAAAAUUAAGAAUAGACAUGUGAAAAUAACAAGUAACAAUUAAAAUUAUCAUAUAAAGACACAAUUGAAAGCAAGUGAAGAAAUGAGCAAAAAAUUAAAAGAAACGAGUAGGAUGAAUUUUUUUGAGAAUUAGAGAAAACUAAGAUGAUAAGAACAAUAUUUUUUGGAAUUUUUUUUUAUUUGAAUGUUUUUGUUAUUUUGAAUGAUAUAUAAAACUAACGUAGCAAUGAAAUAAAAGUAUGAGAAUUUUGUAGUUAGAGAAUUUUGUAGUGACGUUGGAUCACCACCAAAUCUUUUUUUUUUCUUUUUUUGUAUUUUUUUAUAACAUAAAGCAAAACAAAAAUAAAAUAAAAUACCUUGAAACCGAAAGGGACAGAAAGGAGUAGAAAAAGAAGAAAGACUCGUCAACACAAGUCAAAAGAGGGAGAAGAGAAGAAAAGCACAGGAAGCAUCAAUUGUGUAUUUCGGUGUGUUGAAUGCAUUGUGUGAGCCCUCUAUUUAUAGAGAAACUUCCGAACUAAUAGGUGAGAAACUUUGGAAACAAGUAAUUCAUCUAGUACAAAAAUAUGCCAAUUGUCUACCAAAAUAUAUCAUAUUGAGUACAAAAAUAUAUUAUUCAAGUACAUAAAUAUAUAUUAUUGAGUAUCAAAAUAUAUUUCAGAUCAAGCACUAAAAUAUAUUAGAUUGCCUACCAAAAUAUAUCAUAUUGAGUACAAAAAUAUAUUAUUCAGUACAUAAAUAUGUUAUUUAGUACAUAAAUAUAUAUUAUUGAGUAUCAAAAUAUAUUUCAGAUCAAGCACUAAAAUAUAUUAGAUUACCUACCAAAAUAUUUUAGAUUGUGUUCCAAAAUAUUCUAGAUUGCGAUCUAAAAUAAUUUAGCAAAACUUGGGGACAAGAAAGCACUUUUUAAUAAUGACCAAAUUAAUUAUUUAAUUUAUCAUUUGCAAAUAAAAUUUUUCUAGCGCUUACUUCGUUCACACAAUUAUGUACCCCCAUUGUAUAAUCUUAGGUCAAAAAUUGGGGUAUCUCUGCCGAAAUUUCGUCUAAAACGACGGACAUUUUCGAUUUUAAAAGUACGAACGAAAUGUGUAAAAAUAGAGAAAAGUGGUCAAAAUUUGGGGUAUGACAAUAGCUAUGGAAUUUUAUAAUUUUAUGGAUUUUUAUUUAAGAUGAAGAUGAAUAAAGAUGCAGGUGAAGAAGAUUGAUAGGGGAAGAAGAUGAAGAAAAUAAUUAGGUGGUUGUUGUUCAUUAUAAGCUACAAUAGAUUCCUCCGUGAUCCAACAAUCUUCAUUUUUAAAAAAGAUCAAACGGUUAAAAUUAAAAAAUUUAAUAAAAUCUAUGGUAGAUCCUUAUAAGUUGGUUCACCUUAGACAUUUAAGGUUAAAAAAUAACAGAGGAGACCACAAUUGUAAACGGUAGAAGAGUUAUAGGACUAAAUUGAGACACUUUAUAAUUAUAAUUAGGGGAUCAAAAUGAAAACAAAAAAUAAGUUAAAGGACCAAAGCAUGUAUUAAGCCAAUAAUUUAACUUUUUUGCUAAAAAUUUUUGGACAAAAUAUCAUGUACUAUAAUGGAAAAAUAAAUAGCCAAUCUAAUUGAGAUGUUGGUGUUUCCUUCUAAUGUCUAUCCUUACUCGCUGCUUAGCCAAAAAAAUGGAAAAAUAAAUAUAAAUAAUUUGACUUUUGCUACUAACUUUUUUUGACCAAAACCAAUUACAUUUAUUACAAUACCACACAUGUGUUGUAAUUUAAAAAUCAUAUCUAGAAACAACUAUAAUGCUUGACCAAAAAAAAAGGAAUUUAAAAUGCUAUAAGUGUCCAAUCACUGAUUUGGUAAAGUGUUCAUAAAAUGUUUAUUAUAGAUGCACACAGCGAAGGGAAGUUCAUGAAACCUUGUCAUGUAUAUCUCAAAUAAAUAAAAAUAUUAACUAAAUUAAUAGAAAAAUAAUAUUUAUUAUAAUUUAUUUUUCUUAUGGCCAAUUGUUAGUAGUUAGUUUUUACAUUAACAUAUAUCACACGAGUUUGAACUUUGAACCUCUAACUCCUUAACCCUUAAUUCAAAUAAGUUGAGAUACCUAUUCCCUAUCAUUUACGUUCCACACUCCGUUUCAUUUUGAUGAGAUAUUGGUUUUUACACAUGGAUGAAAAUUAAUAAAUUUGAAUUUUAAUAAACUCGAAAUAAAACUGAAUUUAUUCAAAUGAACUCGAUAAACUCUCAAAAGAAACUAUCAAAAGUUUUUUUUUUCAUCUCAUUUUCCACAUUUGGUUCAUUUUCUUCUUUGUUAGAUUGAACUUUUAAAAGAAUUAUUGAUGUAUUAAUAAUAUAUAUACAAUAUGAUGUAAAUUUGGACUAUUCUCCGAAUAGAGUUUAGAAAUCAAUUUCACAUACCUAUUUGAAAUGUAAUUUUUUUUUUAAAUUACUAGAUACAUUUAUUAUUAUUUUUUUCUAAACAUAUUUCUAAUUAAUACUAUUAACUUGUCUUGAAAUAUAAAAAGUCAAAUUUAAUACACAUAUAAAUAAAUGACAAUUUAACAUUAAAACACAAAAUAGACACAUUAAUUACACUACCAACUUUUCAUAAGAAAUGUGAAAAAAGCAAAGGGGGCUUACAUCUACCUCCGUCCAAAAUUAUAAAUCGCUUUGGAGAAAAAAUUCAUAAAUUAUAAGUCGCUUUACAAUAGCAAUAAAACAUUAAUGUUACUUUUACAAUAACACACCUUUAACUAUUUAUAAAUUUCUUUUCUUUCAAUCCUUUAAUGAUGAAUGCUAACAACACACAUUUUUCGACACACUCUCUUUGAUCGGUUAAAAUUCGCAUGGGUCCCACCAAAUUAUGUGGGACCUAUAUAAAUUUGGUGGAUCCCAUGUGAAUUUUAAUCAAUCAAAGAGAGUGUGUUGAAAAGUGUGUGUUGCUAGCAUUUCUCAUUCUUUAAUUUAUUUUUCCCAUAACAUUAAUUAAGGAAUAUUUUAUAAAACAAGUUAUAAUAUAUAUUUCUCAUACAAAAUUAAUUACAUUUCUUUAUACAUGUGAAAUGCUUUAAGCUCAUGUAAUUUAGAACGGAGGGAGUACAAUUUUGACAACUUUAAUUAUCAUCAAUAAUGUAUGAGAAGUCUUUGUAUUGUAAUACAUUAAAUUUUCGUCAAAUAGUCAAAAUAUUUAUCGCAAACAUUUAAAUUUUCUAAUAGGAAAAUGCUAACUAGUGUCUCAAGGGCAUUGGUUAAGCAUCCAAAACAAGUAAGUUUACAUGAAAAAGUUGUGUAAUCAUUGAAUGAUAAAAAAUAACAUGUUAUAUUUCUAAGAUAAAUUUUUUACUUAGAGAUUCCUUAACCAUUGUGCUGAGGACAAUGGUUAGCAAGAACAUGUCUAAUAUAAUUGCAAAAUAAUACAUAAGAGCAUUACCACACUAGUUAUUAUAAGAGUAGUGAUAUUUAAACAAUCAUUUGGAACAACUUAUGUGACAACUUCUUUUUUCUCUCUUUUCAUUGGUCAAAAUCAAUGGAAAGAGAAAAAGGAAGAGAGAGAAUAAAAAUAUAAUGUGAAUAUGAGAGAGAAAGUUAUCAAAAAGUUGUACUAAAGUGAUUGUACAAAUAUCAUUUCUCUUAUUAUAAAUACAAGGUAGGAGAUGGUUUCAGUUUCAGUGCACAUCACCAACAAGAACAAAGAGUGAAAUUACUCUCCUCACACAAUUUUGAUUUUUGGUUCAUCUAUAGUUGGCAUUUUUUGACUCAUUGUAACAUUUUCCAACUCCAAAUUCCCAAAGGUAAACUCCAAAAAUCUAAAUCAAAACGUAAACUCAUUGUUACAUUUUGCUUGGUUUUACUCAAAAAAAAAAAAAAAAAAACCAUAUGCUUGGUUUUUUGGGAUUAUAGAACAUGCAUGUACCAUAGUCCAAGACCAUGAUGCUUGUAUUCAAUUUAUAAUUCUUUCAUACCAUUUUUUUCUUCUUAUAUGUGACAACUAAAACUAUAGACAAUUAUUGGAUUUUUGAAAAUUAGAUUCAAACAUGGAUGCAUCAACAUGUCCAACUGCUGAUGCAAUCAGAGCUUUCCUUGAAUACUUGGUAGAUCCAUUGCUGCAAGAAGAUCAUUCUACCAAUGAUGAUCUUCCACUAUCACAACAUGAAAAAGUUGCAAACCAGGUUUGUUUUUUUCAUUCACCUUGCAACUUUAUUUUAAUGGCAAUCCAAACAUUAACUAAUACUUCUUGGUGACUAUUUGGACAUGAUUUUUGUUACGCCUUUUUAAACAAAAUUAUUUUAAAUUUCAUUAAUUAACAUUUAAUGGAAGUCGAUUUAAACUUGAGGUGAUUGCUCAGUUGUACGAGCUUAGCCUUGUUACCUCCAGGUAAAGAGGUAAAGAGUUCAAAAUCCCCUCAAAGACGGUUAUGAAUUGGUCAUUAGUGCCAAUAUUUUAAAAAAUGUUCUCAUUUGAUUUUAAAAUUGAAAGAUUAGUUAACAUGAAAUUGAAGUUCUUAUUUGAUUUUAAUAUCUAAUUGAAGUUCAUGAUUUUAACAUCUACUUAAGGUUCCUAUUAGAUAUGGCAAUCCAAAGAUUAAUUAACAUCUAAUUGAAGUUCCUAUUUGAUUUAAAAGUUGAAGAUCCACAAGUAUUUAAUUAUAUGAUUAUGGUGUAGGUGCAUGCAGUCGUGUUAUUGAACAACUACUACCACAUAAAACUGAAUCAAGAGCUAGCAUUUUUGCCAUAUAGGGAAUUUUGCAAGAUCAUUGUGGAUCUGAGACCACCACUGUCAGCAUAUAUGAAAUUCAUGUUGCAGCCUGAUUAUGCUGAGCUCGUUGACGUGGAACAGAAACUUUCAUUAACUGAAAAGGCGAUCAUGAGUUCCCAUGAUAUAUGUUUAUCUUUAGAUGCAUCGAAACAUGUUCCUAAUAUUGAGGGUUGGCCCAUUUCAAAAGUUGCGGUCCUUUUGGUUGAUAGUAAGAAGGAAAACUGCUUCUUGCGUUUUAAUUCCUUCACUGAUGGAGUAUGGUCAUUGAUUGAAAAAGAUGUUGAUACUUCAUAUCAAAUUGCUGAAGUUACAAGUGAGAUCAAAUCUCCAUACAAAAGAAGAGGAGUAAUUAUGAAGCGUUCGAAAGUCAUAUUAAAUGAAGAUCAACUCUUGCAAGUUGGAUAUUCUGCUGUUAAGGAAGCUGCAAGUAAUUAUCUUUCUUUUACAUAAAUAUUGCAUUAGAGCACUCAUAGUGUACACUUUUUUUAUGUUUUCUAUAUAUCUUGAGGUUCAUAUCAGGACAUGCUUUGUUUUUCGUUAUUUUCUGUAUAGUAAAGACUUUUAACAUGCAUUUUUUGACUCAUAAAAGUCGAAUAUGAUUCUUAUAUAGCGAUUUCAUAUUUCCCUUGUGAAUAGGUGUCAAUAGUAUUGAUAUGAUGCUUUUGGGAAGUUACAAUGUGUAUUCCCAGAGCAAAGAGAGGACAGCUUCUCGCUUUUAUAUAAUGAAGUGCUCACAGUCGAUCGUUGAAGGGUUUACUAAAGUUCCUAUCAAAGAUUUAAUUGAAAGGUUCGUUACAAUCAAUAUGGCUUUUCUAUAACAAAAUUUUUGUGUGUUUCUCUAUAACAUUUGAUAUCUCAUCUUUGUAUAGCUUUCGAGGUCCUUUGGUCAAAAGAAGUUCUAGCAGUUGGAAGACCACCCCAGUUGUCAAGUACUUCCACAUGCUUCCUUAUUCUGAAAUAAUCUCAGAAUGGAUUUCUAGGUUGGUAUAAUUCACAUUUCCCAUUUUCUGAUGCUAAAUUCAUAUUGAUUUACAGUAAUGAAUAUUGACCUCACAAUUAGAAGCCUCGUAAACAUUGCAUAAGUUUGAUUAAAUUAUUUCUCAUUUCCAUCUUACGUUUUCGUUUCACCUUUUCCAUAAAAUAAUGAUUGAUAUUUGCAUAAAAUAUCUUUGCAGAGAAGCUUUCUCAAAUAGUUUGCAAGAUUUAAACGUGGCAGAGAAACAAUUCUCAAAGGUUAAAGUGAGAGAAUCACAUGUAAGUAGUAAGGGCUUGUAUAUUGAUAACAAGUUGUGCAGAUAUUUUAUACAAUGUUUUUCAAGGCCAUAUUUCACCCAACUACAUGCCAUUGGAUAUAUUGGCAGGUUGAGAAGGUUUGUUCAACAAGGAUGCACAUCAGUAAGGAUGGAAUCAAGGAUCAACCGGCUUCAGAUACCAUUUCUAAAAAUGAAUUUGAAGGAUGUGCAAGUAAUGUCACCAGGAAAAACAAAAAAGAUCGAAAGCAAAUAGGAUCCCAUGAUACAAAUCAAGAGGGACCUAAUACAAGAGACAAAAAUGGUCCAAUAAAGGUGGGUACAAAUUCUAGUGAUACACCAAAUCAAAGGCCUAAGAGAUUGAUCAAGAGACCUAGCAGAUUCAAUACUUAAAUGUAUCUCUAUAAGCAUUCAAGGAAGAGGGUAAAUCCAUGAGCUGAUACAAAUAUCUCUAGUACCAUUAGUACCUGAAAAAGGAUAAGAAUAAAAAUAGUUAGCAAUUUUCUUUUAUAUUUUUAAUCAAUGGGAUGAAGACAAUUAGUGUCUCAAUAUCCUAUAUCCUAGGAAGAAUUGUAUCGUCUCUAGCAUUAUAUGAAUCGUGUUUGCGUUUGGACUUGAUCAUAUUUUUGUUUCUUGCUUUAUCUUUCUAGUUUUGGUUUUACCAUGUUAACUUGGAAAUUUCUAGUUUCCUUGUUUUCCUAGAAUUAAAUAAAUGUGUGGUUCAUAAUUUCUCUACAUGGCUUGAAUUGGACUACGCACACACGACGACAGUGUCUGCAUUCAUAAGGAAACACAAUGAAGACGUUCAAGAAUGAUAAGUGAUAAAUAAAUCAAAAGAUCGUAUCCAACCGCAAAAUGAAGAUGAAACUAACAAUAGAUAUUUUCCAUGUUUAAAAGCAUCAAAAAAUAAUUCACAAGUAGAACUCAUGAAAUGAAUAAACAUGUGUUCUAGUCCAUCAUCCUGAAGUUGUCCAAUACAAUGCUACAAUUUUUUUUUUUAGGGAAUACAAUGCUACCAUUAUUCUUGUUGUAACUUUUUUAUUUAUUUCUAAUGGUAAUGGUAAUUGUAAAGGUGACAAAAGUGUUGCUAUAAUCCUAAGAACAUCUUAAAAAUGGUAAUGGUAAUGAUAUGUCUCAAGGGCACAAGUUAAGGAAUUUAAAAUAUAAAUAAUUGUUUUAAAAAUUGUGCAUUCAAUUUUAGUCAACUUUAACUGUGGCAUAGUUAAGUGGAUGAGCACAGACCUUGAUCCGAUAUCAACUGAAGGUGAGAAAAAUACAAAAGGGAGAUUGAAUUAUGUUGGCUUUUUCAAAUUUCUCCAGUGUUUUAGUAUUGGUCAGAGUUUGAAGUGUAAAGUCUAACUAAGAGUUUGAUAGCAGCGUAAAACACACACACACACACACAUACAGAGAUAGAGAGAGAGAUAUUAUGCUGAUUCCUCCUACAAUCCGGGAGUUGUUCAUCCCCCUUGCGUUUCCAAGGAAUUUUUACUAUAAUUACAACUGAUUACAAAUGUUCAAGGACACAACCAAGAGACUUCAUAUGCUCAACCACACAAGAAAGAGACUUCCAAAUGCUCAAUCGCAACUGAAAGAGACUUUUAAGAGUCUACAAAUAAACGUGUUUUCUUACACUUGGCAUACAAUGAGAGGUGUAAACAAUUAAAAUCAGAACAGACUCUAUGACUUAGAAUUUCUAAAAUAUGAACUUAGUAAGAAAUUCUAAAGUGUUCUAUGCGCAUUUGAAUUUGACAUAGUAAGGGCACAUUUAAAAUAGCAGAGUCUUAUUUUUAUUCUUCAACUCCUUAUAUAUGCAAUGAUUUGAGAGACGUUGGACAAGUGUCAACGCAUUAAGAUUCGUUGAGAAGCUUCACAUCAAAGACGUUAGAAUAUUAUAUGGUAUGGAUAAUAUCAUUGAUUAGACAUUUGAAAUUCCUUUACUGCAAUUAGAAUUACCCGUUCAUUCCUUUUGUACUUGAAGUUCUUUGUUUGUAUCUGCACGUGGUUACAAGAAGACAAAAUGUACUAUCAGAGUCUGAUAAAGACAGCUUCAGAAAAAGACAAAUCUAACGUGGCUUAUGGGUUCCUCAGAAACUUCUGUCUUUCAGAGUCUAAUGUUCUUCAGAGUCUGAUGGUCUUCAAAGUCUGGUGGUCUUCAUAGUCUAGUGGCCUUCAGAGUUUGGUGGUCUUCAGAGUCUGAUGGUCUUUAGAGUGCACAUGUGAAUAUAUAUUAGCAUAUCCAAUUGUUCUUUAAUACUUUGUUAUCAUCAAAACUUUAUAGGUACUGUACAAAUUCAAUUUUGUUCCAACAAUAAAAGAAUGUUGAAUGCACCGACAGUGAAGUGAUUCAAGUGAUAAAAAGAUUUAGGUUCCUUAAACAAGUGUUCAAGGGGUUCAAUCAUUGACUCUUGCGUAUCAACGGAAGGUAGUCACUUCUAAGUGGAAGCCGAAACUCCGUACUUAUAACAUGGUAACAAAAAAAUUUGAAAAUUGAAAUACAAAUAAUUUAACUUUUUUGCUAAAAAAAUUUGGACAAAAAAAUUAUCACAUUUAUUACAAUAUCAUGUAUUCUUAUGGAAAAAUAAAUAUAAAUAAUUUGACUUUUGCUGCUAACUUCUUUUUGAACAAAAUAAUUACAUUUAUUACAAUACCAUGCAUGUAUUGUAAUUUAAAAAUCAAAUUUAGAAUCAACUAAAAUGUUUGAACAAAAAAAAAAGAAUCAACUAAAAUGCUAAGUGUUUGGUAAAGUGUUCAUAAAAGUUUAAUUAUAGAUGCAGACACCGAAGGGAAGUUCAUGAACCUUGUCAUGUAUAUCUCAAAUAAAUAAAAGAGUUAUGAUACAUAGACAUCUUUAGGUGGCAAUACAUCAUUUGACACCCACAUAAAAAUCUGACACGUGGCCACAUGGACCCCGCACAAGCACACUUUCUCUUUUCUCUCCUCUUCUUUCUUCCUAAUGUAUGGGGUGUACAAGAGUGUAUAGAAAUAAAGGGUGUCUAUGUAAUAUUUUCCUAAAUAAAAAUAUUAUCUAAAUUAAUAAAAAAAUAAUAUUUAUAUCAUUUUUUUUCUAAUGGUAAAUUGUUAAUUAGUAAUUAGUUUUUACAUUAAUAUAUAUUGAUUUGCACGGGUUUGAACCCAUAACCUCUAAUAUUACUUAUCAUUUAGCACAUCACCAAAAAGAACAAAGAGUGACAUUACACUCCUCUCACCAUUUUGAUUUUUGGUUCAUCUAUAGUUGGCAUUUUUUGACUCAUUGUAACAUUUUCCAACUCCAAAUUCCCAAAGGUAAACUCCAAAAAUCUAAAUCAAAACGUAAACUUAUUGUUACAUUUUGCUUGGUUUUACUCAACAAAAAAAAAACAAUAUGCUUGGUUUUUUGGGAUUAUAGAACAUGCAUGUACUAUUGUCCAAGACCAUGAUGCUUGAAUUCAAUUUAAAAUUACUUUCUUACAAUUUUUUUCUUCUUAUAUGUGACAACUAAAACUAUAGACAAUUAUUGGAUUUUUGAAAAUCAGAUUCAAACAUGGAUGCAUCAGAAGUGUGUCCAACUGUUGAUGCAAUCAGAGCUUUCCUUGAAUACUUGGUAGAUCCAUUGCUGCAAGAAGAUCAUUCUACCAAUGAUGAUCUUCCACUAUCACAACAUGAAAAAGUUGCAAACCAGGUUUAUUUUUUUCAUUCACCUUGAAACUUUAUUUUAAUGGCAAUCCAAAGAUUAACUAAUACCUCUUGGUUUUUUAUGUCUUAAAAAAAAACUAAUACCUCUUGGUGACUAUUUGGACAUGAUUUUUGUUACGCCUUUUUAAACAAAAUUAUUUUAAAUUUCAUUAAUUAACAUUUAAUGGAAGUCGAUUUAAACUUGAGGUCAUUGCUCAGUUGUACGAGCUUAGCCUUGUUACCUCCACGUAAAGAGGUAAAGAGUUCAAAAUCCCCUCGAAGACGGUUAUGAAUUGGUCAUUAGUGCCAAUAUUUUAAAAAAUGUUCUCAUUUGAUUUUAAAAUUGAAAGAUUAGUUAACAUCAAAUUGAAGUUCUUAUUUGAUUUUAAUAUCUAAUUGAAGUUCAUAUUUGUCAAAAAAAAUAUCUAAUUGAAGUUCAUGAUUUUAACAUCUACUUAAAGUUCCUAGUAGAUAUGGCAAUCCAAAGAUUAAUUAACAUCUAAUUAAAGUUCCUAUUUGAUUUAAAAGUUGAAGAACCACAAGUAUUUAAUUAUAUGAUUAUGGCGUAGGUGCAUGCAGUCGUGUUAUUGAACAACUACUACCACAUAAAACUGAAUCAAGAGCUAGCAUUUUUGCCAUAUAGGGAAUUUUGCAAGAUCAUUGUGGAUCUGAGACCAUCACUGUCAGCAUAUAUGAAAUUCAUGUUGCAGCGUGAUUAUGCUGAGCUCGUUGAUGUGGAGCAGCAACUUUCAUUAACUGAAAAGGCGAUCAUGAGUUCGCAUGAUAUAUGCUUAUCUUUAGAUGCAUCGAAAAAUGAACCUAAUAUAGAGGGUUGGCCCAUUUCAAAAGUCGCGGUCCUUUUGGUCGAUAGUAAGAAGGAAAACAGCUUCUUGCGUUUUAAUUCCUUCACUGAUGGAGUAUGGUCAUUGAUUGAAAAAGAUGUUGAUACUUCAGAUCAAAUUUCUGAAGUUACAAGUGAGAUCAAAUCUCCAUACAAAAGAAGAAGAGUAAUUAUGACGCGUUCGAAAGUCAUAUUAAAUGAAGAUCAACUCUUGCAAGAUGGAUAUUCUGCUAUUAGCGAAGCUGCAAGUAAUUAUCCUACUUUAACAUAAAGAUUGCAUUUGUUUUAAUUUAUUCACAAUUGGAAUCAUAUGCCAGCAUGACUCAUGGUGUACACUUUUCUUAUGUUUUCUGUACAUCUUGUCAUAUCAGGACAUGCUUUGUUUUUUCUUUAUUUUCUGUAUAUUAAAUUGUUUUAACAUGCAUUUUUUGACUCAUAAUAGUCGAACAUGAUUCUUAUAUAAUGAUUUCAUAUUUCCCUUGUGAAUAGGUGUCAAUAGUAUUGAUAUGAUGCUUUUGGGAAGUUAUACAGUGUAUUCCCAGAGCAAGGAGAGGGCAGCUUCUCGCUUUUAUAUAAUGAAGUGCUCACAGUCGAUUGUUGAAGGGUUUACUAAAGUUCCUAUCAAAGAUUUAAUUGAAAGGUUUGUUACAAUCGAUAUGGCUUUUCUAUAACAAACUUUGUGUCUUUCUCUACAACAUUUGAUAUCUCUUCUUUGUAUAGCUUUUGGGGUCCUUUGGUCAAAAGAAGUUCUAGCAGUUGGAAGACCACCUCCCUUGUCAAGUACUUCCAGAUGCUUCCUUAUUCUGAAAUAAUCUCUGAAUGGAUUUCUAGGUUGGUAUAAUUCACAUUUCCUAUUUUCCGAUGCUAAAUUCAUAUGGAUUUACAGUAAUGAAUAUUGACCUCAUAAUUAGAAGCCUCGUAAACAUUGCAUAGUUUUGAUUAAAUUAUUUCUCAUUUCCAUAUUACGUUUUCGUUUUCACCUUUUCCAUAAAAUAAUGAUGGAUAUUUGCAUAAUAUGUUCUUUGCAGAGAAGCUUUCUCAAAUAGUUUGCAAGAUUUAAAGCUGGCAGAGAAACAAGUCUCAAAGCUUGAAGUGACAGAAUCACAUGUAAGUAGUAAGGGCUUGUAUAUUGAUCUUGAUAACAAGUUGUGCAGAUGUUUUAUACAAUAUUUUUCAAAGCUUGAAUCUGAAGGAUGUGCAAGUAAUGUCAUGGACCAGGGUCAGCAGGAUAGGCCAAAAGUGUUUAAGAUCGAUGUAAGGAAAAACAAAAAAGAUCGAAAGCAAAUAGGAUCCCAUGCAUGAUACAAAUCAAGAGGGACCUAAUACAAGAAACAAAAAUGAUCCAAUAAAGGUGGAUACAAAUUCUAGUGAUACACCAAAACAAAGGCCCAAGAGAUUGAUCAAGAGACCUAGCAGAUUCAAUAAUUAAAUAUAUUGCUAUUAGCAUCAAGGAAUAGGAUAAAUCCAUGAGCUGAUACAAGUUGUCCUUUAGUACCAGAAAAUGGAUAAGAAUAAAAAUAAUUAGGAAUUUUCUUUUAUAUUUUAAUCAAUGGAUCGAAGACAAUUAGUGUCUCAAUAUCCUAUAUCCUAGGAAGAAUUGUAUCGUUUCUACUCUCUAGCAUUAUAUGAAUAGUGUUUGCGUUUGGACUGAUUAUAUUUUUAUUUCUUGCUUUAUCUUUCUAGUUUUGGUUUUACCAUGUUGUUAACUUGGAAAUUUCUUGUUACCUUGUUUUCCAGGAGUUAAAUAAAUGUGUGGUUUAUAAUUGUUUUGCAUUGCUUACAUUGGACUCUGCACACAUGACAACAAUGUGUACAUUUAUAAGGAAUCACAAUGAUGACGUUCAAGAAUGAUAAGUGAUAAGUAAAUCAUAAGAUCGAAUCCACAACCACAAAACGAAGAUGAAUCUAUCCAUAGAUAUUUUCCAUGCUUAAAAGUAUCAAAAUAUAAUUCACAAGUAGAAUAAACAGGUUUCUAGUCUAUCACCAUGAAGUUGUCCAUUACAUUGCUACAAUUAUAUUGCAUUACAUGGAAAUGUGAACAUUUGAAGAAUUCCCAAAUUUUUCUACACAACUCAAUGCAAAUGAAUAAUAGUUAUACAUAACUCAAAGUCAUCCAAACUUUAUAAAAAUUGAAACCCAAAUCACACUGAUCAAAUCUUGUUUAUUUGUUUUUCUUCAUAAAUAAAUUAGAUUCAUUAGGAAACAUAACACAAUUUCUGAGCACAAGAAAUACAACGACCCUUCUACAAGCCUACAACAGUACAACAGCAACGACCCUUCCUUCAAAAAAAGAAGCCUACAACGGUACAACAACCAAAUUUAUUUUGAUGUGCUUUGAAAACAUCUAAGCCAACGAAACCAAAGAAUAAUUUGAUAAAUUUUCUUUGCAAGUCUUUUCAUAAUUUGAUAAAUUUUAGAAGACUUCAUGUUCUGAAUUCGGUAACUUCUAAUCUCACGUCAAUGAAAUUUAGAUUUGUGGAGCAAGUAUCAAUGGCAACCAAAAUAACCGCAAGCAACAACAAUAUAUCUAGAUCUAAUCUAGCAACCAAGUGUAUAGCAAAACCACAAACAAACCAAAAUAAUCAAGAUAAAGAGAGUAAAGAAAAAGAACAACAUCAAAUAAUUGUUUACCCAGUUCAGUUCAACACUAACCUACUAUGGGGGAGAGAGAAUGAUCUCUCCGCUUCACUAUCAAUGAGUACUUUACAAAGAUAUACAAAAGAGUUACAAGAAAUUAGCUUCAACAAGCUCUCCAAGAACAAACUUAAUUUCUACGAUUUUCUCAAUCUCCUCCUUUCAUGAACAAGAGACUCAAUGAGUUCACUCGAUCCAAGGUGUUUCCCAACUCUAGAGUCUAACCCCUAAAAGGGAACCAAUCCGUAGCUUUUCUACAAACCUAAUUUCUACGAUUUUCUCAAUCUCCUUCUUUCAUGAACAAGAGACUCAAUGAGUUCACUCGAUCCAAGGUGUUUCCCAACUCUAGAUUCUAACCCCUAAAAGGAACCAAUCCGUAGCUUUUGAUUUCCUAAUGAUAUACUCUUUUGGUCUCGUAAGACUCGCCCAAGUUGCUCAUAAAAACUCUCCUUUGAUGUGUUUCCCAAUCCCAUGAAUCUCUCACCUAAAGGCACCAACCCUCUCCAAAGAGCCCCCUUUUUUGGUUCUCCAAGAUUCACAUCUUGAAGCUUUGAACCUCACCCAAAGACCCUCAACCUUUAGUAUCUACAUACCCUAAAAGCUCCCUCCUUUGGUUCUCAUGAGAUUCACCAAGCUUGCUCAACAAAUGGGUCAAAGGAUGCUUAUAUAGUGUUCAGAUCCAAGCAAAAUCGUGUCACAAUUUGCCUAAAUUGUGCCACGAUAAAGCUCGUACACAAUAUUGUAUUGCACCCUUAUCCAAAAAUCGUGUCACGAUUCCCUAAAUUGUGUCACGAUUUGACUUCCAGAAACACACUCACAUCCAGCCUCAAAAUCGUGUCAUGAUUUCAAACUUCCAACACACACUAAUUUUGACUCACAUGCUCAACACUUCCUUUUUGAAGGAGGACAUCCUUUACGAUGUCAAUUACAUGAUAUAAUUGGCUAUUUUAUUUUUGAAUUCUAACAAAAUAGUUUCUAAAAUCAUUUUCUGCAAGUGUCAAAUUCUCAUAUCCAUUUUCUUCAGUUGCCAAAGAUUUAAAAUUUAUGCUUAGAUUUAUCCCAACUUGAAUAUUGAGUUCUAAUAUAUUUUUUGAAUGAGACAUCAAAUUCUUACUACUUCUAAAAUAGAAUACCUUGGUAGGGCUUAGAUCAUUAUUAAGCUUGAGAUCGACUCUUAAAGUGGUAAUUGUUUCAUCUAACCAAAUACAUGCAUACAAUCUAGCCUUACACUGAGUUUUUGUUAUUGGAUUUAGCUUCAAAAGAUGAUUUGAUCCGCUCAAAUAGUUUGUUCCAUGACUACAAGCUACAGUAAAAUAUUAUUUCACAUCACCUCCAUCUUUUUCUACGAAGUUUAGUAACUCCAAAACUCAUAGACCGGGCAUAUCUCUUGCAAUAUUAUGGAAGCUCAUGGUUAAAGCUAAAUAUCAUUCCAAGCAUUGUGAUUCAUUUAUUACAUUUAAAUUUAUUGAGCAUAUUUAUGCACAUAAUCAAAUGCAACAAAUGCAGUGAUAUAUUGACCACUCCCUCCGUUUCAAAAUAUAAGCAAAAUUCAUUUUUUAAAUUCAUUCAUUUAAUGAUGUAUGUGGUUCAUAAUAUAGAUCAUAUACAUCAUUAAAUAAAUGAACUUAAAAAAUGAAUUUUGCUUAUGUUUUAAAACGGAGAGAAUACCAAUGAACGAUGAUAAAAGCUACCCACCAAAUUUUAGUGGGUUUUAGUAACUAGUUUUAAAUGUUGUCUUGCAUUUAGUUUGUUGAGUGAAUUGUCUAGGAAAUUGUAUCAUGAACUAUUUGAAUGUAUUGCCUAGGAAAUUGUGGUAAUUAAUCUUGAAUGUUGUGUUGCAUUGUAAAUACUCUUUCCGUUCUUUUUUAAUUGUCACAUUUUAACUUUUUGCAUAAAUCAAGACAUUAAAUGUAUUUCACUAUUUUUGAUACAAUAACUUAUGGUUUGUCAAUAAUAUCCUUAAUUAUUUAAUAUCAUACUCCCUCCGGUCCUAUUUAUAAGAGAAAGUUGAUUUUUUAGAUACAUUGAAUAAUGUAUGUAUUUAGUCAAGAACCUAAACCAAAUACAUAAAUUAUUUAAUGUAUCUAAAAAGUAAAUUGUUUCUUGUAAAUAGGACUGGAGGGAGUAUUUCAUAUAUUUCUAUCUCUGCAAUAAAUUACUAAAGGCAUUAUAGGAAAAACAACAUUUAAUGUUACAUUAAACUUUGAAAGUGACACUUAAUUAGAAGAAAAAAAUAUAUGUAAAAGUGACGGUUAUAAAGGAAAGGAGGGGGUAUUGUUUCCUUUGAAAUUAAUGUCAUAAUAAAUCUCUAAUGUUACGUUGCAUUUAAUUAGUUUAGGAACAAUGUUAUAUCUCUAGAAAAAUAACAUCAAGAAUUCUUCAAGAAUAAAGAGCAGCCAAUCACAAUGCACAAUUUGUCACAAUUCAAGGAGGUGUGGCUGAAAAAUAGGAAAUGAACAAAUAAAUUAUGCAAUUAAAACUUGACUGUCGUGUCUUGAAAAAAUUUUGAUGCUAUUUUUUUAGAGAAAUAACAUUUUCUUUUGAAUAUCGUUGUGUUGCAUUUGAUUAGUUGUAUGGUAAAUAUCUCUUCCUUUUAAAUUAAUGUCAUACUUCGCAAUGCAUGAAUUGUUGUAGAAUUAAUAAUAUGGUUAUUAAUUGGAGGUUUAGACAUUAAUAAUGUUACUUGUUUUGGUGGGAUUAAGAUUGAGUUAUAAACAAUGGGGGAUUAGGUAGAAAAAAAUACAUUUAGGAGUAGAUAGAAUAACUAAAAAAAAAUAUAAAAUAUAGAUAUUAAAAACAAUCUAUCUAUUAACAUUAUAUAAAGCCAAACUAAUUUUAUUUUGUUGUUUUAAUGAAUUAAUUUCAAUUAUUACACAACUAAAAUUACACAUACGCUCCUUUAACUCAAUUUCAAAAAUUACACACACAUUUAACUUAAUUUCAAGUAAUAGUUCGGUCUUUUAUCCUUUUGUUUUCCUGUUUUAGUCCUUCAAGUUAUAAAGUAACACAAUUAUCCUUUUUACACUUAAAAAAUCACAAAAAUCCAGAAAUUCAUAACAUUUAUCAUAAUAUUCAAUAAAAAAAAAUCCAUAUAUUCAUCAAUUAAACCGAGAUUUUUUCCUUUUAGACUUAAUUAUUUUAUUUCUAAUGAAAGAGUAAUUUAAGGAGAGACUCUAAAUCUUCAUCCCAAAAGGCCAAUCCUUAACAAAUUCUUCUUUCUCACGGUGCUCUUCUCUCUUUCUCACCCACACACAUUCUUCUUUAUUACAUGAACUCCAAUGUUUGUUUCUACCCUAAAACCAAGAUCUAAAAAAUUAAAACCAUGCACAUUUUUUUACUUUAGUUGCUCACCGACAUGAAUAAUUCAUGUGAUAAACAAAUUUGGGUUCCUUAAACUAGUGUUCAAAGGGUUCAAUUAUUGACUCUUGUGUAUCGUCGAAAAUUAGUCACUUCUAAGUGGCAUCGAAACUCUGUAUUUAUAACAUGGUAACAAAAAAUUUGAAAAUUGAAAUACAAAUAAUUUAACUUUUUUUGAAAGUUUUUGGACAAAAAUUAUCACAUUUGUUACAAUAUCAUGCAUUCUAAUGGAAAAAUAAAUAUAAAUAAUUUGACUUUUGCUACUAACUUUUUUGAACAAAAAUAUUUACAUUUAUUACAAUAUCAUGCAUGUAUUGUAAUUUAAAAAUCAAUUUUAGAAUCAACUAAAAUGCUUGAACAAAAAAAAAAGAAUCAACUAAAAUGCUAAGUGUCAAUCACUAUCCGGUAAAGUUAUGAUAAUUUUUUUAUUAUAGAUGCACACACCGAAGGGAAGUUCAUGAACCUUGUCAUGUAUAUCUCAAAUAAAUAAAAAUAUUAACUAAAUUAAUAAAAAAAAAUCACACUUAUUAUAAUUUUUUCCAAGGGCAUAUUGUUUUUAUUUUUUAUUUUUGAAAUAUACUUAUGAACCUUGUUCGUGAUUAGUUUUUUUUUUUUUUUACGUUAAAAUAUAUUAAUUUGCACGGGUUUGAACCCAUAACCUCUAACUUCUUAAGCUUAACUCGAACAAGUUAAGCUACCUAACCUCUCAAAUAUUGUUUAUCAUUUAUAUUCAACGCUUUGUUUCAUUCUGAUGCCUUAUAAUUUUUACACACAGAUGAAAAUUAAUAAAUUCAAAUUUUAGUAAACUUGAAAUAAAACUGAGUUUAUUCAGAAGAAUUCGAUAAACUCAUGUAAACACACGUAAACUCGAAAAAAACUAUCAAAAAAAAAUCAUCUAAAUUUUUACAUUUGGUUCAUAUUCUACGAUUUUACGAGUCGAGUUUAGAAAUCAAUUUCACGCAGGCAAAACAAGUUUACUAAAACAUAUGAUUUUGACAACUUUAAUUAUCAUCAUUAAUGUAUUAGAAGUCUUUUAUUUUUUAAAGAAUGUAUGAGAAAUCUUUGUAUUGUAAAACAUUAAAUUUUGGUCAAACAAUCACAAUAUUUAUUUUAUUCAUAUAUUUAUCACAAACAUUUAAAUUUUCUAAUAUAAUUGCAAUAUACUCCCUCCGUCCCAAAAUCAAUUUAUGGUGAUCCAUUUUUGCUUACAUUUUGGGAUGGAAGGAGUGCAACAUAUUACAUAUGUCAUUACCACACUAGAUUUAUUAUAAAUACAAGGUAGGAGAUGAUUUCAGUUUCAGUGAUUGAGCACAUCACCAACAAGAACAAAGAGUGAGAUUACUCUCCUCUCACCAUUUUCAUUUUUGGUUCAUCUAUAGCAGCUGGCAUUUUUUUGACUCAUUGUAACAUUUUCCAACUCCAAAUUCCCAAAGGUAAACUCCAAAAAUCUAAAUCAAAACGUAAACUUACUCUUACAUUUUGCUUGGUUUUACUCAAAAAAGAAAACAAUAUGCUUGGUUUUUUGGGAUUAUAGAACAUGCAUGUACUAUUGCCCAAGACCAUUUUUUUCUGCUUAUAAGUGACAACUAAACUAUAGACAAUUAUUGGAUUUUUGAAAAUCAGAUUCAAACAUGGAUGUAUCAGAAGUCUGUCCAACUGUUGAUGCAAUCAGAGCUUUCCUUGAAUACUUGGUAGAUCCAUUGCUGCAAGAAGAUCAUUCUACCAAUGAUGAUCUUCCACUAUCACAACAUGAAAAAGUUGCAAACCAGGUUUGUUUUUUUCAUUCACCUUGAAACUUUAUUUUAAUGGCAAUCCAAAGAUUAACUAAUACCUCUUGGUGACUAUUUGGACAUGAUUUUUGUUACGCCUUUUUAAACAUAAUUAUUUUAAAUUUCAUUAAUUAACAUUUAAUGGAAGUCGAUUUAAACUUGAGGUGAUUGCUCAGUUGUACGAGCUUAUCCUUGUUACCUCCAGGUAAAGAGUUAAAAUCCCCUCGAAGACUCGUCAUUAGUAUCACUUUGAUUUAUAAAAAUUUCCCCUUUGCCAAUAUUUUAAAAAAAUUCUCAUUUGAUUUUAAAAUUGAAAGAUUAAUUAACAUCAAAUUGAAAAUCUUAUUUGAUUUUAAUAUCUAAUUGAAGUUCCUGAUUUUACAUCUACAUGAAGUUCCAAUUAGAUAUGGCAAUCCAAAGAUUAAUUAACAUCUAAUUGAAUUAUCCUAUUUGGUUUUAAUGAUGAAGAACCAAAGUUUAAUUAUAUGAUUAUGGUGUAGGUGCAUUCAGUCGCGUUAUUGAACAACUACUACCACAGAAAACUGAAUCAAGAGCUAGCAUUUUUGCCAUAUAGGGAAUUUUGCAAGAUCAUUGUGGAUCUAAGACCAGCAAUGUCAGCAUAUAUGAAAUUCACGUUGCUGCCUGAAUAUGCUGAACUUGUUGACGCGGAGCAGCAACUUUCAUUAGCAGAAAAAGCAAUCAUGAGUGCCUAUGAUAUAUGCUUAUAUUUAGAUGCAUCGAAAAAUGAUCCUAAUAUAGAGGGUUGGCCCAUUUCAAAAGUUGCAGUCCUUUUGGUUGAUAAUGAGAAGGAAAACUGCUUCUUGCAUUUUAAUUCCAUCCCUCAUGGAGUAUGGUCAUUGAUUGAAAAAGAUGUUGAUACAUUAGAUCAAAUUUCUGAAGUUACAAGUGAGAUCAAAUCUCCAUGCAAAAGAAGAAGAGUAAUUAUGAAGCGUUCGAAAGUCAUAUUAAAUGAAGAUCAACUCUUGCAAGUUGGAUAUUCUGCUGUUAAGGAAAUUGCGGGUAAUUAUCCUUCUUUUACAUAGAGAUUGCAUUAGUUUUAAUUUAUUCACAAUUGGAAUCAAUUGCCAGCAUGACUCAUUGUGUACACUUUACUUAUGUUUUCUAUAAAUCUUUAGGUUCAUAUCAGCUCAUGGUGUACACUUUUACAUCUUUUGUUUUUUCUCUAUUAAAUAGUUUUAACAUGCAUUUUUUGACUCAUAAUAGUUGAACAUGAUUCUUAUGUAAUGAUUUCAUAUUUCCCUUGUGAAUAGGUGUCAAUAGUAUUGAUAUGAUGCUUUUGGGAAGUUACACUGUGCAUUCCCAGAGCAAAGAGAGGACAGCUUCUCGCUUUUAUAUAAUGAAGGGCUCACAGUCCAUCGAUGAAGGGUUUACUCAAGUUCCUAUCAAAGAUUUAAUUGAAAGGUUCGCUACAAUCGAUAUCGCUUUUCUAUGACAAACUUUUUGUGUGUUUCUCUAUAACAUUUGAUAUCUCAUCUUUGUAUAGCUUUCGGGGUCCUUUGGUCAAAAGAAGUUCUUGCAGUUGGAAGGCCACCGCAGUUGUCAAUUACUUCCACAUGCUUCCUUAUUCUGAAAUAAUCUCAGAAUGGAUUUCUAGGUUUGUAUAAUUCACAUUUCCCAUUUUCUGAUGCUAAAUUUAGAUUGAUUUAUAGUAAUGAAUAUUGACCUCAUAAUUCGAAAGCCUCGGAAACAAAGCAUAGGUUUGAUUAAAUUAUUUCCCAUUUCCAACUUAUGUUUUCAUUUUCACCUUGUGCAUAAAAUAAUGAUGGCUAUUUGCAUAAUGUGUUCUUUGCAGAGAAGCUUUCUCAAAUAGUUUGCAAGAUUUAAUGCUGGCAGAGAAACAAUUCUCANNNNNNNNNNNNNNNNNNNNNNNNNNNNNNNNNNNNNNNNNNNNNNNNNNNNNNNNNNNNNNNNNNNNNNNNNNNNNNNNNNNNNNNNNNNNNNNNNNNNNNNNNNNNNNNNNNNNNNNNNNNNNNNNNNNNNNNNNNNNNNNNNNNNNNNNNNNNNNNNNNNNNNNNNNNNNNNNNNNNNNNNNNNNNNNNNNNNNNNNAAGCUUGAAGUGACAGAAUCGCAUGUAAGUAGUAAGGGCUUGUUUAUUAAUCUUGAUAGCAAGUUGUGCAAAUGUUUUAUACAAUAUUUUUUGUAUUGAGUAAACUCUUACUAGUUGUGUCUAUGGAUACUUCUUUAGGUUUACAUAAACCCUAAAGUUUUUACUAUUUCCUUUAUUGUUGAGAUGUCUUUUUUCUUAAGAAAAAAAAUAGUCUCAGUGCUUUUCCAAUAUUAUAUAUCAUCUCUCACCUAACUACAUGCCAUUGGAUAUAUUGACGGGUUGAGAAGGUUUCUUCUACAAGGAUGCAAAUCACUGAAGAUGGAAUCAAAAAUCAACCUAUUUCAGAAAAUGAAUAUGAGGGAUGUGCAAGUGAUGUCAAGGACCAGGGUCAGCAGGAUAGGCCCAAAGUGUUGAAGAUCUAUGUAAGGAGAAACAAAAAAGACCGAAAGGUAGUAAAUCCAUCAAUGCAACAUCACUCAAAUGAAUGUACACGAACCAUUGAGGCUUGUGUUACAAAGCAAAUAGGAUCUCAUGAUACAAAUCAAGAGGGACCUAAUACAAGAAACAAAAAUGGUCCAAUAAAGGUGGAUACAAAUUCUAGUGAUACACCAAAUCAAAGGCCCAAGAGAUUGAUCAAGAGACCUAGCAGAUUCAAUACUUAAAUGUAUCUCUAGAAGCAUUCAAGGAAGAGGGUAAAUCCAUGAGCUGAUACAAAUAUCUCUAGUACCAUUAGUACCUGAAAAAGCAUAAGAAUAAAAAUAAUUACCAGUUUUAUUUUAUAUUUUAAUCAAUGCAAGAAUUGUAUCGUCUCUAGCAUUAUAUGACUUGCGUUUGCGUUUGGACUGAUCAUAUUUUUGUUUCUUGCUUUAUCUUUCUAGUUUUGGUUUUACAAUGUUAACUUGGAAAAUUCUUUACAAUGUGUUUACAAUGUUUCCCAACCCUCAAGAGAACCUCACUACAAAGACACUCAACCUUAAAGUUACCUCCUUUGUAUUCCCAAGUUUCUCUCUCAAAGCCACACUCAAAAAAAUAAAGAAAGAAGCCUUAAAUAGUGUUCAGGAAUACGCAGCAUCGUGCCACGUUUCGUGCCCAUCGUGCCACGAUGGAGCAGGUGAUAGUACAAUACUAUACCUUAUCUGUCUACAUCGUGCCACGUUCCUCCUGGAUCGUGUCACGUUCCUCUUCCAUCAUGCCACGUUCCUCCUGGAUCCUGCCACGAUUUUUCCAGCGACAAACGCAAAACCUGAACCAUCCAAUCGUGCCACGUUGCCCUGCAAACGUGCCACGAUUUCUCAGUGCUUCAACAUCCAAUUCUUGAGUCAAUUUUCAAUAAGAUUCAUUGAAUUAAUGAUGUAUGUGGUUUAUAAUAUGGACGACAUAUAUCAUUUAUUCAAAGAACCUAAAAAGUAAAUUUUGUUUAUAUUUAAAAACGGAGAUAGUAUACAUAUAAUAUGAUGUAAAUUUUUAGGAUUCUACGAAUGGAGUUCAAAAAUUAAUUUCACAUAGACAAAACAAGUUUACUAAAACGUACGAUUUUGAAAACUUUAAUUAUCAUCAUUUUUUUUUUUUAGUUUUUUUUUUUGCGAAAGAAAAAAAAUCAAUAAAUACCCUAUUUAAAAUUUUAAUAUAUAAUUUUUUAAGGGCCUUCUAUAUAUUUUUUUUUAUAUGCAAAGAGAUAGGACAGACAUCAUCGACAUUCCAACUAGAUUGGUAUCCCGAGAUACCUCCAUCCUAUGCCGCCAAACUCGAAAAAUUUAUUAAAAAAGGGGAAAAUAUAUAUAUACAAAAGGAAAGGGACUAUACCAAAACCCUCCGAAAAACCGCUAAAAACAUAAAAAGAAAAAGAAAUACAACAAAACAGCCAAUAGUCUGUGUAUUGAAAUACAUUAAAUUUUGGUCAAACUUUAAAAAAAAAAAUUAAAUUUUGGUCAAAUAGUCAAAAUAUUUAAUUUAUUCAUAUAAGUCUUUGUAUUGAAAUACAUUAAAUUUUGGUCAAUCUUUCCAAAAAAAAAAAAAUUAAUUUUAGUUAAAUAGUCAAAAUAUUUAAUUUAUUCAUAUAGUUAUCGCAAACAUUUAAAUUUUUAAUAUAAUACAUAUGGGCAUGUCGUUAUUAUAAAUACAAGGUAGGAGAUGAUUUCAGUUUCAGUAACUGAGAGCACAUCACAAACAAGAACAAAGAGUGAGAUUACUCUCAUCUCAUCAUUUUCAUUUUUGGUUCACCAUUUAUAUGUGAUAACUAAAACCAUAGUCAAGUAUUGGAUUUUUGAAAAUCAGAUUCAAACAUUGACGGAUCAAAAGUGUGUCCAACUGUUGAUGCAAUCAGAGCUUUCCUUGAAUACUUGGUAGAUCCAUUACUGCAAGAAGAUAAUUCUACCAAUGAUGAUCUUCCACAAUCACAACAUGAAAAAGAUGCAAACCAGGUUUUUUUUUUUCAUUCACCUUGAACCUUUUUAUUCAUACAUGAAAAAAUUUGAUUGAUAAAAAUUUCCCCUUUGCCAAUUUUUUUUUAAAAAGUUCUCAAAUGAUUUCAAAAUUAAUUAACAUCAAAUUAAGUUCUUCUUUCAAAAAAAAAAUCAAGUUGAAGUUCUUAUAUGAUUUUAAUAUCUACUAGAGUUCCUAUUAGAUAUGGCAAUCCAAAGAUUAAUUAACAUCUAAUUGAAUUGUUCCUAUUUGAUUUUAAAGUUGAAGAACCACAAGUAUUUAAUUAUAUGAUUAUGGUGUAGGUGCAUCUAGUCGUCUUAUUGAAGAACUGCUGCCACAAAAAACUGAAUCAAGAGCUAGCAAAGUUUCAACCAAGUCUGCUUUCCGAUCCUUAUAGAAUCCUUUCAUUUCGAGAUCCUUUGUCAUUGACCUCAAUGUAGGCAUUGUCUCUUUCAUCAAGGAUUAUGUAGUUUUCAUCACGGUAAUAGGGACCAAAGCUAAUCUCACAUUAUACUGGCUUCCAUUAUCCAAUGAAACCCUAUUUAAAUUCUUCAAAACUUGUCUUUUCUUUUGUAAUUCAGAAAAUUUGUUGUCAUAAUGAAUAACAGCCUUACCAUCAGUUCCGUGAUGGCCCGACUACAAAUCCCUGUCAUUACUUUUACAAUUGAUGGGCUCAUUUAAGAUCAUACCAGCAGGACAUGUUUUCGACUUCCGCUGCCUCUUAGUUAAUACAUUAUCAUUGUCAGAAAGAACAAUAGAAUUGCCCUCAAUUUCGUGUUGGCCCUGUUGCACAUUUAAGAUUGUACCAGCAAUACAUGUUUUUGGUUUCCGCUGCCUCUUAGUUGAUACAAUAAUAUUAGAUGUUCUUGGAGUAACUUCUAAUAUUAUAUUAAAUAAGAGGCAACGGAAACAACAAAAACCUAUAUUGUUGGUACAAUCAUAAAUGACAACUGGGUCAGCAUGAAGUUGAGGGAAAUUCUAUUGUUCUUUCUGACAGUGAUAAUGUAUUAACCAGCGGAAGUCAAAAAUUUGUCCUACUGCUAUGAUCUUGAAUGAUCAAUAGUACAAAUAAUAAGAGGGAUUUGCAGCCGGGACAACAUGGAACUAUUGGUAAGGCGGUUGUUCUUUAAGGAAUCUCGAAAUGGUAAAGGAUUGGAAAGGAUCUCGAAAUUUCUGAAUGACAAUUCCUACACUGUGGUCAAUGGUAAAGGAUCUCGAAAUGAAAGGAUUCUGUAAGGAUUGGAAAGCAGAUUUGGUUGAAAAAUUACUUGUGUCAUAUAAGGAAUUUCGCGAGAUCAUUGUGGAUCUGAGACCAGCAAUGUUGGCAUAUAUGAAAAAUUAAAGUUGGCAGAGAAACAAUUCUCAAAGCUUGAAGUGACAAAAUGGCAUGUAAUUAAGUAGUACGGGCUUGUAUAUUGAUCUUGAUAACAAGUCGUGCAAGGAUUUCCCAAUCUAUAUAUCUUUUAUAUUUUAAUCAAUGGGAUGAAGACAAUUAGUGUCUCAAUAUCCUAUAUCCUAUGAAGAAUUGUGUCGUCUCUAGCAUUAUAUGAAUUGUGUUUGCGUUUGGACUUGAUCAUAUUUUUGUUUCUUGCUUUAUCUUUCUAGUUUUGGUUUUACCAUGUUAACUUGGAAAUUUCUUGUUACCUUGUUUUCCAAGAAUUAAAUAAUUGUGUGGUUCAUAAUUGCUCUACAUGGCUUACAUUGGACCAUACAAGAAAUAACAUAUUUUACAACGACUUUUUCGCAGCGACAAACAAUUUAUUGACAAUAACAUGCAUAUAGCAACAAUUAUUUUAAGUUGUUGGAAUAAGUUAGUUUUUUCUCGACAACUUCAUUAUUGUUGAGAAAAAAAUACUUAUCCCGACAACAAUUAAUGUCUUUGGAACUCAAGCGGAAGAAUUGGGUAUUUAGGUAAUAAAUUUGUUCUUACAUUUUCUUUGAUUGAGUUUGUUCUCCUACAAUUAAUUAAUUAAACACAACACUUUCACUUGCUACAUAGAGUUUAGCGAACCUAAUAUGUUAGACACAGUUCAGUAACCACACACUUAUAUCAUUUUAGUUCAGUUAGUGAAUCACUAAAAUGCAAGGUUGAAAGCUAUGUGUGUGUCUUUAAGCGUAGCGUGUUCUUUUUUGUUUGAUGUUCACUUUUCUAGUCAUGAAUGAAUUAUGACUAAGAGUAUUUCUGCAUUUUAUGUGUGACUUCACAUCCCUGUCACUCCGACGUAUCCAACAUGUAAGAGUAGUUUCCUUUUUGGUACUCCUGAGUAUUGUCUUGCUUUUUUCCGAUGUCUUUGUCCUAAAUUUCAAAUUUGUGCACUCAUUGAUAUUCAGAUCAUAUAUGUACAUCAAUUAAUUGUGGCUACAAUUUUGAUUAGUUAGAUUCUGUAAUUUCUUAUGGUAUGUUCAUGAUUAUAUGUGGAAAUGAUGUGAUGGAAAUUAAUUGUUUGAAGAGAAGUCAAAUGUACUUUCGCUGAAUCGAUAAAUUUAUCAAGAAUAGCUUGAAAUUCUGUAUAGCUAAUGUGAUCAUUAAUGUGUGUUUGGCCUUGCUUAUAGUUUAGUUUUAGUCAUUUUGACAGCAAUCUGUAUAGCUAAUGUGAGAAGCAAGCAAAGUUUGGGUGGUGCUUUGAUAUGGCUGCAAUUUUGGCUUGUAUUUUCAAGUGAUUUCAUGGCUUUUGUUAUAACCGUGAGAAUUGAACCUGCAUAAUUAUUAUGUCAGGGUAGUGAUAAAGUCCUGAUGUUGCUUUAUUUGGUUAGCCAAGUUUGUGUGCUAUUGUAUUGUAACUUUUUUUUUUUCUCAUCUUUGCACAUCUUGUACUUGGAUGUGUUUUUUAUUACAUUAGCUCUUAUUGUCGUUGCAAAGAAAUAAAAUAAAAAAUAUCCAUAGAAGAAAACAUAUUAAAUAAUAACUCUUUAUUGUGUUGAAAUUGCAGGUCAAGUAAAGGUGUUUCGACUGCUUCACAAAGAAAGUUUUCAGGCAAAGUUAUAAAGAAGAGUUAAUAUUGUUGCUAGUUGGAGUCACCCUUAUAUUUGUUAAUUCUGUAAAUGUAAAUUUUCAGUUUGUUUUUAGGGUUAAAUAUGUUUUUGGUCCCUAUAAAAUUAGGAACUUCUAAGUUUAGUCCUUACUUAAUUUAAUAGGUUUUUUAGUCCUUACAAAAAAAAAAAAUUACUUCUAGUUUUAGUCCCAGUUACAACAAAAUUUGUUUAAUUAUCCUUAAACUCUUAAAUUUUUGAACGAUUUUUUUAAGACAAGUUUAGAACAUUAUGAAAGGUUCAUUUACCAAAAUUUAGAUUUUUUUAAUAUGAAACGAAUUAAAUAUGAAUUUUUUAAAACGGCAAAAGUUAAAGAUAAAAUUAACAAAAUCUAGACAUAGAAAUCAAAUUUUGCGACAAUUUUUUGCAGAGGAACUUUUAGUAAUGUUUUUAACACGUCUGCAAAAAUUUGUUUGAAAACUCAUGAGUUUAAGCAUAAAUUAAACAAAUUUGAAUUGAGGAGAGACUAAUAAAUUAAAAAAAGCCGGCAUGAAUUAAAAAAAGAAAAGAAAAAAAAUUACACGUGACACCUCACUUAAGUGAUGUGGGUGCUAAGUCAGCGAAGACCAAGUCAAAAUUGGCCUUGGAGGCCAAAACUGCCAAAGAUCCAAUACAUAUGGGGCUGUUUUGUAUUUUAAUUAAUAAGGGGGCCAAAAUCGCAACUUCUAGAAAGAUAGGGGUCAAAAGUGCAAUUAAAUCUAACUUAAUUUCAAAAAUUAAACAUAUGGUCAUUUAACUUAAUUUCAAAUAACGAUUCUGUCUUUUUAUCUUUCUGUUUUCCCACUUUAAUCCUUUAAGUUCUAAAAAAUUUACACAAUUAUCCUUUUUUACAUAAAAAAUCACAAAAAUCCAGAAAUUCAUAACAUUUAACUUAAUAUUCAAUAAAAAAUCCAUAUAUUCAUUAAAUAAACCGAGAUUUUCUUUGAGACUCAAAAUCUUCAUCCCAAAAGGCCAAUCCUUAACAAUUUCUUCUAUCUCACGGUGCCCUUCUCUCUCUCACCCACACACAUUCUUCUUUAUUACAUGUACUCUCUUAUUUGUUUCUACCCCAAAACCAAGAUCUAUUAUCACAUUUAUUACAAUAUCAUGCAUUCUAAUGGAAAAAUAAAUAUAAAUAAUUUGACUUUUGAUAAUAACUUUUUUUGAACAAAAAUAUUUAGUUUUUUUUCAAUAGCAUGCAUGUAUUCUAAAAUGCUUGACCAAAAAAAAGUUUUGGUCAAAAAGUCACAAUAUUUAAUUUAUUCAUAUAUUUAUCACAAACAUUUAAAUUUUCUAAUAUAGUUGCAAUAUAAUACAUAUGUGCAUUACCACACUAGUUAUUAUAAAUACAAGGUAUCCUUCAAAAAAAAAAUUAUAAAUACAAGGUAGGAGAUGAUUUCAGUUUCAGUGAUUGAGCACAUCACCAACAAGAAAGAAGAUGGCUCAGGGACAAAAGGAAAGGUAGAGAAAAUAGAGAAACACUCUAAUAUUCUCAAAGAAAAGUUAUAUUACUUGAAUGAUUCAAUACUUGAUUCUUUGAAUGUGCCUAAACACUUAGUGGUGAGCCUUAUUUAUACUACUCUAGGAAGGCUCUACAUUACAAACUAGAAAUAUCUAGAAACAUUUAAUGCUACUACUUAAUUACAAGAACUAUCUAGAGAUUCUAAUAUCUAGUUCAUGUGCCUAGAGAUGAUCCUAAUCACUAUGACAUUAUUUUGUAAUAUUCUUGAAAGUUCUUCGACAUCUUAAAAGUUCCAUAAUGUUCUAUAUUAUUCUCCAUAAUUCUCUAUCAUUCUCCACGGGUUGGAAGAGACUCAUCCUCGAGUCAAGAUUUCCUUGUUCAUCCUCGAGUCAAGAUUUCAGAAUACUUUUGCUACGGAAGUCAAAGUAUUCGAAGGACAAAAUCAGUUCCAACAUUUUCCCAAGGUGGCUUAGGAACUGGACGAAGUAGACAUAACUUUGUCUUAUCUUUGAAUGGUUCCUUUGCGGGUGAAAGUCCAAGUAGCUUAAAUUCCGCUUUUCCAUCAUUGAGUGGUAGAGGUGCCAACUUGAUCACAUCUUUCACGAAAGUGCAUGUAUUGACAUGAUCAUCGUAUAAUGCACAACGAUCAUAUUGACAUGGCAUCCAAGUAUCCAUAGAAAUAACAUCACACCAUAAAUUUUCUUUAUAAUUAUUGCCAAUGGAAAAUGAGAUAAUAGAGUGUUGAGAUACUUUUACCUCAUUAUCCUUGUUGAGCCGUUGAAGCUUGUGAGGGUGUAGGCGCUCCUUUGUUGGUAGAUUUAAUUUUUCUACCAUAUAAUUGGAUACAACAUUUUCACAACUUCCACCGUUGACAAUGAUAUCACAGACCUUACCUUGUGAGGUGUUGGAAGUGUGGAAGAUAUUAUGUUUUAGACAUGAUUCUUCUUUAUCUGUUGUUGUUUGUAAGCUUCUUCUAGCUACAAGUGAUUUACCAGAAUCAAAAGGAACACAUUCUCCGUCAUACAGUGGUUCGUUCUCCUCUUUUUCAAACACUUCAUGAAUAUCAUCAGGAUCAUGUUCAACAUCAUUCAUUGGAUCGUUGUUUCCUUCUUCUUUAAACACUUCACAAAUGUCAGUACCAACAUAUUCUUCAUCAUAUAUUGGUUCUCCCAUUGUCUCUGCUUCAAAUGAUUCAUGGAUGUCUUCUCUUUCUUCUUCAAAAAUAUUGUUUAUCUCUCUAUUAACGAUGGUGACUGCUUUAUAAUUCACACAAUCUAUGGCUAUGUGUCCGUACCCUUGACACAUGACACAUUUAGGUAUAUUGGUAUUUAUCUCUGUGACUGUUUUAUGACGGGGUUUAAAUGUGAAAAUAGGUUGAUGGGUUAGUGGUUUGUGAGAGUCAAUUUGAUUUUUUGUGGGGGAAAAUUGUCGGUAUGAAAUUUUUUUGGAUAAUUGUGGUUGAGUAAAAUUGUAUUGAUAAUAAUGGGGAGGUAAAUACUUACGGGUUAGUUUUUGACGCAUUUUCUCCCACGUCUUGAUCUUGCUUUUUCCUUCACGCUUGCGUCUCCUUUUAACAUUUUUCCACCAAAUUGAAGCGAGUUUCUUCAGCUUGGCAGCAACGAUCUUUACCUUUUGCUCCUCCGGAACCUCCUUAUAUUUAAAUAAACGUUCCACAAUUUGUAGCCAAUCUAGAAAAUCAUCUGGUUGUAGAUUCCCUUCAAAAUCUGGAAUGUCUACUUUAAUAUCAUUCAUUUGAAGCUCACGUCGUUGUGAGCGACUGCUUCUAGAUGAUGAAGAGUCACUACCGGAGACAUGAUCUUUGAAUCUCUUUUGUUGUGCUUCCAAAAGGGCUUGUUGGGCAUUGACAAUCUCUUGUAGUUGUUGAAUUUGUCGCCUCAUUUUUUCCAUCUCUUGCAAACUUCUUUCAUUUUGUCUUCGAGGUGGCAUUUGGACGAUGACGGUUCAACAAACUAUAUGGUAAAGAUUGUGGUUGUGAGUGGUGGUUUUGUUGGUGGUGAAGACUUGUUAACCAACGGUUUUCUUCACUUCCCAAACAAAAUGACAGGGUUAGUUUUGCAAACAAAAUGGCCGCAAAGUGAAGUUUUACUAAGGCAACUCCUUGCUCACUUGAAAACUCACUUUCCGUUGAUUUUUUCGCACAAACUCAACUCCGAGGUAUCGUAACCAGCUCUGAUAUCAAAUCUGGCUCAGGGACAAAAGGAAAGGUAGAGAAAAUAGAGAAACACUCUAAUAUUCUCAAAGAAAAGUUAUAUUACUUGAAUGAUUCAAUGCUUGAUUCUUUGAAUGUGCCUAAACACUUAGUGGUGAGCCUUAUUUAUACUACUCUAGGAAGACUCUACAUUACAAACUAGAAAUAUCUAGAAACAUUUAAUGCUACUACUUAAUUACAAGAACUAUCUAGAGAUUUUAAUAUCUAGUUCAGGAAAAUACUUGUUCAUGUGCCUAGAAAGUUCUAGAGAUGCUAAGAUGAUCCUAAUCACUAUGACAUUAUUUUGUAAUAUUCUUGAAAGUUCUUCGACAUCUUAAAAGUUCCAUAAUGUUCUAUAUUAUUCUCCAUAAUUCUCUAUUAGAAGAGUGAGAUUACUCUCCUCUCACAAUCUUGAUUUAUGGUUCUUCUAUAGCUGGCAUUAUUUUAACUCAUUCUAACAUUUUCCAACUCCAAAUUCCCAAAGGUAAACUCCAAAAAUCUAAAAGAAAACGUAUACUUUUUGUUACAUUUUGCUUGGUUUUUUGGGAUUAUAGAACAUGCAUGUACUAUUGUCCAAGACCAUGAUGCUUGUAUUCAAUUUAAAAUUUCUUUCAUACCAUUUUUUUCAUCUUAUAUGUGACAACUAAAACUAUAGACAGUUAUUGGAUUUUUGAAAAUCAGAUUCAAACAUGGAUGUAUCAGAAGUGUGUCCAACUGUUGAUGCAAUAAGAGCUUUCCUUGAAUACUUGGUAGAUCCAUUACUGCAAGAAGAUCAUUCUACCAAUGAUGAUCUUCCAUUAUCACAACAUGAAAAAGUUGCAAAACAGGUUUUUUUUUUCUUUCAUUCACCUUGAAACUUUUGUUAUGGCAAUCCAAAUAUUAACUAAUAACAUCUAGGUGACUAUUUGGAACAGAUUUCAGUUACGCCUUUUUAUACAAACUUAUUUUAAAUUUAAUUUCAUUAAUUAACAUUUAAUAGAAGUCGUUUAAACUUGAGGUGAUUGCUCAAUCGUACGAGCUUAGCCUUGUUACCUCCAGGUAAAGAGGUAAAGAGUUCAAAAUCCCCUCGAAGACGGUUAUGAUUUGGUCAUUAGUGCCAUUUUGAUCGAUAAAAAUUUCCCCUUUGCCAAUAUUUUAAAAGAAGUUCCCAUUUGAUUUUAAAUUUGAAAGAUUAGUUAACAUGAAAUUGAAGUUCUUAUUUGAUUUUAAUAUCUAAUUGAAGUUCAUGAUUUUAACAUCUAUUAAAGUUCCUAUUAGAUAUGGCAAUCCAAAGAUUAAUUAACAUCUAAUUGAAGUUCCUAUUUGAUUUAAAAGUUGAAGAACCACAAGUAUUUCAUUAUAUGAUUAUGAUGUAGGUGCGUGCAGUCGCAGUCGUGUUAUUGAACAACUACUACCACAUCAGAAAAAUGAAUCAAGAGCUAGCAUUUUUGCCAUACAGGGAAUUUUGCAACAUCAUUGUGGAUCUGAGACCAGCAAUGUUGGCAUAUAUGAAAUUUAUGUUGCAGCCUAAUUAUACUGACCUCGUUGACGUGGAGCAGCAACUUUCAUUAACUGAAAAUGUGAUCAUGAGUUCCCAUGAUAUAUGCUUAUCUAUAGAUGCAUCGAAAAAUGAACCUAAUAUAGAGGGUUGGCCCAUUUCAAAAGUCGCGGUCCUUUUGGUCGAUAUUAAGAAGGAAAACUGCUUCUUGCGUUUUAAUUCCUUCACUGAUGGAGUAUGGUCAUUGAUUGAAAAAGAUGUUGAUACUUCAUAUCAAAUUUUUGAAGUUACAAGUGAGAUCAAAUCUCCAUACAAAAGAAGAAUAGUAAUUAUGACACGUUCGAAAGUCAUAUUAAAUGAAGAUUAACUCUUGCAAGAUGGAUAUUCUGCUAUUAGCGAAGCUGCAAGUAAUUAUCCUACUUUAACAUAAAGAUUGCAUUUGUUUUAAUUUAUUCACAAUUGGAAUCAUAUGCCAGCAUGACUCAUGGUGUACACUUUUCUUAUGUUUUCUGUACAUCUUGUCAUAUCAGGACAUGCUUUGUUUUUUCUUUAUUUUCUGUAUAUUAAAUUGUUUUAACAUGUAUUUUUUGACUCAUAAUAGUCGAACAUGAUUCUUAUAAAAUGAUUUCAUAUUUCCCUUGUGAAUAGGUGUCAAUAUUAUUGAUAUGAUGCUUUUGGGAAGUUACACUGUGUAUUCCCAGAGCAAAGAGAGGACAGCGUUUCGCUUUUAUAUAAUGAAGUGCUCACAGUCGAUUGUUGAAGGGUUUACUAAAGUUCCUAUCAAAGAUUUAAUUGAAAGGUUUGUUACAAUCGAUAUGGCUUUUCUAUAACAAACUUUUUGUGUGUUUCUCUAUAACAUUUGAUAUCUCAUCUUUGUAUAGCUUUCGGGGUCCUUUGGUCAAAAGAAGUUCUUGCAGUUGUCAAUUACUUCCACAUGCUUCCUUAUUCUGAAAUAAUCUCAGAAUGGAUUUCUAGGUUUGUAUAAUUCACAUUUCCCAUUUUCUGAUGCUAAAUUCAGAUUGAUUUACAGUAAUGAAUAUUGACCUAAUAAUUAGAAGCCUCGGAAACAUAGCAUAGGUUUGAUUAAAUUAUUUCCCAUUUCCAUCUUAUGUUUUCGUUUUCACCUUUUGCAUAAAAUAAUGAUGGAUAUUUGCAUAAUGUGUUCUUUGCAGAGAAGCUUUCUCAAAUAGUUUGCAAGAUUUAAUGCUGGCAGAGAAACAAUCCUCAAAGCUUGAAGUGACAGAAUCACAUGUAAGUAGUAAGGGCUUGUAUAUUGAUCUUGAUAACAAGUUGUGCAGAUGUUUUAUACAAUAUUUAGUUAUGUCUAUGGAUACUUCUUAAGGUUUACAUAAACCCUAGAGUUUUUACUAUUUCCUUUAUUGUUGAGAUGGCUUUUUUCUUAAGAAAAAAAAGUAGUCUCAAUGCUUUUUUCAUCUCUCACCUAACUACAUGCCAUUGGAUAUAUUGACAGGUUGAGAAGGUUUGUUCAACAAGGAUGCAAAUCACUGAAGAUGGAAUCAAAGAUCAACCUAUUUCAGAAAAUGAAUCUGAGGGAUGUGCAAGUGAUGUCAAGGACCAGGGUCAGCAGGAUAGGCCCAAAGUGUUGAAGAUCUAUGCGAGGAGAAACAAAAAAGAUCAAAAGGUAGUAAAACCAUCAAUGCAACAUCACUCAAAUGAAUGUACACGAACCAUUGAGGCUUGUGUUACAAAGCAAAUAGGAUCUCAUGAUACAAAUCAAGAGGGACCUAAUACAAGAAACAAAAAUGGUCCAAUAAAGGUGGAUACAAAUUCUAGUGAUAGACCAAAUCAAAGGCCUAAGAGAUUGAUCAAGAGACCUAGCAGAUUCAAUACUUAAAUGUAUAUCUAGUAGCAUUCAAGGAAGAGGGUAAAUCCAUGAGCUGAUACAAAUAUCUCUAGUACCAUUAGUACCUGAAAAAGGAUAAGAAUAAAAAUAGUUAGCAAUUUUUUUUUUUAUAUUUUAAUCAAUGGGAUGAAGACAAUUAGUGUCUCAAUAUCCUAUAUCCUAGGAAGAAUUGUAUCGUCUCUAGCAUUAUAUGAAUUGUGUUUGCGUUUGGACUGAUCAUAUUUUUGUUUCUUGCUUUAUCUUUCUAGUUUUGGUUUUACCAUGUCAACUUGGAAAUUUCUUGUGACCUUGUUUUCCAAUAAUUAAAUUUGUGGUUCAUAAUUGCUCUACAUGGCUUACAUUGAACUAUGCACACAUGACAACAGUGCGUGCAUUCAUAAGGAAACACAAUGAUGACGUUGAAGAAUGAUAAGUGAUAAGUAAAUCAAAAAAUCGAAUCCACAACCACAAAAUGAAGAUGAAACUAUACAUAGAUAUUUUCCAUGUUUAAAAGUAUCAAAAAAAUAAUUCACAAGUAGAACUCGUGAAUUGAAUAAACAGGUUUCUAGUCCAUCACACUGAAUUUGUCCUAUACAAUGCUACAAUUAUUCUAGAUGUAACUUAGUUUUUUUUUUAUUUCUAUUGGUGACAAAAGUGUUCUUAUAAUCCUAUGAUUGUCUAAAAAGGGCAAAUGUCAACAUGUGCUCUAAGGGUAGGGCUGGUCAUCAGUCAAUUUCGGUCGAAAAUCGGGGCCAAAACCUCGAUCUGCGCUAACCCAUCGUUGGAACUCCUAGGCUCAAUUCCAGUCUCGGUUUAGUUGGUUUCGGUUUACUGGGUUCAGUCUAUUAACUCCUUAAUGGACCAAAUUAUUUGGCUCGUAAAUUUUUUCAAGAAUAUACCUUUCAAUAAAAAAAGAUUUCUGGUUUUUUUUUUCCUUAGUAAUUCUAAAAAUGGGCAUGUGUGUAGAUUCAAAUACAUAUUGUUUUCUUAAAUUGGACCAUUCAACAUAUUAUUAAGCUCAUUCAUACUAAUCUUAAGGUUAAUCAAUUGACACAGCAUACUCAAUAAAUUACAAUUUAAAUAGCCAUAUUAAGACAUUAAUUAUAUUCAUUCGAUAAUAAAAUUAACAUAGUAAGUUCUUUCACUGUUAUAAAUGAAUAUAGCAAGCUUCUUGCUGAUGUAAGAUGGAGAAACUUGAACCUUGAUGCUGCAAAAAAGAAAAGAAAAACAAUCACCAAUGAUAAUUAUUCACUCACAAUCUUAAAAAGAGAAUAAAAUUGCAGAAAGGGUGGGUUAUUCUUAUGAACAUUUGUUAGAGCUUCUAAGUGGUUAUUCUUUUUUCUCUCAAAAAAAAAAAGUGGUUAUUCUUUUUGAAGCAAAUAGAAACAUGUUCACUUGCAUACGUACACUUAAAAAGAAGCAAAGAGAACUUUAUUUGCAUACACUUUUAAUACACAUUUACAUCAACUUUGAAUAAAUGUUCGCAUACAUACAUACACUUUGAAAAGGUCAAGAGAACAACAAAUAAACCAUAUAAGAAGCAAAGAGAGAUUAUAGUCAAAUUUUCUUGCAAAUUUCAGAUUUCAUUUAGAUAUCACAACGAACUUGCAUAAACUCAAACUCACAUACACUUGCAUACAAAAGAAAGACACUACAAUUUUCACUUGCAUACACAUUUGGAUCAACUUUAAAUACAUGUUAGCAUACACUUUGAAGAAGAAAAAAAAAAGCAUCAAAAGACAAUUCAAUGGACUUCAAUAAGUCUUUUGGAUUUUGUUAUUUAAAAAAGAUAGUUGUGUUAAAAUUUUAGAACAUGAAGGGUUAAAAUGAAAAAAUAAAAAGAUAAAUGAUUGAAUUGUUACUUAAAAUUAAGUUAAGAUAUUAAGGAUAUAAUUUUGCGUUAUUAUUUUAAUAAAACAGAUAGCUUAACUAAGAAUUCCAACAAUUUAACAAUGAGUAGUUAUUAUAUUUUAAUAAAACAUAUCGUGUCAUGAUUCUAUCAAAUAAUCUCUCUCCCAACAAUUUAACAAUGAGUAGUGAUAUUUGAACAACCAUUUCAUUCAAUUUUUGUGAUAACUAUUAUUUUUUCUCUUUUCAUUGAUCAAAAACAAUAGAAAGAGAUAAAGGAAGAGAUAGAAUAAAAGCAUAACGUGAAUAUAAAAGAGAGAGUUGUCACAAAGUGGUUGUACAAAUAUCAUUUCUCUUUAACAAUUUAUUAGUUUCUCACAUACUAAGCUUUAUCAAUUGUUUUACUCAUUUACCCUAUCAAUUUUUGGGUUUAAUCAUUUAAUGAAAGAGGGAUAGCUGAGAUAGAUGGAUUGAAGAGGAAAGAAGACAAUGAAAUAAAUAAAAAAUUGAAAAUGUUGGUAUAAAACAACAGUAACUACGAUGUAUGUAUUGUGUUUUGUUUUUGUGUGUUCAGUUAUCAUUUUUUUUUCAUUAUUAUCAUCAUUAAUGUACGAGAAAACUUUGUAUUGAAAUACAUUAAAUUUUAGUCAAUCUUUAAAAAAAAAAAAAAUUGGUCAAAUAUUCGAAAUAUUUAAUUUAUUCAUAUAAGUCAUUGUAUUGAAAUACAUUAAAUUUUGGUCAAUCUUUCAAAAUAAAUUAAAUUUUGGUCAAAUAGUCAAAAUAUUUAAUUUAUUCAUAUAGUUAUCGCAAACAUUUAAAUUUUCUAAUAUAAUUGCAAUAUAAUACAUGUGGGCAUUACCACACUAGUUAUUAUAAAUACAAGGUAGGAGAUGAUUUCAGUUUCAGUGAUUGAGCACAUCACCAACAAGAACAAAGAGUGAGAAUAUUCUCCUCUCACCAUUUUCAUUUUUGGUUCACCAUUUAUAUGUGAUAACUAAAACCAUAGUCAAUUAUUGGAUUUUUGAAAAUCAGAUUCAAACAUGGAUGUAUUAGAAGUGUGUCCAACUGUUGAUGCAAUCAGAGCUUUCCUUGAAUACUUGGUAGAUCGAUUACUGCAAGAAGAUAAUUCUACCAAUGAUGAUCUUCCACAAUCACAACAUGAAAAAGAUGCAAACCAGGUUUUUUUUUUCUUUCACCUUGAACCUUUUUUUUCAUACAUGAAAAAUUUUGAUUGAUAAAAAUUUCCCCUUUGCCAAUAUUUUUUUAAAAACUUCUCAUUUGAUUUCAAAAUUGAAAUAUUAAUUAACAUCAAAUUUAAGUUCUUUUUUCAAAAAAAUAAUCAAAUUGAAGUUCUUAUUUGAUUUUAAUAUCCACUUGAGUUCCUAUUAGAUAUGGCAAUCCAAAGAUUAAUUAACAUCUAAUUGAAUUGUUCCUGUUUGAUUUUAAAGUUGAAGAACCAGAAGUAUUUAAUUAUAUGAUUAUGGUGUAGGUGCAUCUAGUCGUGUUAUUGAAGAACUGCUGCCACAAAAAACUGAAUCAAGAGCUAGCAAAGUUUCAACCAAGUCUGCUUUCCGAUCCUUAUAGAAUCCUUUCAUUUCGAGAUCCUUUGUCAUUGACCUCAAUCUAGGCAUUGUCUCUUUCAUCAAGGAUUAUGUAGUUUUCAUCACGGUAAUAGGGACCAAAGCUAAUCUCACAUUAUAUUGGCUUCCAUUAUCCAAUGAAACCCUAUUUAAAUUCUUCAAAACUUGUCUUUUCUUUUGUAAUUCAGAAAAUUUGUUGUCAUAAUGAAUAACAGCCUUACCAUCAGUUCCGUGAUGGCCCGACUACAAAUCCCUUUAUUACUUUUACUAUUGAUGGGCUCAUUUAAGAUCAUACCAGCAGGACAUGUUUUCGACUUCCGCUGCCUCUUAGUUAAUACAUUAUCAUUGUUAGAAAGAACAAUAGAAUUACCCUCAAUUUCGUGUUGGCCCUGUUGCACAUUUAAGAUUGUACCAGCAAUAUAUGUUUUUUGUUUCCGCGGCCUCUUAGUUGAUACAGUAAUAUUAGAUGUUCUUGGAGUAACUUCUAAUAUUAUAUUAAAUAAGAGGCAACGGAAACAAAAAAAACCUAUAUUGUUGGUACAAUCAUAAAUGACAACUGGGCCAGCAUGAAGUUGAGGGAAAUUCUAUUGUUCUUUUUCACAUUGAUAAUGUAUUAACCAGCGGAAGUCAAAAAUUUGUCCUACUGCUAUGAUCUUGAAUGAUCAAUAGUACAAAUAAUAAGAGGGAUUUACAGCCGGGACAACAUGGAACUAUUGGUAAGGCCAUUGUUCUUUAAGGAAUCUCGAAAUGGUAAAGGAUUGGAAAGGAUCUCGAAAUUUCUGAAUGACAAUUCCUACACUGUGGUCAAUGGUAAAGGAUCUCGAAAUGAAAGGAUUCUGUAAGGAUUGGAAAGCAGAUUUGGUUGAAAAAUUACUUGUGUCAUAUAGGUAAUUUCGCGAGAUCAUUGUGGAUCUGAGACCAGCAAUGUUGGCAUAUAUGAAAAUUUAAUGUUGGCAGAGAAACAAUUCUCAAAGCUUGAAGUGACAAAAUCGCACGUAAUUAAGUAGUACGGGCUUGUAUAUUGAUCUUGAUAACAAGUCGUGCAAGAAUUUCCCAAUCUAUAUAUCUUUUAUAUUUUAAUCAAUGGGAUGAAGACAAUUAGUGUCUCAAUAUCCUAUAUCCUAUGAAGAAUUGUGUCGUCUCUAGCAUUAUAUGAAUUGUGUUUGCAUUUGGACUUGAUCAUAUUUUUGUUUCUUGCUUUAUCUUUCUAGUUUUGGUUUUACCAUGUUAACUUGGAAAUUUCUUGUUACCUUGUUUUCCAAAAAUUAAAUAAAUGUGUGGUUCAUAAUUGCUCAACAUGGCUUACAUUGGACUAUGCACACAUGACGAGAGUGUGUGCAUUUAUAAGGAAACACAAUGAUGACGAUCAAGAAUAAUAAGUGAUAAGUAAAUCAAAAUAUAUCAAAUCCAUCUAAAAACUUCUACUUUUAAAAUCCUUAACUUGUGCCGUUAGAGCAUAGGUUAGCAAGAUCGAUCUAAAAAUGCAUGAGUAUUUUGCUUCUAGUAUCACUGUUUUGCUCGUUUUCUUUUUCUUUUCCCAAUUUUCUGAAUUCUCACAACUAUUCUAAUGUAAAUGAAUAAUAGUUAUACACAACUCAAAGCCAAUUAAACUUGUUAAAAAUUGAAAGCCAAAUUACAGUGAUAAAAUCUCGUGUACUUAUUUUACUUUAUAAAUAAAUUAGAUUCAUUAGUGAAAUAUAAACUCUGUCUGAGCACAAGAAAUUCCACAACCCUUCUACAAGCUUACAACACUACAACAACAAAAGCUAUCAUGAUGUGCUUUGAAAGCAUCUGGACCAACAUAAUCCACAAAACAAAGAAGAAGCUAGACUUCAAUUCUAAACACUUUUAAAAUAAAAAAAUAAAAAUAAAAAUAAACCUUAGAUUGUAAACUUUUAUAAAAAUAAAAAAAUAAAAAAAAAAACCUUAAAUUGAAAAAUAAUUAACUAUUGUGUUUGAUAUUUUAUUACAAUUAACAAACAAACAUGUUCACCCCAAACAAUUAUUGUUGUGUAUAACACUUGUAAUAAAGAAACACUAAGUUUUUUUGGUGCACAAUAAAGAAACACUAUUUUAUCAUCUCCCUGAGAAAACAUUGUUAUUUGAAGAUAUAUAUGGUGUAAAAGUUGCCAAUCAAAUUUUAUGGACUGAUAGCCGAGUUUCAUAAAUAUAUAGAUUUGAGAAGUUGUAAAGAAAUAAAUUUGAGAAGCACUAUUACAAAUGGCGGUCUAAUAUGAAUCCUCUCGAAUGGUGAACUAUGAAUUUUAAAUUUUUUUUUAAUAAAAUGCUACAUUUGUUCUAAAUUUUUAUUAAUAUUAUAUGCACCCCUAAUAUUAUAAUUUUAUUUGUUCCAUAUUUGAUGCACCUAUAUUGUAAUUAUAUUUUUACCCUUUUACAAAUGUACAACAUAUAAAUAGGAUACAAGACAAAAGCAGCAGAGAUGUCGCGGUAUAUACAAUCAAAAUUAUGAAUGAGGGCCUCUAAAAUAUUAUGAAAGAUUAUUAGUGUUGAGAAUAGUGCAUACUUUAAUAGAUUAUCCAUUUAAAAAUCAUGAUUGUUUGUGAGGUUCUAUAUUUGUCAGUUUCUUAACAAUUAACACCAAUUUUAUCUGUAGGUUGUAGCUACAGACAAAUAUAGACAAAUACAGCCUACACCAAUUUUUCUCUAUAUUUGGCUCUAAAUAUAAAUUAUAAAAGGAACCAUAUUUUCAAUGGAUCAAGCACAAUAGUCAAUUAGUUUUUCAUUCAUGGCUCUGAAUAUGAAAUUAUUCAGAGCCUUUUUAAUUCUCACUCUCUUCAAUCUCUUCACCACGUUACCAUCUGCUGAGGUUGUUUCACCAAUUCUUGAUGUUUCUUCACUUAAUCGAACUAGUUUUCCUACAAACUUCAUUUUUGGGACAGCAUCCUCAGCAUACCAGGUACCUCAUUAUUUCAAUGAGACCUUCUUACAGAUUUGAAUUCAAUUUCAGUCGGGCCAAAAUGCAGUUUUUAAUUUAUGAGCAUUGAUUUUAAAAAAUAAUGAUAAUGGUUUUAAUUUUUAGAACAUAUUAAAAAUCCCACCAAAUUUAAGCUAAAUCAAGGUAAUUGAAUUGAACAAUUUGGUUGAUGUCAUGAUAUAUUAUAUCAUGUAGUACGAAGGUGCUGCUAAAGAAGGUGGGAGAGGAGCAAGUAUAUGGGACACCUAUACUCAUAAGUAUCCAGGUAUCUGAUUUCUCCAUUUAUUUUUUUGGAUUGAAUUCAAGAUGCAUGUAAAGUGUUAAAAUUAAUUUUGAUUUAGUAACAACUCAAUGUUUUUUUUAUUCUGUAUCAAGAUUGAUUUUACGACUUUGAUUUAAUUAAAAGAGAUCAAGAGUACUUUUAUGAUGAUGAGUUGAAAAUUUUAUAAUAUGUUUACGUUUUACACUUUUUAGAUUCGUGAAGCAAAUAUCAAUGGCAACCAAUAACCAAAUGUAAAUAACCACAAGCAAUAACAACAAUCUAGAUCUAAUCUAGAAAACAAGUGCAUAGAAAAACCACAAUCCAACCAAGGAAUAAACAAGUUAAAGAGGGUAAAGAAAAGAUAACAGCACCAAGAAAUUAUUGACCCAGUUCGGUCCAACUUGACCUAAUCUGGGGAGAGAUUGAUCUCUCCAAUCCAUUAUCAAUGAGCUCUUACAAAGAAAUACAAAUGGGUUACAAUAAAUUAGCUUCAACAAGCUCACAAAGAACAACCUUAAUUUCUACCCAUUUUCCCAAUCUCACCAAUGCACAAGACACUCGUGAUUUUCACUCUCCCAAGGUGUUUACAAUUGUUUCCCAACUCUAGAAUCUAAACCCGAAAAGAGAACCAACCCUUAGCCUUUGAUUUCACUAAGGAUCUUCUCUUUUGGUUUCACAAGACUCACCCAAGUUGCUCACAAAAGACUCUCCACUCAUGUGUUUCCCAACCCCAUGAAUCUUCCCAAAAGGCACCAACCCUUUUCCCAAGAGCCCCCUCUUUUGGUUCUUCAAGAUUCACAUCUUGAAGUUUUGAACCUCACCCAAAGACCCUCAACCUUUAGUAUCUAAAACCCUAAAAGUUCUCUCAUUUGGUUUCCAUGAGAUUCACCUAGCUUUUUAACAAAUGGGUCAUAGAGUGCUUAAAUAGUGUGACAGAUCUGUCAAAAUCGCGUCGCGUCAGCCAAAAUCGCGCCACGGUUCAUUGUGUACGACCCAAGGUACAACAACCUUAUCAAGAAAUCGUGUCAUGAUGCACAAAAUCACGCCACGAUUUGCUUCAACAGAAACCAUCCAUUCUACCAGCAAAAUCACGCCACGCCUCUGAAAAUCGCACCACAAUUUUCAGCUUUUACAACAUCACAAUUUUGAAUCAUUUCUCAACAAUUAUUUAGAAACGCGUUCACCACAAACCAAUAUUGGUGUGUAUAGCACUGGUAAUAAAUAAAUAAAAAUACACAAUGUUAUUCUGCUCAAUGGUGCAAUAUGAGUUUGUCUCUCUCUCAGAGAACAUUUUAAUUUGAAGGUAUUAUGUUGUAAGAGUUGCAAAUCAAAUUUUAUGGAAUGAGAGGCCGAAAGUCAUAACUUAAUUAGAUUUGAGAAGUAUUUUAUAAGGGACAAUCUAAUAUGAACCUUCUCGAAAGGUGAACUGUGAAUUUUAAAAAAUUUGCAAACAUUCCUUCAAAACAAAAGUUAUUAACAUAUUACAAUUAUUCUAAAUUUUUAUUAACAUAAAAUUAGUUUUACUAUAUACACCCCAAUUAUUAUAACUUUAUCUGAUCCAUAUUAGAUGCACCUAUUAUAAUUCUAUUUUUAGCCUUUUACAAAUAAAACAAAUGUUCAACAUGCAGAAAAGAUAUCAGACAGAAGCAACGGAGAUGUUGCGGUUGACCAAUAUUAUCGCUAUAAGGUACUGUAUUUAUGAUCAAAAUCAUGAACGAGGACCCCUAUAAUAUUAAGUAUGAUGAUUAAUGUUGAAAAUUGUGAAUAGUUUAAGAGAUUAUCAAUUUAAAGUUCAUUAUUGCCUGCAAGGUCUAGCUCAAAUAUCAAUGCCUAUAUUGCUAGACUGAAGACAUUCACCCUGGUUUGAAUCUGGCACCUCACUGUUGUAUGUGUGAGUAUUAAAUGAUAUAUUAUCACUUCGUCUACAAACUACAAAAAAUAAUAGUCAAUAUUGUUAAAAAUCAAGGUGAUGAUACGAAAUCGACUAAAAUACCAAAUAUAAUAUAUUUUUUACUUACUUAAUGAGAAUUGAUUAAUGCAUAAAACUUUUCAUAAGAUAGAACACUAGUAAAAUUAUUAUUAUAAAGAUAAUGAUAUUCAAUGGAGAAAAAUCAAAUUCAAUAUCCCCCUGCAAUUGGUUACUAUUUUGUAUUAUAUUAUAUAUUUUCUUUUGUACAAUAAAAUGAUAGUAUGUUAUUUCAAAAAAAUAUGGAACUAGUACGUUAUACACUUAAAUAUCGCAGGAAGAUGUUGGCAUCAUGAAGAAUAUGAAUUUGGAUGCCUACAGAUUCUCGAUCUCUUGGUCUAGAAUCCUCCCAAGUGAGUUAAACUUAAACGACUAACUCCUAGUUAAUUUUACCUAAUUAAGUUGAUGUUUCACAAUUUUUUUCUUUCAAUUUUAUUAAACUAUCAAUAGAAGGAAAAAUUAAUGGAGGUAUAAACCAAGAAGGAGUCAAAUAUUACAACAACCUCAUCAAUGAGUUGUUGGCUAAUGGUUAGUCCAUACUUGGUUUACUUGAUUUUUUAUUAAACUACUACACAUUUUAACAUUUCAAACAACAUUAAUAGUAAACAAAAUUAUUGAAUAUAAAUAUUGUAGGUCUACAACCAUUCGUAACUUUAUUUCAUUGGGAUCUUCCUCAAGCUUUAGAGAACGAGUAUGGCGGCUUCUUAAGCCCUCUCAUUGUGUAAGUGAUACAAAAUUACCUAAAUCUUAUUUACCUAAAUCUCAUUAUGAAGAUCCACAUUAGGCUAGUUUUGUAUUUGGAACAAAUUGUAUAUUAACCAAUCAAAAAGCAACAAUACUAAGCAUUAAUAUCAUAAUCUGUGGCUUAUUUUUAGAAAUGAUUUUCAAGACUACGCGGAACUUUGUUUCAAAGAGUUUGGAGAUAGGGUGAAGUAUUGGAUCACUUUCAAUGAGCCAUCCUCUUUCAGCGUUUCUUCCUAUGCAAUAGGGAUCUUUCCACCUGGUCGAUGUUCUAAAUGGUUGAGUUCAAAUUGCACCGAUGGUGAUUCAGGGAAAGAACCUUACAUUGUUUCGCAUCACCAACUUCUUGCUCAUGCUGUAGCUGCCGAUGUGUACAAGAAGAAGUAUCAGGUUUGUUAUUAUAACUUAGAUAAGAACUUAAUUUAAAGUUAAAGAUACCUAAUAACCAAAAAAUGAUAUAUUUAUAUAUAGGAAUCUCAAAAGGGUGUGAUAGGCAUAACCUUGGUGUCUAGUUGGUUCAUUCCACAUUCUGAUAAUAAAUUCGAUCAAAAAGCUGCUGAACGAGGACUAGACUUCAUGUUUGGAUGGUAAGUGCUUAACUCUACACUAGAAUACUAGUUAGAUAUAGUUGAAUAUUAAUUAGAAUUAGUUUAAUUUUUUUAAGAAAGUUAAAACUUAGUGGUGUAAUUAUUUGUUUUUUUAUAAGCUAGCAAAUAUUUCUUGAUUAUGAGUAAACUAAACUAGCACACGAUGUUCAAGGAUUUGUUCAAUUUACGAGCACCACCCUUACUCCUAUCAAAAGGGUGAUCUCUUCAUCAAGGAGUCACUCUUGGUUUCCCAUGUUGCCGACCUCCUUGGAUUUUAACCUACGUACCGGUAGACCCCAAAACUGAAACGGUACUUUAUCAAAGGUGCAAAACAAGAAGUUUCCAUAAAAUGUUACUCCAUGAUCACAAUAAAAAGCGAUCAUUUGAAAUCAUCAUAAUACCAAUUCCAAAACCGAUCCAUGUUUCUAUAAUUAGUUGGACUAUAUCGUAUAGUAGUAAUUCUCAACAAUAACAAUUGUUCGUGAAAUUGUUUUUAAGUUUUCUAUUUGUAAAAAUGAUUACAGGUAUAUGGAACCACUAACAAAAGGGGAAUAUCCACAAAGCAUGCGUUCUCUUGUUGGAAAACGAUUGCCAAAUUUCUCUAAAAAGCAAGCAAGACUACUUAAAGGGUCAUUUGAUUUCCUUGGACUAAACUAUUAUACCUCUAUGUAUGCUACCAAUGCACCACAACUUGGAAAUGGUAGACCCAAUUACUUCACUGAUUCUAAUGCCAAUUUUACAAGUAAGCAUGUCCUUUAUUUAUUGAUCAUUUUUUAAAUUAAUGAAUAUUUUUUAAUUUGAUGAUAAAAUUAUAUCUUUUGUUUUUGUGGUGGAAGCUGAGCGCAAUGGUAUUCCAAUAGGUCCAAGGGUACGUAUACCAUAGCAUAUUAUAACUUUUAUAAUUUUUUUAAGUGUAUAUAUAUUUAGGUUAUGUUUGCAAUUAUCUUUGUGCAGGCAGCUUCAAGUUGGUUAUAUGUUUAUCCUAAAGGAAUUCAAGAAUUGUUACUCUAUGUUAAGAAAGUGUACAACAAUCCUUUGAUUUACAUCACCGAAAAUGGUAAACACACUUUACUUCAUAUUGUUUAUUCCUGAAUAUUGUUAUAUAAAGUAAAUGUGAGAUAGAAUACAUAACAUUUUUCGAUAAAAAUUUACGUUUAUGUAUGAAUUUUAUCUUUUGAUAUUUUUAUCUAACAUAUAUAUGAUCAUAAUCUUUUUUGAAAACUUAAUUUUUAGGUGUUGAUGAGUUUAAUGAUCCAACACUAUCACUCGAGGAAGCCCUUAUGGACACUUCUAGAAUUGAUUAUUUCCACCGUCAUCUCUAUUAUAUUCGAUGUGCAAUCAAGUAAGUGAAUAGUAUUUAUAUAUUUAAAUUUUGAGAUUAGUUUUUUUAAGGAUUUCUUAGAGUGGCUAUAUAUUAUAUAUUUAAAGUAUAGUUGUUUUCUCAUACAUGAUUUAAUUUAUUUUUUUAUUAGGGAUGGCGUAAAUAUAAAAGGAUAUUUUGCAUGGUCGUUUCUCGACAAUUUUGAAUGGGCAUCAGGUUAUGCAAUGCGAUUUGGCAUGAAUUUUGUGGAUUACAAAAAUGGUUUGAAAAGACACCAAAAGUUGUCGGCAAUGUGGUUUACGAAUUUUCUCAAAAAAUGUUAAAUUUUAUAUACUUGAUGUUUCCAAUAAUUAAGAAUGUAAUGAAACAUAUCAAGCAAGUUUAAUUUUAAUUCAUAACAUGGUCGUUCAUUCUUAAACGUAUUUUUUUUAUCCAAUUAGUCAGGUUAUACUUUCACCCUUAAGUUGAAUAAGUGAGGUGUUGAAAUAAAAUAAUUGAGUUAUGUUUACGAGAAUCUUAUACUUAUGACUUUAUUGUCUAAUAAUAAAAUAAUAUAGCGACAUAUGCAACUUCAGUUGUGCAAAUUGAGAUGGAAACAAAAUGUUAUCAACAAUAACUCAAUUAAGGAGAUCUUCUAUGCGUAGUUAAAUUUAAAAUAGCGAUUGAAAUUAUAUUAAUGUAAUAAUAAUAAAUCAUUACUUUGUUGAAAAGUUUCUGAAGCACGAACAAGAAAAAGAUUAAUAAUGUAUGGCUAAUAAGAUAUGAUGACGCCACUUUUCUAUCCUAAAUUUUAAUGAUUUGGAUCUUCUACAAGAAUUUUAUGCAUCUUUUUCCACAUCAUUUUUAUUCUCUUCUGAUUACCUACUCAUUUUUUCUUAUCCUCUUUAUCCAUUCACUUAGAUGCAUCGUGAAUAUGAUACACAUCUUCUAUAUAUCAAACAAUGAACACGUUUACAAUCAAUGUGAGACUACUGUUAAUUUAUUCUUGAAUACCAACAAUCUCUCCAUCAAAUGUGAAUAUAUCACAUCACUAUAAUUAGCUCAAAUACCAUGACCCCACUCUUGAUCCCUUAUCAAGCCAAACUAAGGCUUUAAUACCACUUGUUAGAGAGUUCGAGCAUCAGGAGCAACAAUGAAUAUUAUGAUGUGGUAUUAACAAGAGAUCAUGACACCACAUCCAAACCUAAAACCUUAAUAUGUAAAUAUGAAUAUGAAUAUGAACAUGUUUAAUGUUGGAUAUAUAAGAGAUAUCGAUGACACGUCAAUAAAUGAUGUUAACUUAACAUACAUUUUGAGAGGUACCAUUAAUGUUAACUUAACCCCCAUUUUUCUUUUCUCGAAAAUUUUUUUUUUUUUUUGGUCAAGUCUUUUCUCGAAAUUUUAAUACAUCAUUACAUAUUUUGAUCAUUUUUUUUAUAAUUUUUCCUAUUAAUUUAUAAAAUGAAAACACUUAUUCGGCCACACCAAAAUCUAUGUUAGCAAAAAAAUUAUGUCUAAUAAAUGUUGCUAUUUCAUAAAUUAAUAACAGUAUUAUGAAAAAGGUAAAAUAGUGGAACCAAAAAACUUGUUUUUAAAAUAGGAGGACAUAAACUUAUUUUCUUAAAAUUUCAAAACGACACAAUGGUUUAAAAUUUGAUCCAAGCAAAAUUUAAUUUUCUUUACUUGUUUCAUUAAUUACUUUUCAGAAGUGUUGAACGGUUGUUCCAUCUCCUCAAACGCGAAGUUGUCUCACAAGUGUUAAAAAAAACCACGUGCAUUAUCUUCUGAAUUAAAAAAUAAAAAAUAAAAUAAAAUAAAAAAUGGAAAGAUAAAAAAGGAAGGACAUGUGAGGGUUCUCUCUCGUGCGACCCUUCUUUCUCUUUACAAACAUAAGCCACCAUCACUUCUUCCUCUGGUAAAAUCAAAGACCAAGGUCGAGUCUAUGGCUUUUCUUCUACUUCAAACUACCUUCAUAUCCAUCACCCUUCUCCCUCUUAGAACCCUAAUCCCAAACCCACUUCACCAAUCACUUCAGAUCAUAUCAAAAUUGACAAAACAUGCAAACCCGAAGAUUAGAAGAAUUAACAACAAUUUUACUUAAGAAACAUUCCUAUGAUUGUAUGGUGAUGAUGAUUUGCAGAAGAUGGGGAGAAUAAAGGUAAGGUGGUGGUGGGUGUAUUAGCAUCCUCGUGUGUACCUUCCUUUUUAUUUCCAUUUUCUUAAUCCAACAAUUAUACACGUGAUUUUCUUAAAUAGAUAACUACACGCGUUGUACACCAAUCAGUUAACUGAGCUGCCACGUCAGUAUUGAUUGGAUCAAAAUUGAAAAAAGGAUUAAUAUAUCAAAGGGGGCAAUGUUGAAGAAAAUAAAAGGGUUUUGUACAAAUCUCUGAAGUUUUCAUGAUAACAAGUAUGAAAUAAUAAUUAGAUAUGAUGAUGCUCGAAAAAUAGUUGUCUAUUUUCCAAUACAUGUAAAGUGCAAGUAUACACUGUUGUAACAAGUAAUAAAGAGUAAGUAGAGUAUCGAUCCGACGAGGAUUGGAGUGGAUAGGUCGUAAGUAUUUCCAAAUGCUAAGUUUAGUUAUUUAAGACCCAAAGUGAAAAAUAGUAAAGAUAAGAUUUUAAGGUUCUAAAGUAAAAUGCAGAAGUAAAUAAAGCAUGUCAAAAGAAUUUAGAGAUUCAUGUGAAAAAGUAUUGUUAAGGAAUUAACUUGGUAAAAAUAGAGAUUUGUAAGAUUUAUAAAGCUACAACUCGCAGAUGGAAGUUAUAGUUUGGUACAACUUCCAGAGAAAAAACGUAUAGAGUUAUACCUUCACAUAGCUUCAUGGCCACUUGGUGGCCUGUGGCCUUUGGAGUCUUUUGACUCAACCAUCAUGUUAAGAAUGUGAAAAAACUCCAACAUUACUAAGUUAUAUCAUUAAUAGCUCUACAACGGCGACAAAGUAGUAUCUCUUGUUCUCGUCACCUAUCGGUACUUAGGGACAUAACUCAUAUCAAACAAACAUUUUUCAUUCUCAUGUCCUCUCGGUCUCAGGGAACUAUAACUAGGGGUGUUCACGGUGCGGUUUGGAUCAGUUUUGAGGUAAAAUGCCAACCGAUCCAAAAUAAAAAUCACAUGUGGUUCGGUUCGGUUUGGAUGAGUAUUAUAAAAAAAUCUGAACCGAGCCAAUUCAAAUAUAUGCAGUUUAAUUUGGAUCGGUUUUUGGACAUCCAAAAUGCUUUUUUUUUUUUAUUUACUCUUUUAUGAAUGAUAUAAUUUUUUUUAUUAAUAUUAAUAUUACACAAACAAGGUAAAAUAAUAGGUUUGAUGCAAAAUAUAUUAAAAAGUUAAAAUUAUUGUAUGAAAAUUAUCAAUUAUUUUUGAAACAUAUGUAGUCAUAAUAAUUAGAUUAAAUUAGUGCAAUAUAUAAGAUUAAAAUUUAACAAGCAAUAUAAUAAUGCAAUAUAUAAUACUAAUAAAAGAACAAAUAGGUAUUAAUAAUUAUUUUUGCAGUUCGGUUCGGUUUGGUUCGAUUUUGAAAAGUGAUCCGAAAGCCGAACCGAUCUUAGCAGUUUUUACAAAACAACAUACAAACGCAUCCAAAUAUAUUCGGUUUUUUGCGGUUUUUGGUUUUUUUGGAUCGGUUUCCGGUUUUAUUUUGGAUCGGUUUAGAUUUGAACACCCCUAACUAUAACAUCAAAAAUAAAAGUGAUCAAGUUUUAAUUAUAAAGAUUUGGCAAUGAAACAAUUUGUUUGAAAGAAGCUUUAAAGGUUGUAACAAACUGAAAUUACUGACAUAAUUAUUACUUAAUCAUUCCUUAACCACAAAAGUGGUUUAGCUCAUAAUGAACAUAAACACAAAAAUAUAAAUAGAGAAGAUAAUAGUUAAAAACAUAAUUGCAUAAAUUAUUACUAUUAUAGUUUGCAAAAGAGAAAUUACAAUCUUCUGAGGAUGAAGGUGAAUUUUUGCAGCACUCAAUUAACAAUUUACUCUAAUGACUUGCGUUUGAAUGAUGGUUUAUGAGGGGAAGGGAGUGAAGGACUUACUUUUCUUUUUUAAAUUACGGAUAUUAUAAAAUGAAUUUUAGAAAAAUGAAUUAACAACAUAAUAAAUGAUCAUAUAAUAAUUUAAAAACACUUAAUUCAUUUUAAAAAAAUAUUUUACAUCGUUCGUAAUUUAAAAAAUAAAAGUGAACCCUCUCCUCCCUUCCCCUCCUAAUCCCUCAAUCCAAACACACCCUAAAACUCAAAGACUUAGUUACUAUGCGCUUUCUGUAUGAAAUGGAUGAAGGUAUGAGAUGAAGAAGAAUGAUUUGAAUCUCUAAGUUGGUGGCUAGAGUUGAUUGGAGGCUACUGUCUCCAACCUCUACUCCAUUCAGCACAUCACUAACACACCCUUGCAAAUGAAGGCUUGUUGUCCUUUUAUGGUACAAGUCCUUUCUUAUCCUUUAGUAUCAUUUUGGUCAUUUUCCAAGCGAUGGUCUGUUUCUUAACCAUUAAGCAGAAGAAUAUACCUUAUCCCAUCCGUGUACUAUUUGAGACUCUCUUACCUUUCUCUCCAAACACAAGAUGUUAUGGGCCCAGUUUAGUGCGUAUUCAAUAAAAACCAAGUAUGACGUAUCACAACGUUGUAGCUUCCUACAUCACUAGGAUGUCUCAUAGUCCUUUAGCUUCCUCAUACUAUACUCAUUGGAGACAACUCAUAUAAACUUUGUCCUUGAGACUUGCAAAUAAGUGACGCAAGGUCAUACACUUGUAUGACCCAUACUGAGAGAUCUUCAAUGUUAUAGCUCCAAACUCCUUUCCUAGUGUUAUAUCCUCAAACAUCUUCAUACGACUUGGCGUUCAAACCAACACUAGAAAGAAUAAAAGGUUCCUAAAUAUCAAACAAAUAAAAAAACUGAAAUAAAGAUUCUUAAAACAAUAAAAGACUAUUUAAACUAAAUAAAGGCUAAAUAUGUUUUGCAUGCACUCGAAGAUCACAUAUAGUGGGAGAUAAAGGCAAGGUAAUAACCGACAUAUUUGUUGAUUAUCAUAUGCUAAUGUAUGUUAAAGUGUGCAGAACCAUAUAAUUAAAUUCUAAUUCUUAAAUCAAGUUUUUGUUCUAAAAUAUGAAGACUUUGAACGCUUAAAAGUGCAUUUGAAGUAAAAGAAAAAAUUAUAAAACUUGGAACAAGGUCUGAAGAAAGGUCAACUAGAAAGUCAAAAUCCUGAUUAUAAGUGAAAUUUCAGAAGCAUCUGAAGGAAUGAAUUAUCUGAAGUAGUGAAGACUCUGAAGGAAUAUCACUAUAUCAGAGUGAAAGUAGCACCAUUUGUCUUCUUCUGACCACGUGUAGAAAUUAACAAAGAAAUUCAAGGACAAAGAUAAUAUAAGAAAUCAUUCUAUUAGAAGAAAAUGAACUUCAAAUGACUACUCAACGACAUUAUCCAUUUGAGGAAAAGAUUCAACGUCUCUGAUUAAACUUCUCAAGGAAUGAUUUGAUGCACUGACAUUUAUUCAACACCGGCUCUCAGAUUUUAUCCUAUAUAAGGACCUGAGCAGUUGAAGAAAAACAACAAGACUUCUGUAAUUUUACUAGUGCCCUUACUUUGUCAAAAUAUAUAGCGCAUAAUCACUUAAAGAAAUUCUUACAAACUUUUAUAUAUUAGAAGUCUCUUUCUUACACCUCUGAGUAUAUAUCAAGUGUAAACAACAAUCUUUCUUAUUUGAUUAAACUUAGAUUAUAGAAGUCUCUUUCUUGUAUGAUUGAGCAAAGGAAGUCUCUUACUUAUGUGUUUGAUCAAAUUGUAAUCUUGUGCGAUUAUAGUGAAAAUCCAUUGGAAAUGCAAGAGGAUUGUAUUACUUAGGACUUAUGGGAGGGACCAGUAUAAUUUGUUUGCUCUCUCUCUCUCUCUCUCUCUCUCUCUCUCUCUCUCUCUCUCUCUCUCUCUCUCUCUCUCUCUCUCUCUCUCUCUCUCUCUCUCUGUGUGUUUAAUUUAAUUUUGCUGCAUAACUCUAUUUUAGACUCUGAUAAGAACUCUGCUUAUGAUCAUACUCUAAACUGUUUUGAUAAACACUCAAAAAAGUUUUUAACAAAACCAACACAAUUCAACCCCCCUGUGUGUUUCUCACCUCCAUGAAAAACAACAACAUUGGAACACAGUCAAAACCCAAACCAUUUUAAGAUUUUUCAGAAACCCCAAUUCUACUGUUGCUGAAACUUGCUGAAUCAAGAUUCAUCACUCUCAUUCUCCUUUUCUAAAUCUGAACUCAAACUUCAUUCAGAUUUAAAAUCGAAAUUACGACUUUUCGUUUGAAUUCUCCAUGGACAAAAGUAAUGAAAGUUCAAUUGAAUCAAAUGAAUCCAAAUCUAAAACCCCUCGAAAACCUAAAGAAACUGCUCUCUCUCUGACUUCGCAUGACCCAACACCAUGCAUGACCUCAACUAAACAUUGCACACAUGAACAAACAAGUGAAAUUUGACAAAUAAGAGCACCUAGUGUGCUUGUUUUUAUUUUAUUUUAUUAAGUAGUCUAGUGGUUGUAGCUCACACAUUUUAAAUAUAUAUGGAAAAGUUAGGAGUCUAGGGUUCAAACCCCGACCCUUGCAUAAUAUUGUCAUUGCAACUACCAACUGAGUUGUACUUAUCAAUUCUACAUUAAUGUAAAAGUAAAUUACACCCCCUCCCCUAAGAAAAGCUUGAAUUGCAGUCAUCCUCUCCCUUGAAAAGUAAAAUGCUAGAGUAAAUUAUACCUCCCUCCCAUACGAAAUGUUUAUUACAAUUCUCUCCCUUAGUAAUUAAAUAUACAUAAAUAAAUAUCUUUAUAAUGUCUACUACCUUUGAGCCAUCAUUUGAGAAAAAAACAAACUCAUUUCUUUAGAUGCACUACACUUUAAUUAAACUAGCAUUAACUACCAAAUUAUCAUACAACAAUCCAGCCUUAAGAGAGCUUAGAUGACUCAUAUUUUAUGAGUCACCACACAUCCAAACUUGAACUAUCGUAAUGAUAGAAAAUAAUCACAAUAAGUAUGUUUUAUGACGACACAAUUUAGAAGCCAAGUAUUCGAAAUCAGGCCGUAUUAAAAAAUAUGCACAUCCAUUUAGUUAACCUUACAAUGAGAGUUAUUCUAGUGAUUAGGUGGAACUUCUAGCUGAUGAUGAAAUCCACGGGGAAAACAAAUUUGUCCACCCUUAUGAUGAACACAUCUUCAAUCAACAAAUUGACAUAUCGUGUAAUAGUUAUGGGUCUUGCUUCCCCGAUACCAAACCUGUAAAAUAUGGACAUAACAUGAGAUUGAUACUAGCCCAUUAAUCACGUAAAUGACACAUUAGAAUUGUGAAACUCCCUGGAUCUUUCUGUAUAAUUUUAUAUCCGACCACAACUCAAAGGUUUUGUUAGAAAUUAAAUCAAGAAAUAUCUAGAAGAGUAUAGAAGUUUGGAGUUACUCUUUAUCAUUAAGAGUUAAAAAUAUCUAUAUUAUGUAGCACCACCUAGAAUAAUCUUGUAACCAAAGGAAUAAUCUAGUGCUGAUUGUACACCGCCUCUAUAGGAAUAAUCUAGCACCAUCCAUGUAUUUACUUAGCUAGAAAAAUCUAGUAACCGACAUUAAGUUUAAGAUCCUAUAAAAGGCACAUGCUUGUACCAUAUUGAAUCAUCAAGUCUUCGACAAUAAAAUUAGUGUGUGUUCAAAUAAAUUCUCCAUUGUUCUCUUAGUUAUUACUUUGUGAGUUUGUCUCCCACUGAUAUCAAAUUGGUAUCAGAGCAGGUUAGGUCCUGCAAGUGUCAGUGUCAAAAAUAGUCUAAGUGUGUGAGGAACAAAAGAGUUCUCAUUGUGUCGAAAUUAUUGUAAGCAUAUUCUGAGAAAGAUAUGUCAAACAAUAAUUUCAAUAUCGUUUGGUCCGGUCCUAAAUUGAAUUCUGAAUUAGAUUUCAAUUAUUAGGAAUUUAUGAUGACAACACAUCUUAAAGCUCACAACAUCUGGAGCUAUGUGGAGUCUAGUUUGCAACAAGGAGCUGAUGAACUUGCUCGUAGAAGGGACCAGCUGGCACUAUCACAAAUUCUUCAAGGAAUAGAUUACUCAAUUUUCGGCAAAAUAGCAAAUGCGAAGACUUCGAAAGAAGCGUGGGACAUAUUGAAGUUGUCACAUAAAGGAGUAGAGAAAGCUUAGAAAUCAAAGUUGCAGUCUCUGCGUAGAGAAUACGAAAGGUAUGAAAUGUCCAGUUCUGAAACAGUGGAUCAAUAUUUUACUCGUGUUAUGAAUCUUGUCAACAAAAUGAGAGUGUAUGGAGAAGAUAUUCAAGAUAGCAAGGUGGUGGAGAAAAUUCUAUGCACCAUGCCGAUGAAAUAUGAUCAUGUGGUGACUACGAUAUUGGAGUCCCACGAUACCGAUACCUUGUCGGUAGCAGAGUUGCAGGGAAGCAUUGAAAGCCAUGUCAACAGAAUAUUGGAGAAGAGUGAAAAUGUAAAGGAGGAAGCCUUGAAGAGCCAGGUGAACCUCAACAACAUUGUUGAAUCCAGUCAGAUGGGUGAAGCCAGAGCUCGUGACAAUUUCAACAAUGGAGGAAGAGGAAAUUUCAGAGGAAGAGGUCGAGGAAGCUUUAGAGGAAGAGGACGUGGCAACUUCAACCAAUGGAGAGACAACAAUUACAACAAUUUCAAUCCAUCCCAUCAAGGAAGAGGUGGAAACAAUUUUGGUUCCAAUAGCCGUGGCAGAGGAAGAGGUUAUUACAACCAAGAGAGAACAAAUAAUGGUUGCUUUAAUUGUGGAAAGUAUGGGCAUAAAGCAGUUGACUGUAGAUAUAAACAUCAGGCAAAUAUGGCAGAGAAUUCAUAUCAACAUUUUGGUGAGUCUUCUCAAAAUCAACAUAGUUUAUUUUUAGCAAGCAAUACACUUUCAGAAGAAGAAAAUAUUUGGUAUUUGGACACCGGGUGUAGUAAUCACAUCUGUGGGAAAAAGGAAUUAUUUUCUUCUCUGGACGAAACGGUAAAAUCUACCGUGAAGUUUGGAAAUAAUUCAAAUAUUCCAAUUGAGGGGAAAGGCCAAAUUGCUAUCAGACUGAAAGAUGGAUCCCAAAAUUUUAUUGGUGAUGUUUUCUAUGCUCCCGGUCUUCAUCAUAAUCUCUUGAGCAUGGGACAGCUGUCUGAGAAAGAUUACAACAUGCAGAUUCACAAAGGCUAUUGCACGUUGAUUGAUGGAAAUGGGAGAUUCAUCACAAAGGUAAAAAUGUCUCCUAACCGCCUAUUCCCUCUAAGAAUUCAACAUGAUCAAUUUCCUUGCUUGAGUUCAAUAAUUCCAAAUGAUGAUUGGUUGUGGCACAUGAGAUUUGGUCACUUUCAUUUUUCUGGAUUGAAUUAUCUGUCACGAAAAGAAUAUGUUUCUGGUUUGCCUGUUGUGAACAUUCCAAGUGGUGUAUGCGAGACAUGUCAAAUGGGAAAGAAGCAUAGAGAAUCAUUUCCAACUGGAAAAGCUUGGAGAGCAAAGAAACUAUUGGAGAUCGUUCAUUCAGAUUUGUGCUCGGUUGAAAUACCAACACCUGGUGGAUGCAGGUAUUUUAUUACUUUCAUUGAUGAUUUUAGCAGAAAGGCAUGGGUGUAUUUUCUGAAGCAGAAAUCAGAAGUUGUUGAUGCCUUUAAGACAUUUAAAGCGUUCGUAGAAAAACAAAGUGGUUGUCUAAUCAAAGCACUCAGAACAGACAGAAGCCAAGAAUACCUCAUCGGCACAGAUUUCUUUGAGCAACAUGGAAUCCAACAUCAAUUGACAAAAAGAUAUACUCCUCAACAAAAUGGAGUAGCUGAAAGAAAGAACAGAACAGUUAUGGAUAUGGUGAGAUGCAUGCUGAAAGCCAAACAAAUGCCAAAGGAAUUUUGGGUAGAAGCAGUUGCUACUGCAGUUUAUAUUUUGAACAGAUGUCCAACAAAAAGUGUUCAAGAGAAGACUCCUGAAGAAGCAUGGAGCGCAAGGAGGCCCUCAAUCAGGCACCUCAGAGUUUUUGGAUGUAUUGCUUAUGCUCAUGUACCAAAUCAAAUUAGAAAGAAGUUAGAUGAUAAAGGAGAGAGAUGUAUUUUUAUUGGCUACUGCUCAAAUUCAAAGGCCUACAAGCUUUACAAUCCAGAGACCAAGAAGGUGAUUAUCAGUAAAGAUGUGACAUUUGAUGAAGUAGGAAUGUGAAAUUGGUCAUCAAAGUCACAAAAGGAGCCGAUUGUAACUCCAAAUGAUUAUGAAGAGGAAGAUGAGCAUGUAGAUACAACGCCUGAUGAGCCAGAAACAUCGAACAGAGAACAAAGGAAUCGAAGAUUACCAGCUCGACUGCAAGAUUGUGUUUUGGGUGCCGACAAUGACCCAUCUGAUGAAGAGAUCAUCAACUUUGCUUUGUUUGCAGAUUGUGAGCCAGUUACUUUUGAAGAAGCCUCACGUGAUGAAAAUUGGAUAAAAGCUAUGGAUGAAGAAAUCAAUGCAAUUGAGAAGAAUAAAACAUGGGAGCUGACUGAAUUGCCAGCAGACAAGAAGCCAAUAGGAGUAAAGUGGGUGUACAAGACAAAGUACAAACUCAAUGGUGAGAUUGAUCGCUAUAAAGCGAGGCUAGUGGCUAAAGGCUACAAACAAAAACCAGGUAUUGAUUAUUUUGAAGUAUUUGCUCCUGUUGCGAGAUUAGAUACAAUUCGCAUGCUUAUUUCAUUCUCAGCUCAGAAUAAUUGGAAAAUACAUCAAAUGGAUGUUAAGUCUGCAUUUCUUAAUGGUACUUUGGAAGAAGAAGUGCAUGUUGAGCAGCCUGCGGGAUAUGUAGUUAAGGGAAAGGAGGAUAAAGUAUAUAGAUUAAAGAAAGCAUUGUAUGGCUUGAAGCAAGCGCCAAGAGCAUGGUACAAAAAGAUUGAUUCUUAUUUCAUUCAAAACGGCUUUCAGAGAUGUCCAUUCGAGCACACACUCUACAUCAAAUUCAUUGAUCCUGGAGGUGUUCUUAUUGUGUGCCUCUAUGUCGAUGAUCUGAUAUUCACCGGAAACAAUUCAAAGAUGAUUGCUGAAUUCAGGGAGGCUAUGAUAAGAUGUUUUGAAAUGACAGACUUGGACCUAAUGUCCUAUUUUCUCGGCAUUGAGGUCGUUCAACAUAAGGAUGGAAUCUUUAUUUCUCAAAAGAAGUAUGCAAGUGAUAUUUUGAAGAAGUUCAAGAUGGAGCAUUCAAAGCCAAUUUCCACGCCGGUUGAAGAAAAGUUGAAGCUGACAAGAGAAAGCGAUGGUAAAAGGGUAGACUCAACUCAUUAUAAAAGUUUGAUUGGAAGUUUGAGAUAUUUGACUGCAACAAGGCCAGAUAUAGUAUAUGGAGUUGGUUUACUUAGUAGAUACAUGGAGGAUCCGUGUGUUAGUCACUUGCAAGGAGCAAAGAGGAUUCUUCGUUAUAUUAAAGGUACUCUGACCGAAGGAAUUUUUUAUGGUAAUAAUAGUGAUGUGAAGCUUGUUGGAUAUACAGAUAGUGAUUGGGCAGGAGAUACAGAAACAAGAAAAAGCACGUCAGGGUACGCGUUUCAUCUAGGAACCGGUGCAAUAUCAUGGUCUUCGAAGAAACAACCUGUGGUCGCUUUUUCCACAGCAGAAGCAGAAUAUAUAGCAUCAACUAGUUGUGCUACUCAAACAGUGUGGUUGAGAAGAAUUUUAGAAGUGAUGCAUCAUGAGCAGAACACUCCUACAAAGAUAUAUUGUGAUAACAAGUCAGCAAUUGCACUGAGCAAAAAUCCAGUUUUUCAUGGACGGUCCAAGCAUAUUGACAUCCAGUUUCACAAGAUACGAGAGUUAAUUGCCGAGAAAGAAGUGGUGAUCGAGUAUUGUCCCACUGAAGAGAAAAUUGCAGAUAUCUUUACAAAGCCAUUGAAGAUUGAGUCGUUUUACAAAUUGAAGAAAAUGCUUGGAAUGAUGAAAGCUUGAUUUAAGGGAGGCAAUGUUAGAAAUUAAAUCAAGAAAUAUCUAGAAGAGUAUAGAAGCUUGGAGUUACUCUUUGUCAUUAAGAGUUAAAAAUAUCUAUAUUAUGUAACACCACCUAGAAUAAUCUUGUAACCAAAGGAAUAAUCUAGUGCUGAUUGUACACCGCCUCUAUAGGAAUAAUCUAACACCAUCCAUGUAUUUACUUAGCUAGAAAAAUCUAGUAACCGACAUUAAGUUUAAGAUCCUAUAAAAGGCACAUGCUUGUACCAUAUUGAAUCAUCAAGUCUUCGACAAUAAAAUUAGUGUGUUUUCAAAUAAAUUCUUCAUUGUUCUUUUAGUUAUUACAUUGUGAGUUUGUGUCCCGCUGAUAUCAGGUUUUAUAUCUAAAUUAUUGUUUAAACAUACAUUAUGCACAAUUUACGAGCCAAAAAAAUUAGGGUUGUCUAGUCAUCAAGACAUAAACAGCCACGUGGCAAAAUAUUGAACACUGGAUUUAUCAUACGGACAAGAAUUCUUCAAAGUCAAAUUGUCGUUUACUACAAAGUAACAGAGUACAACGUAAGAGACAUACACUUUUCCGCAAUUUCAGUUUCAGUUCUGAGAAAUUAAUGUCAAUUUCAGUCUUAGUACUGUGAUUGAGCUCAUCACCACCAACAACAAAGAGUGAGUGAGUUCGCCAUUUUGCUUUGUACUUUCCAUUUCCUCAAAUUUUUCCACUUUUAUCGAACAUGCAUGUACUAUGUUAUUGUCCAAAACCAUGAUGCAUGUCUUUAAAUAAAAAUUCCUUUUUUAUCCUUUUUGUUGUUUUUGCUGCAUGUGACAGGUGAAACUAUAUACAUUCAUUGGAAUUGUGGAAUUUGGUGGGUGAAAUUAAGAAGAUGGGUGUUUCAGAUGUGUGUCCUACUGUGGAUGCAAUUAGGGCAUUUCUUGAACAUUUGGUUGAUCCAAUGCUGGCAGAAAUACCUAUUCUGGAUGAUCCUCCACUAUCACAACAGCAGAAAGUUGCAAAACAGGUUUUUUUAUUUAUCUUGAAACUUUUGUUAUGGCAAUUCAAAGUUUGAUUAACAUCUAGGUGAUUAUUGAUGGAGUUAAAACUUAUUUAGUUAGUUUGUUAAUAAUUAGUUUGUGCUCAAUUUCUGUGGACUAGUUCAUAUAGAGCUUGCUUUGCUUUGACUUUAAAUGGGUCCCGUUAGUGCACGGUGGGAUUGGUCCCCUCAAACCAGAUAUCGAGUUUUCAAAAGAAAAAUAAAUAAAUAAAUAAAAAUAAUUAAUUUGAGUUAGUUAGUUUGUUACUAGGUUCUAGCUGUGAGUUGUUAGAGUAGUUGGGUGAAUAUUUAAGGAAAAAUUGCAUGUGUGGUCCUUUAAGUUUAACCUUCAUUUCAUAUUGAUCCUUUAAGUUUAAUUUUUUCUGAAUUGGUUCUUUAUGAUACAUUUUGUUUGCACAGUUAGCCUUUAAGUUAUCUUGCCGUUGCAUUGUAGUCAUUGUUUGAGGUUCGUAAAUUUUAACCAUUCCUUCUAAAUGAACACAUUGUUGCGAACAAUGAGAUACUUCGGUUUUAAAGUUUUUGGAUUUGAGAAUUUAGAUUUAAGUUAGAGGAGAAUGGAUUUGGAUGUAUUUGACAUGUCUAUAUAAAUUUUCUCAAAAUUAAAAUGUCAUACCCGAUUCAUUUUAACAGAACUUGUUAAGAAGGCUAGAAGUGAGUGUAUAAUGUAACAUAAAAGUCCAAUUUGGGAAAAUAAAAACUUGAAGGACCAAUCCGGGAAAAAAUGUCAGACUUAAAGGACUGCAGAUGUAAUUUUUCCUAUAUUUAACUAGUGUGUAGUUUUUCUUUUCCUUUUUCUGACGCAACUAGUGUGCAGUUAGUACUAUAUACAGAUGUGAUGUAAAGUGUAAGAUACACAAGUCCCACAAGUGAAUCAUUUGAGAAAUAUAGUUUACAUUUUUAGUUUUUCCUCUUUAAGUGUUGUAACUCAAAGUGUGUGUUCAUUCUUAUUAUAGUUACAACAAUGAUUUGGAACUGAUUUUAGUUGGCCCUUUUGGAUAAUGUUUUGCCACAUAUGCCAAUGUAGAUUAAAAGUGUUGUGAUGUUGAUAAUUUAUCAUCACCAACUAUUCUUAUGUGCUUUUUAAUGAGGCAUUUCACAUGAUAGCUCUGAGUGAGGGGUUGCGUAGCAGUAAGUCAGCUUCAUAAAUAAACCAAAUCGCCUUUUUCCUUCAUGCAUGUAAAUUGCUAUAGUAAAAUGUGUCUUCCAUAUUAUUUACUAAAAUUAUCUUUUGAACUUUUGUGGCUAGUAUCCUUCUGCUAUGUUUGAGUUUGUCUCAAUGCAAUUCUUCAAAAAAAAAAAUUAAUUGAAGUUCCUAUUUGAUUUUAAAGUUCAAGAACCAUUAGUAUUAAGUUGCAUGAUUAUGGUGUAGGUGCAUGCUGUUGUGUUACUGUACAACUAUUACCACAGAAAACAGAAUCCAGAGCUAGAAUUUGUGGCAUUUAGUGCAUUUUGCAAGUUGAUUGUGGAUCUGAGACCAGCUUUGUUACCGUAUAUGAAAUUCACACAGAAGCCUGUUGACCUUGUUGAUGUGGAGCAGCAGUUGUCAUUAACAGAAAAAGCAAUCGUGAGUUCCUAUGAUAUAUGUACACUUUUAGACGCGUCAAAAAGUGUUCCUAAUAUAGAGGGAUGGCCCAUUUCAAAAGUUGCCGUCCUUUUGGUCGAUAGUAAGAAGGAGAACUGCUUCUUGCAUUUUGGUUCUAUAACUGAUGGAGUACGGUCAUUGAUUGAAAAAGAUGUGGAUACCUCCAAUAAAGUUUCUGAAGUUACAACCUCCAAUAAAAUUUCUGAAGUUACAAGUGAAAUCAAAACAUACAAAAAAAGAAGAGUUGUUAAGAAGCCUUCGAGAAACGGAUCAAAUGUUGAUGAAGAUCGAAUUUUGCAAGUUGGAUAUUCUGCUGUUAAGGAAGCUGCGGGUAAUUAUCCUUCUUCUAAUGAAAGAUUGCAAUAGCUAUUGUUAGAACUAUAGUGCUUUAGUUUUAAGUGUAUUUGUAAGUUAUUAUUUCCUUUUUCAUUUUUCCAAUUUAUUUAACCUAGUAAAGAUGUCCUCGUGACAAUAUGAAAUAUCACGCUGUAUACUUUACAUUAUCUAUAUAUUUUGAGGUUAAUAUCAGAACAUACUUUGUUCUUCCUUAUUUUCUGUAUAGUAUAUUGUUUUUUGCUCUAUUGAAUUGUUCUUGUAGCAUUUUCUGUUUUGAGUUAAUAUAUCAUUUUCUUAAUUUACUUUUUAACAGGAGUUUUUUAUUCAUAAAAGUCGAAUGUUAUUCUGGUAUCAAUAUUUCUUAUUUCCCUUAUGAACAGGUGUCAAUAGUAUCGAUAUUAUGCUUUUGGAAAGUUACACUGUGUAUUCCCAGAGCAAAGAGAAGACAUCUUCACGCUUUUAUAUAAUGAAGUGCUCACAGUCGAUCGAUGAAGGGUUUACUCAAGUUCCUAUCAAAGAUUUAAUUGAAAGGUUCGUUACAAUUGGUAUGGUUUUCCUAUUGGCUGAUCACUCAGGUCUCGAGGGUGAAUUGCAUAACUGUGUCUGGUUUUUCCAUUGAUACGAAGAAAAGGUUUCCUUUAUGUUUCAUCCAUUCAGUUGGAUUAAUUUUCCCUUGUCCGAAGAAAAGUCGAAUAUAAUUUGUUUGCAUACCAAUAAUUGUCUUCACUUCUAAAUCUAGUUAUAAACUUUUUUUUAUGAAUCUGUACAUGUUGACUUAUAAACUUCCAUUUUGAUAGUCAUUUUAUAUCUGAUUGUUAACGAACUUGUGUAUGCUUCUCUAUGACAUUUUAUAUCUCAUCUUUGGAUAGCGUCCGGGGUCCUUUGGUCAAAAGAAGUUCUGACAGUUGGAAGGUAACCCCAGUUGUCGAGUACUUCCACAUGCUUCCUUAUUCCAAAAUAAUCUCAGAAUGGAUUUCUAGGUUGGUAUAAUUCUCCUUUCCCUUUUUCUGAUGCCCAAUUUAGAUUGAUUUACAAUAAUGUAUUCUGACCUCAUAAUUAAAGCCUUGGAAACAUAACAUAGAUUUCCUCAAAUUAUUUCUCAUUUCCAUUUUAUGUUUUUUUUGCACAUCUGUCCAUAUGAUAAUGAUGGCUAUUUGCAUAUUAUGUUCUUUGUAGAGAAACAUUCUCAAAUAGUUUGCAAGAUUCAAAGCUGGCUGAGAAACAAUUCCCGAAGCUUGAAGUUAAAGAAUCACAUAUAAGUAGCAAGGCCCUGUCCGUUGGUCUUGAUAACAAGCAAUGCAGCGAAACUAUUGUAGCUCUUAAUCAGAAGCAACUCCUGAAGCUUGAAGUUAAAGAAAUGCAUGUAAGUAGCGAGGGCAUGUCUGCUGGUCUUGAUAACAAGGCAUGCAGUGACACUAUUGUAACUCUUAAUCAAAAAGAGAAAAACGGUUGUGGUACAAUUACACAGUGUGGUUCUGUCAAGAAAGACCAGGAUAUGGAUGUGGACAACUCUUCAAGAGUGAAAACAAAUCUUGAAGUUACAGAAUCACAUGUAAGUAGCGAGGGCAUGUCUGUUGGUCUUGAUAACAAGCAAUCUAGUGAUACUAUUGCAGCUCUUAAUCAGAAAGAGAACAACGGUUGCGGUAUAAUUACACAGUGCGGUUCUGUCAAGAAAGACGAGGAUAUGGAUGUGGAUAACUCUUCAAUAAAGAAAACAAAUCUUGAAGUUACAGAAUCACAUGUAAGUAGUGAGGGCAUGUCUGUUGAUCUUGAUAACAAGCCAUGCAGUGAUACUAUUGCAGCUCUUAAUCAGAAAGAGAACAACAGUUGUGGUACAAUUACACGGUGUUGUUCUGUCAAGAAAGACGAGGAUAUGGAUGUGGAUAACUCUUCAACAAAGAAAAAAAAUCUUGAAGUUACAGAAUCACAUGUAAGUAGCGAGGGCAUGUCUGUUGGUCUUGAUAACAAGCCAUGCAGUGAUACUAUUGCAGCUCUUAAUCAGAAAGAGGACACCGGUUGCGGUACAAUUACGCAGUGUGGUUCUGUCAAGAAAGACCAGGAUAUGGAUGUGGAUAACUCUUCAAGAAAGAGAACAAAGCUUGAAGUUACAGAAUCACAUGUAAGCAGCGAGGGCAUGUCUGUUGGUCUUGAUAACAAGCCAUGCAGUGAUACUAUUGCAGCUCUUAAUCAGACAGAGGACAACGGUUGCGGUACAAUUACGCAGUGUGGUUCGGUCAAGAAAGACCAUGAUAUGGAUGUGGAUGACUCUUCAAGAAAAAGAACUAAGCUGGAAGUUACAGAAUCACAUGUAAGUAGCGAGGGCAUGUCUGUUGGUCUUGAUAACAAGCCAUGCAGUGAUACUAUUGCAGCUCUUAAUCAGACAGAGGACAACGGUUGCGGUACAAUUACGCAGUGUGGUUCGGUCAAGAAAGACCAUGAUAUGGAUGUGGAUAACUCUUCAAGAAAGAGAACAAAGCUUGAAGUUACAGAAUCACAUGUAAGUAGCGAGGGCAUGUCUGUUGGUCUUGAUAACAAGCCAUGCAGUGAUACUAUUGUAGCUCUUGAUCAGAAAGAGAACAGCUGUUGCGGUAAAAUUACACGGUGUAGUUCUGUCAAGGAAGACCAGGAUAUGGAUGUGGACAACUGUUCAACUUUUCCAUCUAAACUCAACGAAGAAUACCAGAAGCAUGUUGCCAAUACUUUACAAGUUAAUGAAGAUCAAAAGAUAGAAAAUUCAUCAGUGCAACAUCACUCAAAUGAAUGUACAAGACCUAGUGAGGUUUGAAGUUUAUUAUAUCUCAAAAUACUAUUGUAUAUGUUUUAGACUAUUUUUUGUAUUAAGUAAACUCUUACCAGGGGAGUCUAUAGAACUGCUAAAGUUUACAUAGACUCUAGACUCGAGUUUUUACCAUUUCCUUUGCUGUUGAGAUGGAUUUUUCUUAAAAAAUCAGUUUGGGGCUUUUGCAAUAUAUAUCAUCUCCCAUCUAACCACAUGCCUUUGGAUUGGCAGGCUGAGAAGGUUGUUUCAACAAGGAUGCACAUUAUUGAGGGUGGAAUCAAAGAUGAAUCUGCUUUUGAUAAGAUUUGUGUCGAUGCCACUGUUGAAAACGAAUCCAUAGAAAAAUGUACCCCGAUUGCAGAUAAUUUCAACGCAGAUUUUGAGAAAGUUCGAAGUUUCGUAGAUUCGAAGGGGAAGAUGGGUCGAUCUGAUGUGUGUCCUACUGCGGAUGCAGUUAGGGCAUUCGUUGAACACUUAGUUGAUCCAAUGCUGCCAGCAAAGGCUUCUAUCCGUGAUGCUCCUUCCAUAUCUCAACAGCAGAAAGUUGCAAAACAGGUUUCUUCAUUCAUCUUUCUUGACCCUUUUGUUAUAGCAAUCCAAAGAUUAACACCUAGGUCACUAUUUGGAAUUGGUUUGAUUUAGACCAUUUUUUUGUUCAAUAUUGUUAUUAUUCUCUGCUUGAAGUGUUAUGGAUUAAUAACAAUACUUGCAUCCAAUGAGAACAACCAAAACCAGAAAAUAAACCAGUAACCAACAGUAACAAAUAAGAGAGAAGGAAGAAGAUAGCAACCUAGAAUUUACGUGGUUCAGCCUUACAGAUCUACUCCAGGGGAGAGAGCACAAAACAAUUUCACCAUGAUGAGGAACAAUAUAACAUCAAUCCCAGGCCAUAGACUUUUCCCUUGGCCCCUUGCAAUACCCACUGUUGAGAACAGCUACAAGAAUCUCCAAGCCUUUCACGACUCUAUUUUCACUCAAUCGCUUGAUCUCUGAAUCUUUCUAAUCUUCUUUACACAAUGUAGAAAAUUUACAUGAAAUACUUCACACUUUGGUUAACCGUUAGUAUAGUUGCUUUCCCUAGCUAUACAAAAAUUUCAAAUCUUUCCUGAAUGUGCUUGAAUUCUCCACACCCAGCAACAUGCUUGCUUAAUUUAUAUGGAUGGUAAUAACAAUGAUAGCAAAGGGAAGAUGCAAUUUACUAGGGAGCAAUUAAGUUAGCACUACUUCCUUAGAUACACCGAAGUUGUUCUACUUGAUAUUUCGGAAAUGAAACAUUAAAGUGGUCUAGGAAGUAGGAACGUGAAACAUUAAUUGGUUUUUUGUUUCCAACAAGCCCUUUUAAUUAAAAUCUUGUCUUGAGAAAAUGUUUUGCCAUAUAUGGCAAUGUAAAUGAAAAGUGUUGUGAUAUUGAUCGUUUCUCUUCGCCGAGUCUUGUUUUGCACUUUUUAAUGAGGAUGUUUACAUGAUAUGAUAUCUCGUUAUUCAUUACUUGAUCACGGUGUUCUUCGUAUCAGGUGCAUUCUGUUGUGUUGCUGUACAACUAUUACCACAGGAAACGGCAUCCAGAGCUAGAAUUUGUGGCAUUUAAGGACUUUUGCAAGUUGAUUGUCGGUCUGAGACCAGCGUUGUUAAUAUAUAUGAAAUUCACGCAAAAGCCUGAUCAAACUGACCUCGUUGAUGUGGAGCAGCAGCUUUCAUUAACAGAAAAAGCGAUAGCGAGUUCGUGUGAUAUAUGUACAUGUUUAGAUGCAUCAAAAAAUGUUCCAAAUAUAGAGGGAUGGCCCGUUUCAAAAGUUGCCAUCCUUUUAGUCGACAGUAAGAUGGAGAACUGCUUGUUGCGUUUUUGUUCCACCACUGAUGGGGUAUGGUCCGUGAUCGAAAAAGAUGUGGGUUCUUCAGAUCAAAUUUCUGAAGAUAUGAAUGAACUCAAACAUACAUACCAAAAGAGAAGAGUCAUUCAGAAUCCUACAAAAAACGGAUUAAAUGUUGAUGAUGAUGAGUUUUUGCAAGUUGGUUAUUCUGCUGUAAAGGAAGCUACUGGUAAUCAUCCUUCUUCUACGGAAAGAUUGUCAUAGCUAUUGUUAGAAACUAUUUUAGUUUAAUUUACUUGUAGUUAGAAUCACAGGUCAGGGUACAUUCUUCCGUGUCAGUUUUAUUUUCUUUUCCUUUUAUGUUUUCCAAUUAUGCUGUUUACUUCUCUUAUGUUUUCCAUAUAUUUUGAGGUUAAUAUUCGAUACAUAAUUUGUUAUUAUUUAUUUUCUGCAUAACAAACCGCUUUUCUCUUUUAAAAUGUUACUGUAGUAUAUUGCAUUUCAAGUUAAUCUAUCAUUAUCUCGUAAUUUAUAUUUUAACUGGUGAUUCUUGUAUGCAAUACAGGUGUCAAUAGUAAUGAUAUUAUGCUUUUGGAAAGUUACACUGUGUAUUCCCAGCGCAAAGAGAAGACAGCUUCACGCUUUUAUAUAAUGAAGUGCUCACAGUCGACAGCUGAUGGGUCUAUUCAAGUUCCUAUCAAAGAUUUAAUUGAAAGGUUCGUUAUAAUUGGUAUGGUUUUGCAAUUGGCUGAUGACUCAUGUCUCGAGUGAAUUUGCAUAGUUGUGACAAGUUUUUCCAUUGAUAGGAUAAAAAAAUUGCCUUUUUUUUUUCAUCCAUUCAGUUUGAUUAAUUUUCCUUUGUUGCCGAAAAGUCAAGUAUACUUUGUUUGCAUACCAAGAAUUGUCUUCACUUCUAAAUCAAGUUAUGAACUUUUUAUGAAUCUGUGUAUGAAUUUGUUUGGAUGGCUACUUAUUAGCCAGAAUGUUACAUUCUGAUCAUAAGACUGUUUGUUCUGGGCUUUAGACUAUAGGUGAUUGUAUAAUGAUCUGCUCAGAAAGCUGACCUACACGAUCCUAUUUAUCAUGGAGUGGUACUUGUAAUUCAAUACUUUAAUAUUUGCCCGAUUGGAAAAUUGUAAUUUGAUGAUUCUAGAGAGCUUUCAGCUGCUCUGCAAUAACUGUUUUUUCUCAAUUCUGUUAGAAAGAGUUCAAUUCAGUUACAUGAAGGAGGUGGGUCUAUUUAUAGACUGAUCCUAACUACCUCUAGCUGACUGACACAUGUCAGUCAGCUUUCCCCAGAUGACUGGCAGUUGCCAGUUAAUUCAGUUAGGCAGUUACAGGUUGUUAGGGAAGUUACAAGGGAUAUAAUCUAGUGUGGUGUAAUCUAUCAUGAUCAUUAUGUUCAAUUGCUAUCUAUUCUAGAGUCAUUCCUUCAAUAUUAACAAACUCCGUGUUUGCUUCUCCAUAACAUUUUAUAUUCGUCUUUGGAUAGCUUCCGGGGUCCUUUACUCAAAAAGAGUUCUAGCAGUUGGACGAUCACCUCAGUUGUUGAGUACUUCCACGUGCUUCCUUAUUCCGAAAUAAUCUCAGACUGGAUUUCUAGGUUGGUGUAAUUCACCUUUCCCUUUUCUGAUGCCUGAUUUAGAUCGUUUUGCAAUAAUGAAUUCUGAACUAGUAAUUAGAAGUCUUAGAAACAUAACAUAUUUCAUCAAAUUAUUUCUCAUUUCCAUUUUAUGUUUUCUUUGGAACCUCUUUCUGUAAGAUAAGGAUGACUAUUUGUGUAAAAUUUUCUUUGUAGAGAAACAUUCUCAAAUAGUUUGCAAGAUUCAAAGCUGGCAGAGAAACAAUUCCCAAAGCAUGAAGUGACAGAAUCACAUGUAAGUAGUAAGGGCUUGUAUAUUGAUCUUGAUAACAAGCCAGGAAGUGAUACUAAAGUGGCUCUUAAUCAGAAAGAGAAAAAUGGUUGCGGUAUAACUAAACGGUGUGAUUCUGUCAAGGAAGACUGGGAUAUGGAUGUGGACAAGUCUUUAGUUUUACCAUCUAAAAAUAAAGAAUGCCAGAAGCAUACUGCCAAUACUUUACAUAUAAGUGAAGAUCAAAAGAUAGAAAAUCCAUCAGUGCAACACCACUCAAAUGAAUGUACAAGACCUAGCAAGGUUUGAAGUUCAUCCUUUCUCAGAUCAUUUUGUUUAUUACCUUCCUUCUUCUGACUUCAGUUGAUGUUUUACUGCUAGAGUUGAAAAGUUUUCAUGGAUAUGAUUUGACAAGUUAUAAUGUUGAAUAUGCACCCAGUACAUAGUAUUAAAUUAUGUUUAGAUUCUAUGGUUGAUGUUUUAAACAAUUUUUUUUUUUUUUGUAAUAAGCAAACUCCUACAAGUAGAGGUUUUGACUAUUUCCUUUGUUGUGGAGUUGUGAUGGCUCUUAGUUAGAGAAUAUAGUUUCAAUGCUUUUACAAUAUAUAUUUACAUAUAUAGAUUAUCUCUAAUCCAGCUACAUGGCAUUGGAUUGCCAGGCUGAGAAGGCUGUUUCAAAAAGAAAGCACAUCACUGAGGGUGGAAUCAAAGAUCAAUCUGCUUUUGAUAAAAUUUGUGCCGGUACCACUUUUGAAAAUGAUUCAGUAGAAAAAUGUAUCCUGAAUGCAAAUAGUUCCAACAAAAAUCUUGAGAAGAUCCAAACUUUCAUAGCUUCAAAGGGGACAAUACUGUCACAAACUGCCCUCAAUGCUCUUAUACGAAAGAGGAAUGCACUGGUAAAAGCCUCUUAUAGUCAAUAAUGUUGGAUUACCGUUCAAACUUAUAUGCUUCUUUGUGUUAUAUAUUUGUACUGCUAUUGUCAUCAAUUUGUAUUUUGACCUUUAAAUUUUAUUCGACCUGUUUCUUUAUGGACCUUUACAUUUAUCUAAGAUUAUGUUUCUUUGAGCAGGCUCUUCAGCAGCGCGCGAUAGAGGAUGAGAUGGCUGUGUGUAAUAUGAAAAUUCAUAGAUGGUUGGCCGGUAUGUUUUCUUUUACCAGUUGUUUAUCAUUGCUUUCAAUAUUGCUUCUCUGCUGCAUUCUUCUAUCAAUAAGGUUUUCCCCCUUAUGAUAGAUUUGUGGUCUAGCAUAAAUGGUACUGGUUUAUUUACGUGAUUAUUAACUUCUUAUAGGUAUUUUCUCCCAUCUCACUGUCACUCCAAAUUGUUAAUUUUUUUUUUGGGCAGUAUUUGGAUUUCAUAAAUUUAACUAGCACAUUUUAUCCUUGACCGAAUCUAAAGCUGCUUUGAGAAUCUUGAAUUUUCAAUAUGAAAAUGAUGUAUUUGACCACAAACUUCUUUUUCCUUUUCACCAGAAGAUUAUAUCUGCAUGGUACCAACUAAAUGCGUUAUUUUUCUGUUGUGCAAUAUGGAAUACCAAUAAUUUUUUAAAUUAAUUUACUUGUGUGAAUUGAUUUAUUCCUCUACACUUCCAUUUUCAUAUCGACUAUGUGAAGAUGAAAAUAAAUUAUUGUUUGUGUUUUCUUGUCAAACGUAGGUGAGGAAGAUGACUUUGAAUUAAAAUUGGAAUCCGUUAUAGAAGGCUGUAAUGGUACAUGGUUAAGAAAUCAAGGAAGGAUGUGCAGUCAAUAUCUUGAUGAUCAAUGCUUACCUCAAUCUGUUAAGAGUAAAAGAUUGACAGAGGCUGUGCUUACUUUGCAUAGUCCUUGCCAGGCAAGACAUGUUCUUAAUAAUACUUGCUUUAAUUUUUAACGUCCAUCUAUAGUUUGGAAAUUUAUUGUAAGUGAUACUUGUGGUUCAUUAGUAUGAUUACUUUACUAUUUUCAUAUAUUUGAGUAAAACAAGAGAAUAUGAUUACUUACUAAUUUUAUUUAGUUCUGUUAAUACAUAAUCCAGCGAAUGAUUACUUGUUGUUAGAAGAGGUCAGCAAUGUAAAAUAAAUAUUUUGUACAGGGAACAUAUAUAUGAGUCUAAUGAUCAAGAGGAUAUAUAAUAUUAAGAAGAAACAAUAGUUAUAAAUUUGUGGAAAAAAUAUAAAAUGUUUUAGAGGCCAUAAAUAACUUAUCAGGUGGAGUUGUGGUGCGGAAUGAUGCAAAAGGUAUAUCAAUCCUUGUGAUUUUAUGCGUUUUAAAGAAAUGUAGUUAGACACAUUAUUAAUUUCCCUUCAUCGUUUUACAAGUACUUGAAAAUUCUGUUUGAUCUUGCAGGAACUAGAUGGAAUAUGUCAUGAAAAUAAUUGGAUCCUUCCAACUUAUAGUGUAUCUCUAUCAGAUGGUAAGACUACCUAACCAAGGUUGCUUGUACAAUACACCAUUAGCAGUACGCAAUUCCGGCUCAGUUGUACAAUGACAUAUUUUAUUGAUCAUGCAUCUUACGAUUCAUUAUAUUGAUGAUUAACUUUUGAAGGUGAAUUUCAUGCUACUGUAAGAGUUAAAGGAGUGGACUUUGAGUAUUCGUGUGAGGGAAACACAUGCCCCUUUCCCCGCGAAGCAAGAGAUUCAGCUGCUGCUCAAAUGUUGACUAAAUUUAGAAGUAUGGCAUAAAAUCAGUCCUCUAAUUUUGGCUCUUGUGCUUGAAGCAUUUUAAUGGCUUCUUGACUAGUUAUAUGUACAUGAACUGAAUGCAAGUUUUGGAUCUUUGGCAGUAUCCGUGUGAAUGAGCACAAAUCAAUCUACAUAUAUUAAUGGCUUAAUUGCACUUUGGCCCUCCUAGUUUCUUAAUUGUACGAUUUUGAACCACAUAGUUUCAAUGAAGCGAUUUUGGCCCCUCUACUUUCUCAAUUAUGUGAUAUAAAUUACGUGUAUUACCAUAUUUUUUUAAUUUUUAAUUUAUGAUUUUAAUAAAAGUAUUUAAAUUCCUUUAAAAAAAAGUAUUUAAAUAAUUAACAUAUAUUUAUUCAAAAAAAAUAAAGUAUGGUAAUUAUUCAAAAUAAUCAACAUAUAAUAUAUAUGGGUAUUUAUAUGAAAUGUAUUUGUUAUAUGCUAUUUUGUUUGAGAGAUUCUUAUAAUAUUUUAAACAUGACUUCGAAAAAAAAUGGUGAUGAAAAACUUUUAGGGUGUGUUUGGAUGGAAGGUUUAGAAGGGGGAGUUUACUUUUCAUUUUUAAAUUGCAAACACUAUGAAAUGUUUUUUAAAAAGUUAACGUAUUAACAUGAUAAACGAUCAUAUAAUACUUCAAUCACACUUAACUUGAAUCCGAACACACUUUUAGAGACUAAAAGUAAAAUUAUUUUAACACUAUUUUUUUAAGGAAUAAAGUAGAUAGCAGAUAUUAAAGUAUCAUAUUUUAUACUUAUUAAAGACUGGAAACUGAUAUGACUCAUGAGUUCAAAUGAAAUCUUCAUUCACCUUGAUUUUUACAAAGUGAGUUGGUAGGCAUUUUAAAGGCAACUUAAUGCUUUUGUACAGAACACAAGCAAAUCAUUCAAAGAUGACAAUGCCUGUGAUAAUAAUGGGACAAGACCACUCAUUGUCCUUGCAAGACAAAAUAAUAAAGCUGCAAAACAUGAGAUUCGUAUCAUUUGAAUUGCAUUGAAAAAGCACAUGAUAUUAUACUAGCAGUACCUAUUGAACUGAGUAACAACAAUACUACAAUACCGCCAUAUCAAAUGGCGUGAUUGCAAACAAGUUAGCCUAUUUAAGACUCUGAAGUUUUCUUCAACUCAUUACAUCAAAAACUAUUGCCAAGAAAUAAUUUCAAUGGCACCAUCAUCAAAUGUAUUUUUCAUUGUGCACUACAAUGGAAAAUGCGAAAGAAAUAAUGUUUCUGGCGUAUAUUUUGAAAGCAAAGUAAGAAAGGGCUUCAAUGUAAGUCCUAAAUGCACUUUUGCUUACUUAAAGCAAAGAAUAGAAGAAAAAUUCAAGUUAGGAAACAAUAAGGUUGUAUCUGAGAUUAUUUGUAGAAUCCCUAUGUUUAUUGGAAAGAGCAAUAUUCUAUAUGAAUCCUAUAAAAUUACAGAUAACGACGAUGUUGAGUUUAUGUUUGACAUUUAUAAGAAGUAUGAUGUAAUUUUAUCGAUCGAGUUAUGUGUUACGAUUGAAGAUGGUAAUCCAUCAUCAAAUUUUUUUCAACCGUCAAGUUCAAGUCAAUAUUUUCACACACCAAAAACACAUUAUGGACCAUCAUCCUCCCAACCCAUGUCUAUUCCAACUCCUAGCCCUAAUGCAGCAGAACAACAAAAUGCUGCAACAAAUACUCAUCCUGCAGCAACUCAACCACCAAGGCCAAGGAGGUACAAGACCUGUGGAGCUGGCCCUAAUCCCAGAAAGAAGAAGCAAGUUCAGAAGUAAGUUGUUGCACACUGUUGCAGCAACACAAGGCAGUAUAUUAUUGAUUAACUUUGCCCUAUUUUUACAGUUUCAGCUAAGGUAUUAUCUUUUUGCAUUUUCUUUUGCUGUUUUGAGUUGCAAGAGCAGUGUUCACACUACUCAGACAACAAGUUUGGGGGAGAGAUUAAUGUGUUUGAGUCUUUUGAUUUUUAGGACUAAGAAGAGUUUGAGUUUUUUUCUUUCAAUAAUUUAGAAUGUUUUUAGGAUAUCAAGUGUAAUGGAUGAAAAUUCUGUUUUAUUAUAACAAAAUUAUCUCUCAUUGCACAAAGCUUACUGCACCAUGUAUGUACAAGCUCUCGAGAUUCCAAAGCACUUUAAUUCAUUCAUUCACCGGGGUUUGAAAUAUUCAAAAGAUCUUGUGCUACUCCAUGUUGAGUUUGGAAAAUGAAUCAUCCACAAGAAAACUGUGAAAUCUAUUAUGCAAGGAAUUUUUUAGUUCUCUUUUAUAAGCAAAAUUUGGGUGUCUUUAAAGCUUUAGCACAUAAAACUUUGUCAAUAUGAAUUAGUUCUGCAACAUUCUUGUAAAAAGAAAAUCAAUAGUCUAAGUUUACAUUUUCAUCCCUAAAAAAUAUAGCAAAUUUUAGUUUUAAUCUCUAAAAACGUGAUGUUUUCGUCUUCUCAAAAAUUUCUAUUUUGUUUUGUCAUAAAAUAUAAAAAUAAGAAAUUAUCAAAAUUAAAUACUUAAUAUUGUGAACAUAAUGAUUUCUUAAAAUUUUGAAAUAAAAUAUACAAAAGAGAUUUCACCCAUAAUUUGCUUUAUCACUGGUAAUUUGGAAGGCAGAGCAGGGCAAGAAUUCACUCAUUUAUGACUUAUGGGGAGCUUUUACUAUUUGAACCUCUGAGGGAACAGGAGGAAAAUUAUACAUUGACAAAAUUUAUCAACAAAACCCUUUUAUCCUCUAAAAAGACAAAAAUAACUAUAAAUAUUGACAAAUAUAACUAAUGUUUAUAGACAAUAUCAUACAUUUGCUGGACUGAAACAAAACACCUCCUUCAACAAAAGAAGCUGCGCAUUUCACGGAUUAUGGGCAUGAGUACAGAAACAUCUUAAUUUAUAAUCACCACAAAGAAUGAAAAAAUGGUGUAUAUUGCAAAGUAGCUUCAUUAGCAUCCUGCAGCUUUCAAGAAUUUAUCAUAGGGGCUCGAAGGUGGAAGUCUCAAAGAAUGUUGCUUCCUAGUGUCUUGUGAACGGAAGCGGAUUUGAUCCUGUGCUUGAAAUUGCUCUUGAGUUACCAACUUCAAAUCUCCUUUUGAAUAUUCUAGUGCCUGCACAAUGGCACAGCUCACAAAUAAUUAUCAUUCCAGAAAACGAAACAACUGAACUCUAAUCAUAGCCUAGUCUUUGUGCCUCAUUAUCAUGUAUCCCCAUCUCAUGAAGAAAAAAAAAUAUAUAAUGUACUUUGGGACUUGGGAUUAAUUUCAUUAGUCCACUAAUAACACAAAACAUGGCACAACACGUGAAGAAUACAUGCAAACUAUUGUAAGAAAAUGCUAACCUUAACAGGUUGACGGGAAACUUCUUCAUUUUCACUUGAAAGAACUAUGGCCUUGGUCUCCUGCUGGUUCUUAAAACUGCGAAUGGUUAACAUCUUCUGUUGUUUUCCUGUUUCAAGGGCCUCACACUGGUUCUUCAUUUGGUCAUAAGGUAAAGGAGUUGAGGAAGUGGAUAUGCUUGCAACUUGCCGAGCAGUUUCCAAAACCUACACAUGUGAUAAUCCCCAUAUAUCAUUAAAGAGAAGAAACACAUUCAUUCUCCAGCAGAAGCAUAAAAAUUUGAUUGAGAAUAUAAUCAAAAUGCCAACUAGCUAUGUUUUUUUAAGAAAGAAUAGCGUAUCAUUUUUACCGAUUCCAAGAGUUGAUUAACACCUAGAACAUCUGGGCGGUUGGUUGAAAGUGAUGUUCUACGAUCUGACUGGCUUCCACUUAGUUCGGUCCCACUCCCUUCAUCUAUCAAAUCAUCUGCAGCCAUUAUCUGGAAAACCAAUCACAGUAUUGGUCAAAAGUUUUUCCAGAAAAACUAAAUGAAGAUGUACUUUUAGAUAAUUUUACCUCAUCAACAUCAGGGAACUCUAUCUGAGCAAGUGGAGAACCUGGCCUUGGUGUCUCCAUAAACAAUGGAGGUCCUGAUGGAUAAGCAUCAUCAGGAGAAAAACCCUGUAGAAGCUGAUUUUUUAUGCUGGACAACUCAUCCUGGUAAAUAUGGAAAACAUCAUGUUAUUUCCACACAUACACAACUAAUAUAUUCCUAUCCAAGCCACUCCACUGCAAGUACUAUUUUACAUAAGAUAAUAUUAAUUUUUUAGACAAUUUCCAGGACAAAGGUGUGUGAGCGUGACACUGGAACAUAUAUACAGAACAAAUACAUAAUUAACUAUUGAACUAAAAGCAACCAUUUAUCUUCUUAUAUUCAAUCACUGUUAAGCGCUUACCAAACAACCAUUUGUUUUGUUAUAAACUUCCACACAUCCUUGCUACUCGAUAUUAGUCACUGGUAUAAUAUCAUUGGAGCAAACCAAAGUGUGUUACUACCCUCCUACAUUUAUUUUCUCCUUCUUGUUGCUACUAUCACUAUCCUUCUACUCACUCGAGCAUACCCACUACCAUUUUCUUUACUUCUUUUUCAUAUUGCACGUGGAGGGGUUUUAUGUGACUUUAUUAUAAUAGAAAAAUAACAAAGCCCUUCUUAAAAAAAAAAAAUAAUAAUAACAAAGCCACAUUUCUUUAGAAAAUCAUCUUUUUUUUACACACUUUAGAAAAUCAUCUUGCCUACAAAGUUUGACAAAAAAGUAUCAUCAUAACUUUUCAAAGCAUAAAAGAGUAUUCUUUGCCCGCCCAAGCAAAUUUAUAUUACCUCGGGUAAUUUUGAAAAUUUAGUCAUGAAGUAUGAUAUUACAGUCUCUUUCAAUUGUCUGUCAUCCAAUUGUACAGCUGAUAGUGACUUCAUAGCAGCAACUUCAUCUUCCACAGAUCCAAAAACUACUUUGUCUGAUUUUAUACAAACAGCCCGCAGCAGGUUAUCAUCCACCAAUUCAAGAAAAGGAUCUACCUGUGGGUUUAUGAUUUUGAUUAGUUAUAAGCAUAAUUAGAAAAGGAAAAAAACAAUGACUCUCAACUUUAAACCGAAGCAGAAGAACAAGGACGUGAAAUGGGAAAUCAAAUCAAGAGGUUAAGAGUGGAAACUAACCGGUGCUUCUGUCAGGGAUGCUUUGACUUUUGGAAUCAGAUCAGAGAAAUCGGCUGCUCUGGCAGAGAAUAUAAGCAUGUGCGAAGCCAAGGUUAAAAGGGACCUCCUGCGAGAUGGUGGUAAGCCUCCUUUAACAUGCACGUAAAGAAACAUGUCAGAAAAGAGUUGCCGUAGAAAAUAUAAAAUUCUCAGUUAUAGUAAGUUUUAGCUAUUGGACAUUUCAAAAAUUGUUAUUCCAUUUUUGCCACCAUUGAAUGGGGAAGAACAUUCUUUUUCCAGUAUGCAAAAAGUCGGGGAAUGAUGAAACCAUUCCCAACCUCCGAAGUAAAAAAUUACAUGUAUCCCAGUUACCUUCUUGGUCCAAAGAUAUGCUCCUGAGGGAAAAUGCCAGUUGGAAGCAUCUUACUAAAGCCAUGUAACUGGAUGUCUGUGGAAAGCAAUAAACAUCACCAUCAGCUUAGACAAAUUAAUCGUGCAGUAUAAUUUGGUUCUAAAUGCUAUCCAGAUUAAAUAUACACUAUUGUUUCUUAGUUUUAGAAAACAUGAAAACUCCUAUCUGAAUGUUCACCAUUGCCACUAAAUGCUGGUAACGGUAUCAAAGCCAAGUAGAAAUAGUCUUUCAUAAGUUGCUCUUAUAAUUAAUUGCACUUUUAUAAACAAUGGUUGUAAAAUCUACUUAGUAUAUGCUAUACUUAAUGAUAAAAAUCUUUAAAAGCAAUCAUGGCACUUGGUAUGCACCAACCUUACCUUAGAACGAGUAAAUAAUAAAGCAAUGCUAUAAGUGUGUGCCAUUGCCUCAUAAUUUGCAGGGCCAUUUUCAGCAGAUGUUGCCUGAACCCAGAUUGAAGAAAGCAAGAGACUCACUUGGUGACUGCUCAACCUAAGAGAUCUUAGAUCCUGAAAAUUUCAGAGAUCCAAUAUUUGGUUAGGAACUGCUUAUAGCAACAUUUGACUAACUGAUUACUGAAUGCCCACCAACAUAACAGUUCAACAAGAAUCAUUGAGAUUAAACUGUGAUGAAUAGGAACAAAAUACUCUCAACCCAUCCAACCAAUAAGAACACAUUUAAGUGCAUACAGUACAUAAUGAUAAAAAAAAAAUCACACAUCUUUUCCAUCAGCUAGAGCAUGAGUGAAAAAUUUCUUCCCACUCAGACCUGCUUUUACCUUUUCUUCUACAGGUUUCCCAUUCAAGGGAUCUUCUCCAGAAAGACUUUCAUGCUGAAUGGAGAGGCCGUCACUCUCUACCUUCUUGGAAAUCUUUUUUUGGUCUAACCAAGGAGAAACCACAGAUGGCAUGAGCACCAUAGACAAAAUACUGUGCGCUCCAAUUUGUGUUUCACGGUCAGGAUGAGCCAUGGCCAGGAGCAAUUGAUGAAACAACGCAUCAGGGAAAGCCUGGAAAAGACCAAAAAUAACUCAAAAAAUUAGACAAUUAAAUAGAGCCGGGCAUGCAGAAACACCAUUCUCAGUCUAAAGUAAGAAAUACGUGCCUUAUUGUGAUACAACACAUUAGGGACAGAAGUGAUUAACUUUGCAGUUUGAUAGACAGCAGAGAUUGUUGUUCUUGCUACGAUAGUAGAACUAGAAACAUUCUCUAGCACCACAGCCAUCAAAUCAAAAAUGGGUCCUGCAUCUCCAACCUGAUACAACAGAAGCAGUGUGACAAAACUGCUGCAACAUACUCAAUCCUUAUACUUCUAUAGCAAUUUAGUUGCUUAUAAAAUCAAGUCAAAUUCUAUUAAAAAAAAAGAGAGGAAAACAGUGUAGAAAUUUGGUUACUCUUCAGUAAAAGUCAGAAUUAAGAGAUUGAGAACCAAAGCCACAGGUCUCUAAAGAAAACCUCUUCAGUAGAGAGAACAGAUAAUAAAUUGAAUCUAUAGACAUAGAAUUGAAGAAACUUUACUCGGAGAAUACCCAUAAAGAAGUCAUGUGUCGUAUAAAAUACCAUAAAGUUUGAAAGACGAACCAAAAAUUUGAUACAUAAUGUUAACAUAUAUGUACCUUGUUUGAAAGUUGUAAUAUGCACAUUUCAAUGGAAGAUUGAAGUUUAGUAUUCAACAUACUCAAUCCUUAUACUUCUAUAGCAAUUUAGUUGCUUAUAAAAUCAAGUCAAAUUCUAUUAAAAAAAAGAGAGGAAAACAGUGUAGAAAUUUGGUUACUCUUCAGUAAAAGUCAGAAUUAAGAGAUUGAGAACCAAAGCCACGGGUCUCUAAAGAAAACCUCUUCAGUAGAGAGAACAGAUAAUAAAUUGAAUCUAUAGACAUAGAAUUGAAGAAACUUUACUCGGAGAAUACCCAUAAAGAAGUCAUGUGUCGUAUAAAAUACCAUAAAGUUUGAAAGACAGACCAAAAAUUUGAUACAUAAUGUUAACAUAUAUGUACCUUGUUUGAAAGUUGUAAUAUGCACAUUUCAAUGGAAGAUUGAAGUUUAGUAUUCAACGUAUGCGCAUCAUUUCCAAUGUCGGUUGCUUCAGCUGAAUUUUGUAGGCAUCUCCUUAAAUGUUUAAUGAGAUCGGAUAUUGCACCAAUGACUGCAACUGAGGCUUGCUGCUUCACAUUUUGUGCAACCUGUGUGGUGAUGUUAAUAAUAUCAAUCUGAAGGAUAGGUUGCUUGGCAACAUUCUUAUGAUCCAAGUGCUUGACCAAUAUGGACAACAUAAGAUGGGAGUUAUUUCCUGAUGUUCAAAAAGUGAUGAUCAGCUGUUGAGAAAAAUAGGGAGACUUUAAUAUCUAAGGAAAGAAAUGAAGGAUGUAACAAGAAUACCUGAUUCUGCUAAAAGGAAUUGCAAAUACAUCAAAACACAGUAAGCAACCCCCUUUUCAGAAGACCAGUGGUUCUCAGUAUCAAAAUAAUGAAAAAGUGGUUCCAAGACACGCCGCACAGUCGUUGCUUCCUUUGCCAAUUUGGCUAUAUUAUACAAGCAAACCUUUGACCAAUAAGCAGGAUUCUUAGCCGUAUCCCUGUGAAAGUGAUGAACACAGACUGUUGGGAUUACCGAUGUUGGAUUCAUACAUAAUAAAGGGAGCAGGAAGAAGAGUAAGAGAAGACAUACAAUUUGGACUCUAUCUCAAAUCCUGUCGCAACAUUCAACAUCGAAGAUACAUGGGCUUCUUCUUUAGGAAAUUCUUGAACCAACUGGUUCUGAGAUUGUGAAUUCAGUUUCUCUACCUUGGCAAGGUUGGAUUUAGAUUGGAGAUCCACAUAGUUCUCCAAAAUUGCUGAUAUAAUCUAUUCAAAAACCCGCCCACCCAACAAAUAAGAAAAGGGAAAAAAAAUUAGAUUGACAAGAAGACAUUUGGCUUCAGCCUUCAAGUGUAAACUAGCAUCGAAAUUCAAGACCCUAAACUAACUUUGAAUUCAAGACCCAAAUUAUGGUUCAGAAUUUGGAAUAAAUAAAUAAUAUAGAAACUAAGCUUCAAGUUCUAUACAACCCUUUGCUUGAAGUCACUACUGGUAUCAUCAGUCAACAGACUGAAGGAAUAAAAACAGGAAUACAAUACUCACUUUGUCAAAAUCCAUGGAUAGAUGUGAGUGCUCACCCAUGAACUUCACCUGGCCAAAAAAACAAAGGAGAAAAUCAAAAGGCAUCAAGGGAAGGCUCAAGUAACCUCAAAAGGGAACUGGCAUAAAGUAUUGUGGUAGGAACGUGUGGAAGUGAUUUAAUUGUAUCACUAUCAGUACAAAGAAGUUUAAUACUGAAGAAUUAUAAAUAAAAAAUAACUAAAACCGCUAAUGAUGAUCUUUGUCGUUCAGUUAUUUAAUAUUCUGUGCAGAUGGAACCUUUUCAUAAAAAUAAUCAAGGUGGGUUGAUUCUUGUUUGUAUUGAUCAAUAAAGAGAAGUUCUUACAUUUAUAAACUUACUACGAAAAUGCAAGAGCAAAUUCAGUAAGAAAGAAGUAACAAAGGAGCAUUACCAUAGAAGAUAGAGUUUGUAGUCCUGCUGAACGUAGAAGCAGAGCUCGUUCAUCAUCUCCCACUUCUUGAGCCAGUUGACAUAGUUUUGGGAUAAAACCCUCUAGGUUGAACAUGUAUGUACCAUCUGUCUACUUUUAGUUCAAAGGGUUAACAUCACUAAACUCGGGGUAUUGAAAAAAAUGUGACAACAAAAUAGAAACUAAACGAUCUAUAAAUUGCAGUGUAUCAAGCAGCAGAGCCUAUAAUGUGGACAAUAAAUUAAAACUGAAAUCACUAAUUCUACUUUCAGAGGGGUGCUAAACCACUCACAAACAGUAAUGCAAGUUUUUAACACUCAAAUCAGAAAGACCGAAUGACCAUAUACCUGGAAAAUAAUAAAAUCUACAAGAGUAUUGCAACCUAAGAUCCGCACUUCAUCUGCUCGUGUUUGCUCAAGAAGAGUCCGAAUGAUCCCUAGCAAACUACUGGCAAAUAGUGGUCUGCAGAUUAAGAAGCAUUUAUUUUGAAUAUCAUUACUCAUUACAAUGAAAUAUAGCAUGCAACAACUUGAAAUCAAAUGAACCAAAACAUUAUUGUAUAACGCUCAAGUAACUGGCAAAUAGGAGAGCUAGUUGAUAAUGCUUGACCCUGCCUUGGAAUGCAAAUACUAUAUUAAAAAUAAAGGUAUAUCCAUACAAAAUUGUGUUAUCAAAAAAGGCUUCUCGUUGUAUUAUACACUAAGAUUACUCGUCCAGAAUAAGUUUAUCAUAUAAUCAUCUAUGCAUAGUCCCAUAAACCCAGCAUGAAUGAUACCAGAAGGUCCUGGACGCAAAAUUCAUAAAUGCUGGUAAAUUUAAAAAAUGCUUCAGAUGAAAUACUCUUGUGAUUACAAUGACUGAAUCUUAAGAUUUGGAAGGUAAAUCCUUCCCUCAGCAUCCCUUUUUGUUUCAACAAACUCAGUUGGGAUCAAAUAACAACUCGGUACAAGGAAAAUGUCUGCACUUAACUUGCAAGGCAAAAAACUUACAUCUGCUCCCUACAUGAAGACAGCAAUUUUCUGUAUAUGCACAAGAUUACUUUCACUGAACCAAAGCUUUCAUUACGCAGAUCCUUAUAACAUCUUUGCUCCAAGUUCUCUGUAAUCUGACAAGGUAAAACACCACUUAAACUCAGCGUAUAUAAGAGAUUGAAUUCAAUACUUAAAAUGAAAAAAUUCAGAGUUAAAUUUAUCUCAUGGCGUUUGUUCAGAGUGAAAUUAGGUGAAGAAAUGCUGAAAGUAUUCAGCAAAUGAGAGUUCACUAAACAUAUAGUUGCAACUCUUUCACUAUUUAAAGUAUUACAGUAUAUGACAGUUAUUUCCUUUAGCAUAGCCUCGUUGAAAAUACUAAAUGACCAAGUUUUCCUUUAACAUAUAUAUUCAGCAAUUGAAUGAAAAUGUUGACAAAAAUUACAAAUCAGUACUUGAGAUUGCCACUAAAAAUCUCGGUGCUUAAUAUAUCAGUUCUAUCAAACAUGUGAUUAGAUGGAAGCCAGCCGAUUUUCUACAAUGAUUUAUUAGUUAAAGCCGCUAGUAAUUUAUUAUGAGAAUGAUUAUCUACUAUAUUUCCUCCCGCAUGUCAUAAAUUUGUUUAUUAAGUGAAACAAAUAGACUACAAGUGACAAGAAACAAAGAGUAGACUUGUACGAACAUUAUUACCUUGGGAAUUCUCAGUGGAUUCUUAGAAGCAUAUUCGCAUAGCUUUCCGAUUUUCCUAUCAUUGAGCUCAGCAACCUGCAAAACACAGUAAUCAUCAAGUGAAUCAAAAACUUUACUCUUUUUCAUAUUCAUCGGUUCAGCCAGGGGAGGGGAGACAGGGGAGGGCAAAAGGGUUAGAGGGCCUCCAGAGGUUCUAAAUCAUUGUUAAAUCCAAACAACUAGUGCAAUUUUGAUCAUAUAGCACCCUCUAGUACAAUUUCUAAACAAAAUAUAAAAGAUAAAUGUUUUUUCACACAAAUCUGGACACAAACACUAUAUAUCUAUACGGUUUAUCGGAAAUUGUGUAUCCAAAUAGCACAAUUGUAUAUAAAUAGAUCCAAAAACAGCGCCACGUGUAAGUUGUAGAGUCAAUUCCCCCUUUUCCUCCAAAAAGGGUCGUUAUUAUUAUAUUUAUUAUAUAUAGAGAAAGAAUCAAAUUACACCAAUAAGUUACACUAAUUUGCAACCGUUGAUAUUGAUCUUUUUUUUUUAAGAUGCUAAAUUAGCCCACCCAAAUUGGCACCGAAGAGAAUCGAACCUGAGACCUUGAGGAGGAGCACACUCCCAGGUCCCAAGCCAAUACCACUAGGCCAACCCAAGUGGGUUCCGUUGAUAUUGAUCUAAUCUAGGGUCAUGACAUUUUCACUUUAAUGAUCACGUGAUAAGAUACAAAUCCAAAGAAACACCCAUCGGAAAUUUCCUCUUUUGAAACCCAAUUAACUUGCACACUAAAUUCUCUACUUUCUACACUUAAACUCAUUGGCUAUGCUUUCUGCACUCAAAUUCAUUUGUUCCCAGCCAUAAACACAGAAUCAAUCUGUAACAAAUUGAAGAAGAAUGGAAUCUGCAUCAUCCAUGAGCUGCAAUUAAAUAUUUUCUAUGUACAAACAAUGAUGAUGAGUCGGUAAUAAUUACUUAGGGUCAUAAAUUAAUCAAUUAUCUUAUAAAGUCAUAUAUCAAGAUACAUUGUCAAUCAAAAGCUAUUGGAUGGCUUGGGAAGCAGACGGUGAUUUUUUUUCUCAUGGUGAGAAGAACAAUCACGGAUGCAACACGCCGACUAAUGGUAAUAAGGUUUUAAAAGAGGAAGUUUCACGAUGGGUUUCACUGCAUUUGUACAAUAUCACGUGAUCAUUAAAGUGAAAAUGGCAUGAGUCAUUAGAUUAGAUCAAUAUCAACGGCUGAAAAGAGUGUAAUAAUUAGUGUAACUUAUUGGUGUAAUUCCAUCCCUCCUCUUGUAUAUACGUAUAAACUAAACGCCAAAGCAUUGCAUUUUAUUAAAAGCAAAAAGCGAUAGUAUUUGAAAAUCCUAACAGACAAGCAGCGUAUGUGCGGUAACUUACAUCCUUCGCGCCAAACCACAAACAAGCAUUACCAAUAAGUGUUAGUAAAAUACUAAACCAACAUACCAUCCUUCAAUGCAUAUUGCAUACAUUGGCAAAUAAUUUCAAACUCAACUUAAUAUUCUAAGCUCUCUGACACUAGAAAAGUCGCAAACACAUGAUAGCGAAAUGAGCAUGAAAUUAUACCUUAUUACGGGGUAAGAUUUCAGCGAUCAACUUCUUGUAACGUUUAACGGGUUGUCUUGAUCUUGCACGCAAGGAAGGACAAAAAAUACAGAGGUUACCGCAGGCGGGAACAACCCGCCUGGACAUAACCCCCAUUUUCCUGUAAAUUCACAGACCCUCACCUGCAAAAACAACAAUAUCACUUCCUCAAAUUCACAUCACAGUAAUAAUAAUUAACAACUUGAGUUUCACACAAAUUCAUAAACAAAGUCAAAUUCAGCUCAAUUAAGAACACAGGGUUUAAUGAAUCAAUUAUACCAUAGAUUAAAUAAGUUAUGAAUAAUUAAUUUAUAGAGAUGAAUGUAUGAAACUUACGAAUUUGAAUAAUUGAAAUUGUUGAAAUAAUUGAAAUUGCACCACGCGUGUUCGAUCGGGAUCUAAACUAUAUAGUUGAAAAUGAAAAAUUGAUGAAAUAAUAAUGAGAAUUAAGAUAAGAUAAAGAGAAAAUGAAUUAAUUAAAAUGGUGAUUAAAUUGGAUAAGAAAUGAAAGUAUAUAAUAAAAUGAAAUGAAAAUGAAGAGGAAAAAAGAAAGAAUACCGUGAAAAAAUGGCGAUGGGGUCAGAGUUGGAAUGCGAAACUCUUCCCCAGCCAUGAUGACGUUUGUUAAUAUGAUGAAUGGGAAUACGGUUGAAAAAGGUAAGUUUUUGUUUCAUCAUCAAAUUACGUAGUUAGUUAAUUAAACCAUCAUGUAGUAUAUCAAUUGUCAUUUUUGUGAGAUAAUAAUGUAAUUAAUACCGAUUAAAUUACACAUGUGCUCGAUUAAAUCAUGUGUAAAAAAGUUUUACAACAUCAAUCUUAUGUUUAAUAUUAAUUAAAAUUAAAAAGGAAUAAAAAUUAUUUAUAAAUAUUUAUUAGGCAUGAUUUGAUUAUAUGCAUGAUUAAUUAAUCACUUUAUUUUUUUUCAAGUAGCCUAGUAGCUAGAACUCACACAAUUGUGGAGAAGUGGAAUGUUCGGGGUUUGAACCCGGCUCCUGCGAUAAAAUGUAAUAUCCCUCCCCACCAACUGAGCUAAGCUCACAGGGAUAAUUAAUCACUUUAUUAGUUACCUUGUUAUGGAAUGGUAAGUGUUUAAUUUUAUUUUAUUUUAACUUCUUAAAAAAAAUUAAUUAAAAAGAAAUCAAAGUAUCGUGCCCACGUCAAAAAUUGAAUAGGGGUGAAAUGUGUGAGCUCCGGUUACUAGACUAUUCGAUUAGAAAAAAAAGAAUAUUGUGGCAUUCUUAAAAUGAUUAUUUUUUUAUUUUAUUUUCAUCUAAGUAGUAUAUACUAAUGGCAAUACUAUAUAUAUUAGAUAAAAUUAUUUGAUACUCCAGUUGGAUGGGAUGAUAUCAAUGGCGUGAUGGUGGGAGAAACAACGAUGCGAAGAUCAAUGGUACCACGAAUUAUGGGUUGAUUGGAAUAAUGGGUGGAUUUAUCUAAGAAAAAGGGUAAGAAAGGUGAAUUGCAAAGGAAGGAAACUUUUUAUUAACAAAAAAAAAAGUAGGAAACUUCCUUCUUUCGACAAAAAUUAUACUUUGAAGAUUUAAAGUAAUUAACAAAUGUGGUUUCUUAGGAGAGAAGAAUCUAUCUUGUGUGUCUCAUAGAUUAUCCGAUAGAUUAGUCAUUAAAUGGAGUGCAUCUUUGCUCCAUUUAACCAUAUUCCUUUUGAAUAUAUAGAUGUUUGACAUGUGAAAAAAAUAAAUCUAAUGGUUGAGGAAGCUUUACUCCAUUUACUCCUUAUUCCAUUUGAUAAAAAAAUAAAAUAAGAGAAAAACUAUUUUUCUCUAUCAUACAACAGGCAGCGUUUCAUCUUCUUCCUCCAUCCAAAUUGUCAUUUACAAUCUAAAAGGUUAACGUAUUCUGUGUAACAAUGAUGAUAGAUUUGGAUUAUUAGGGAUAUCGAAAUAAUCCUAGUUCUAAUCAGGAACCCCAAUGGAUGAAUAAGAUUCGGUGAAAUAGAACUGAUAGACAUAAAAUUCAGAUUUGUAAGAGAAGAAAAUUGAUAAUAAUGCUUGCUUAAAUAUUCCACCAAGUCACAGGGACCAUAUAAGGAUCUAAGAUUACAACUUUAUCCUCAUAUAGAGAUGAAUAAUUUUAAUAGUACUAAAUUGAAGAUGAAUGAUAUAACCGGUAGUGUUUCAUCUUCUUCUUUCUCAUAACAAUCUAAAAUUGCAACAAAAAACAAAAAUUGAAGGUGAAUGAUACAAAAUUGAGCACAAAAUCGAAAGUUUGAAAAUUGAAAGUUGUUGUUUUAUCGGCAUCCGAGUAAUUUGCAGAUCAGUCGUCGGAAAACUCGUUUAUCUCUGAAUGAAUAUCGCUUAUUUAAAUAAUUAACUCGUUGUUGAGCAUGUGAUUCAUCUCUGAAUUGAACUUUUGUAAAUCAAUACAUAUUUCUCAUGAUUCGAUUUAGAUCUGCAAACAAUGAAAAUCAAGGGGGAGAAGAAGUUGAGUGCGUGUGGAGCAGAAGGGGAAGAACAUGAUGAGAGGGAUAAGAUGGAUAGGUGUCUAUGUUAAUCUUUUAAUCUCAACCUUUGGAUUUAUUUUUGUCAAGUGUCACACAUCUAUGCAUUGAAAAGAAAUAAAUUGAGCAAGAGUAAAUGGAGCAAAGAUGAACUCCAUUAAAUGACGGUGGAAACUUUGUACCAAUAUCAUGUUAACCGAAAAAUAAUAUGGCUUCUUAGAUGAGUGUUCUAGCUUCUAUGAAGGGUCGUCAAUUUUUUUAUGGUAUUCUUAUUACAAGUAAAGUUUUGGAUGAUACCAAUAGAUUGAAGAAAGAACUUAUUCUCUUUAAGGUUGAUUUUGAAAAGACUUAUGAUUUUGUAGAUUAAGUUACAAUUAGAAAGCGGUUUCAGUUAGAUGGAGGAAGUGGAAUACGGAAUGUAUCAAUUCAGUCUUUAUCCCCGCUCUCAUUAAUGGUAAGCAUGUAGAUGUAUUCAAAUCAAGCAGAUGUUUGAGGCAAUGUGAUACUUUCUAACCUUUUUUUAUAUAUUUUUUUAUUGUAGCAGAAAAUCAUAAUUUCAUGCUAAGGGCUUCAAUGAACAAUGCCUUGGGUCAAAUCAUUAGUUUAGGAUUUCUCAUGUGCAAUUUUGCAAACGACACUUUGUGGUGAGCCAAAAAAAUUGGAAAAAUAUAAGAACAGUAUAAGACUAUUUGAGUUGAUUUCGCGUCUCAAAAUCAAAUUUCACAAAAUUGUGUUGGUGGAUGAGAAUGUCUCACUUUUUUGGUUGGAAGAAACACUAAAAGUUCCUAAUUGUAAAAUUGGAUUCACCCCUUUACUCACACACUGAUCUUUUGAUGGGUGACAAUCCUCCAAAAUCUUGUUUUUGGCAUCCUUUGUUAGAAAGAAUCAUAAAAAGACUACGGGGUUGGAAAAGUCAUCAGUUAUUCAUGAGGUCGACAUUUUAUACUUAAAUUUGUCUCAUCUUCUCUUUUGGUUUACUUUCUUUCAUUUUUUAUGACUUGUAUGUAUCAUUCUUAAAAUAUAAUCUUUUUUUAAUUCUUUCCCAUGGGAAGAGGAGGAAGCAAGAUCGGCUCAUUAGAGCAACUCCAAUGGCAUAUACUCUCCAUAUACUUUGUAAUGGUCCGCCAACUGGAGGUGCAAAAGGUGGGUUAUUUUGCCAAAAUUAUAGUUGGAGGUGGCCAGCAUGUAAUUAUGGUCGCUUUAUGAAGUGAGGAAUAAAAUAUUAAUGCGUGAGGUAAAUUUGUGGGACCUAAUAUGAAUAUCGUAUAGAUUGGAGUAAUAAAUAGAGGAAUUGCUUCAAGAUGAUAUGGUACAAUGAAACCACAAAAUAACAAUGGAUAGAGUUCAUCCAAGGUGCUCCUAGAUUUACUAGGCUAUACUUUGUCUUGAUCAUAAGGGUGUUUCAAGGUGAGGAAGAUUAGGAAAUUUAAUUUUGAUCUUUAUAGGUAAAUGGUGGUGGAGGUUUAGUUAAUUAGUCAUGACCAUGACGACUUAUGGCAUAGGGGUGUUGUUGCACAAGUAUGGAUCUAAAGGUGGAGUGUGUUAGAAUCACACGCAGGUUUAACAGACAAUAUCUAUGUAUUAUAACAAGACUAAUAACAAAGAAACAAUUUGUCUACAAUCAUAAGACAAGUGACAUAAUAUAGUAGUCAAUUUCAAUGUAGACAUAUUGUCGUAAAGCUACGGCAGAAUUUUACAGUUCCUACACCCUAUGAAUUAAUCGGCACAUUGUUAAUUCUUUGAUAAAUAAAGAAAACAAAUAACAACUAUAGUAAGAAGAAGUGUUUGUGUUCCAUAAUUUCCUUUAUUCAGUGUGAAUAAUUGACAUAAACAAAAACAAAAAAUGAUAAAUCAAAUGGAAGGUAAAUUAUCAGCACCGAAAACAUGAACACAAACACGUUGAACAGAACGGAACAAAGGAGAAACCAUCGUACGAUAAUGUAACGGAUGAGAUAACUCUUCAUUAGCAUCGAUUUGAACGCCGGUGAUACCGAUAUCUUUGAGACGGAAAGCGAGUUUCUCACCAACACGAGAAGCGAUUUUGGCGUCCCAGAAACGGUGUGAUCUAGGGAAGCGAUUGAGGACGGAGCGGUUGUGAGAGAGAAACUCUUGUUCGGAAGAGGAAGCCAUGGCGAUGAUGGAUGAGGUUGUGGGGUUUGUUACUUGGGCGGUGAUUUUGCGGCAGGAGAGGAUUAGUUGGAGUACGUGGUGGUUGGUUUUGGUUGUUGCCAUUUUGUUGAUGCAUAGAACUAUGUUUGUUUUGUUGUUUAGGAGGACAUUGUGAAGAUGUUUGAUUGAUGGUGCUAGUUGCUUUGUAAAACGUUGCGUUUUGGGGGAAAUACUGGAAAUUUAGUUGCCAAACAAAGUAGAUAAAUCAUAAUUUAUUUGUUUAUUUACGGUUGAAAACAAUAAUACUACAAAAUUAAUCCAAAAACGCUUAAUUGAAAAUGUUGAUAUUGAUAAGUUAGAUGCUUUUAUCCGAGUUCGAAUCUUGGACAUCUUAAAUGUGUGUGAAUUUUAGAUGAUAUUAGUCAUUCUGUUAUGAACAAAAAAUUACAACAGUGAAUACUCAUUGUGAUUUAUGUAAAUAAAUAAAAAAAGAUGGGAUGCAAAUAUUUGUCUAAAUAUCAAUGACUUUUUCUCGUCACUUCAAGAUCGCACAUGUAUUGGUAUUUGCUUGCAUGAUGAGGAUGGUGCUUUUGUUUUGACCAAGACCAUGGUUCUCUAUGAGUAUGAAAUCUAUUGUAGUUGGGGGAAGCACUUGGUUUAUUUUAUGUGUUGCAAUGGAUGCAAGAUAUGCAAUUUGACAAAUUGAUUUUGUGGUGGAUUCCAAAACAACAACAUAUGCAUUUUCACACUAGACGGAUAAAUGUUAUAGAAAUCGAUCAUGUUAUCACAACUUGUAAGGAUAUCUUUUCAGCUCAUUUUACAAAACUCUGAGAUAGAGUUCAAUUAAUGAUAAGCAAAGAUGGUUGCUCAUGAUUGCUCAUCGUAUUGAAACUCUUGUUAUUAAUGAUAUGUUAUAAGCUCAUUUCUUUAAAAUAAAAUAAAAAUGAAAGUCCCUAAAUUAUAAAAUUUAAGGACAUUGGGGACCAAAAUUGAAAGAGAUUAAAAAUGAAAUUAGAGAUAUUUAUAAGAAAAAAAAUUAUUUAACGUCAUAUGCCUUAUCUCAUUAAUAUCUCUCAAUAACAUUAGUAACAUAGCAGUGUUUGCUGGGUUUCUCUACUUGCUAUGGUUAGUGUACUGAUUCUGAGGAACCCUUCACCUUUGUUGUAAUCGGUCACCGGAGCUUCUACACUUGAUCGUAUUCGUCAGUAAUAACAAACAAAGGGUCCAUCCAUCAACUUUCUCUUUCCCCUCCCAUUUUUCAAUUCAACAUAUCUGAUAUUCCAACUUUCUGAACUCAAUUGAAACGAUGAAUAGAAAGGGAAAAAAAUAAUAGUGUCACUAAAUUUUAACAUGCUUGCAGGUUCUUCUAUUCGCUUUGUCAAAUGGAAAGUGUUUAAAUCUGGUUCAUAAUCUUCUAGUAGUUUUUUUCAACCUGGAUAGGUAAACCAUUUUCUUCAUCUUCUUUCAUCUUUUUCAAAUUGGAGAUGAUAUUUUUGUGUUACCAUCUUGGACUAAAGCUAGCAGCAGCUGCACUAAUUAUCUAUAUGCUGAAAAUUAGGGACCAUAUCAUAGCUUAAGUCAUACAUACAUACAUACAUACAUACAUACAGUUCAAGUAUCUUGGUUCUGUUACACUACAACUUAGAUUUCCGGUUUAGAGGGAAGAGGAGGCUUAUGACUGAUAUUUUCCUAGUUUUGGUAGUAUUACAUAAUGAGGUGAGGUGGAGGAUUUGGAAAAUCUUUCAAAACUCUAUAACACCGCCAAUUAGGUGAGUUUCCCUUUUCCCCUUCACUCUCCAAAACAAUCCUUUUUUCUUUAACGCCAAAUGUUAGUCAUUCUUUACUCUUUUGUCCAGAUUUCAGCUGAGGACCUCCAACUCCUUAUCCCGUAGCUCAAACCAACCUACAUAACAUGGAAAAGAGGCAGAAGUGGACUAUAGGAUUUGAGUGGGUGGAUAAAGUGGACUAGUUUUUCAUCUGUUACUUCUGAUAGAAAAAUAACACUCCUGACUCCAUAGUUAAAAAGACUUGUGAUGUUGUAUGGAAGUGAGUAUUAGGCUGCAAAGAGUUGAUAUGGAAGUAAAUUUGUUGUUGCAAAAUUGAGAAUAUUACAAUGAGUGAUCGAAAGCGCAGAUAGGAUAGAAUAGGAUUAGGAACUGAUGCAUUAGCGAGAAAAUUAGGAUAGUAUUCAUUGCGGAAAAUAUGAUAGAAUUUUGCCUUAAGUAAUUUGGACAUGUGUCGAGAUUGGAGAAUAUAUGUAGAAGCUUCGAUAGAUCAAACCAAGAAUCUCACAAUUGAUAGAGGUACAAUUAGUCCAAUAAACUGUGGUAGUGCUGGCUUUGGUUCAUUCUCUAUCCACACGUGACAUGUUGAACCAAUUAGGGGUCCAUGCUAUCUUACUCAACUUUAUAUUGAGCUUUGGGUGAUUCUCCUACACCUCAAAGCCUCUGAUUUGGAGAUCCAACACCUGGGUGAGUGCCAUCAAAACUCGUCAGCUCAACCUGCUCCACCGCCAGCGGAAUCGGAUAGUAAUUCCAUUGUCAAAACCAUAUUCCAAACCUUUCCGUCUAUUUUGAUCAUUCUUUGACUCCCCUUUGACUCCUUCUGACCACGCGAAUGGGCUGGACUGUGGAGUAUGUGGUCCCACCUGUGAUAGACAGGACUCUAUAAGCAUUUGCUGAAAGUAAUUAUGCAUCUAUGUUCGUAUUCUUGCCUAUCGGUCAAUUAACUCCUUCACCACAGCUUCUAGAUAAGACACGCGAACAGCCAUGGCGGUGUUUCUGACAGCUCCGCACUUAGGCAGACACUCUCCAACAAUAGUAUUCGGCACGUUGAACCAAUAUCAUAGACUUAAGGUGGAAAAGCAUGCUAGUGAUUGUAUUUGUAUUUGUAAUUGAAUAGGAAAUAAUUUUUGUUGGGAUGCACUAGUCGAUCAUCCUAAACAUUUGGUGCUGUUGGUUCUGUAUUAUCUUGGAACCAAAAAAUUCUGAAAAUGGCCUAUUAAGGGUGUUUUCCGGAAAAUAAAAAUUUUAUGAGGGUGCAAAUCAAACCGAAAAUUUUAUAGGGGUGAAAACUGGAAAUGACAUAUAUUACAGGGGUAAAAAACACUAUUAACCCUUAAUUAUUUAUUCUUUUUUGGUUCAACAUUACUUAUUAAUGUUUAUGAUUAUUAUGGGAACCAUUAAGAAUAUGUGAAUAUCUUUUUGCUAAUAGCUUAUGGAUAGGAUGAUUGGACUUUUGACAUCCAUUUAUUGCUAUUCAUAAUGUGAGGCACCAUUGAUCAUAAAUAUUUAUAUUUCCAAACAAGGAGAUUAACAAAAGAAAUAGGAAAACAAAAAAGAGGAACGAAAAAAAAACUGUUUAAAUUCGAAACAUGAAACUUUUUCAAUGAUCAAAUUUUCUUUACGUUUUCUGAUGAACUGUGAAGGAUAAUCUGCUUAUUUGCAUUGUGUACUUAUGCUAUAAUAGGAUGAUGGAUCACCAAUCUGGCCAGGGAUUUGAUUCGGAUGGCAGUGACUUUGAUGUGUUAGCAGAAAUCAGUGAGAAACAUGAGAAAGUAGAAGACGAAUUUACAAACAGUUUAGAAUUAUGUACAGGUGAAGAUAAAGAGUUUGUCGAACAACCUGUAGCAGAUUCGGACACAUUAGAACCAUUCAUAGGCAUGCAGUUUAACUCAAGGGAGGAAGCCAGAGGAUUCUACGAUGGCUAUGGUAGGAGGAUAGGAUUUACAGUACGGAUACACCAUAACCGCCGUUCGCGAGUAAAUAACGAGCUUAUUGGUCAAGAUUUUGUUUGCUCAAAAGAAGGUUUUCGUGCAAAAAAGUAUGUGCACAGAAAAGAUAGAGUGCUCCCUCCUCCACCGGCCACCCGAGAAGGUUGUCAAGCCAUGAUAAGGUUGGCUUUACGGGAUGAAGGGAAGUGGGUUGUCACCAAAUUUGUGAAGGAACAUACACAUAAACUGAUGAGUCCUGGUGAAGUUCCGUGGCGAGGAUCCGGGAAGCACUUGGUUAGUGAGGUAUGUUUCUCUAGUAGUGCACUUUAUAGUUUAAACUAACAGUUUAAGUAUACCUGAUCAAACUGGGCCAGAUUAUAAAAGUGAGACUGACUAAUACGUUAUACCUCUUCUCCUGCUGCUGAUAUUAGAUUGACAUCAGUAUCAGCAGGAUUGAACUACACUGAACAUGAUGAACUGGAAUAGCAGAAUACAGAUUCUCAUGGAGCUUUUAGAAUACCUUAUCUAUGGGUGCCAAACCUUCACUCACACUUUUCCCACCUUUACAUGAUGAACUCGAAUAUCAAAAUACAGAUUCUCAUGGAGCUUUUAGAACACCUUGUCUCUGGGUUCCAAACCUUCACUCACCCUUUUCCAGCCUCACUUUCCACACACCCUUUUCUAAGUCCGUCACUGAUCCAACAAAAUCCCUUUACCUUCCAUUUGCAUCACAUCAUUAGGAAGUUAGUUAUCUAAAGUCACAAUGUGUCUCUUGCUAUUUUCCACCUAAGAUAGAAUGAAGGCCUAUCAAUAUUACACCAAGAAUAUACAUAAUAUAGUCAAUUAUAGCCUGAAAAGUUACCUCUAGUCCUCCACCCCCAAAACAAAUCUCAAAGAGGAAUGUAUUAACUCUUUUAGGGCAUUAAAAGUCCCAUCUCAAUCGAUUACAUACAGAUGUUGGAUUAGGAUAUUUUGAUUCGUGUAUUGUUAAGUUCAUUGUUAGGAUAGAAUGUCCAUGUUCUGUUUGUUCCUUUUUUCUACCUCAAACUUGUCUUGUUGAUUUGUGUCACAGGAUGAGAAAGAUAGGAGAAUCCGUGAGCUAUCACUUGAGUUGCACAACGAAAGGCAAAAGUACAAAAGACGUUGUGCAGCGUAUGAAGAACAGUUAAAUACGAUUCUGAACGAUUUGGAAAAGCACACAGAACACAUCUCUAAAAAGGUUGCUGAUGUAGUCCAAAAUAUAAGAGAGAUUGAGGAAGAAAAAUCAGAUUCAGAUGGCAGGUAAUUGAUGCCAGUAUAUUCCAUUCUGCCAGACAUUCUGGUGAGAUACUUGGUCCUAUUCGCAAUUUGAAGUUUUCAAACGUAAUUCUAUCAACAUUUGGCUUGAAGUUGUGUAGUGGUAAUAUUAAAUCUUCAGGCAUCAUAUAGGUUAAUGGGAAAUUCAUUUUCCGGUGUGUAUCAUGUCCGGGAUUAGGUGCUUAAAUUUUUAACUUUAACAUGUUGAAAAGUGUUUCCCUUGUGAGUACCAUAGCCAUUGUAUCCUUGCAUUAAUUGUAAUCAAAUGUUUCCAGCUGCACAUUUUGAUUUAUCACCAAUACAGCAAGUGAAUGAGCAUUUACCUUUUCCAAGUUGAUUGGAAUGAGAUUAUGGUUGAUAACUUAAUACCUGGUACCACAAGGACUAAAGUCUCUGCUUACAUUUUGAAUGAUUACUAUACUAGUUUAGCAGUCAAUUCAUAUACCCUUUUACUAUAGUGGAAGAAACAGUUGCCUUCUAGAUAAUUACUGUACCAUUUUUCAAUUUCAACUAUAGGCCAAAUUUAUCUCUCUAAAAUUUUAUCAUAAACAUUGGGAAAAACAACCCAGGCCUAAGAUUUCAACAUUUAUAAUUUAUACUUUUGCAACUAGCUGUCCACGAGAUUCCAAAUUGACGUCAUUAUUACCUUAUUUUAUGGUAUGAUAUACUUAAGACGGACAAUGAAUGAACAUGAAGGUUUAGCCAUUAUUGUUUAUAUCAAAAUAUCAAAAUUGAGUUGACAAUAUUGAGCCAAGAUUCUCAGGAUUUCUCAGAUCUCUUUAGGGGAGAGAUAGACACUAUGAAAGUUUGGUGUUUCGAAUCUAUUUCUCAAUUUCUUACUGAUUAAAGUACUCUUUUUGUUCCCUCUUUUUAUCAUCUCUCUUUUGUAAGUUUCUUACUAUAAGGAUCCUCUUUGUUCUAAUUGAUAAAUUAAAGUCAUGUCAAUUUCAAGUGAAUUUGUCAAGGGAGAAUUUAUUAACAUGAUACUGUUACAAAUUAAGUUCAAUAAAAGGGAAGGUAAAUCUUGAAGAAAAAAAAUCUUAAAACAGAAGUUUACAUUACAUAUUAAAACAGAAUCAAACCUAGACCCAAAACCUAGGGAAAAAGAAAGAAAACACACUUUUUUCUCACAAUGGUUGUGUGUCCUCCAUUGCAAUUACCUUCCUCCCCCUUCAAAACAUCCAUUAGUAGUACCUGGGCAGAACUAAGUCUUGUCAAGCCAGUUAACCUACUCAGAUUCAUUGCACUGAGCCAAUCUUAGAUGUUGGAUAGAGAUUCCACGGCUUCACAACUUCGACAAAUCAAUAACUUGAAAUCUCAAAACGUCUGAGAUCAUUGACUGUAAUAACAGCUAGCCAUGCAUUUCCAUACUAACCACCCAAACAACUUGGGAUUGGGAAAAAAAUAAGAACAAAAAGAAAGCAAAAAAUAAAGUAAAAUGCCUAGUACAAAACACAUAGAUGAAGACAUUCCAUCUGAAUCCUAAUACACUUAUUAUUUACAACGUGGGAAUAGAAAUCAACGUUGAAACCCCGACACAGAGGCAAAGAACAAGAGUUAACUAACUGAGAGCAGUGAAUCCACCACCCUUCAUCAUUUGCUUAAACUCCUUAUAAUCAACCAAACCAUUUCCAUCAACAUCAACAGUUCCUAUCAUCUUCUUACAAUCUUCAACUGUUCUUCCUUGUUUCAAUCCCAACGAAACCAAAACCGAUCUCAACUCAUCAACGCUAAUGAAUCCAUCACCAUUCUGAUCAAACACGUUGAAUGCUUCCCUCAUAUCUUCUUCCUCCUCUUCAUCACGUUCACUCAUAAUUGACUCAUACAACUCUCUAAAUUCCUCUAUGUCCACACACCCAUCUCGGUUCACAUCAAUCUUCUCGAUCAUUUGACUCAGCUCUUUGUCAGGGAUGAAGAUUCCUAAAUUCUCCAAGGAAUCAUUCAACUCUUUCUUUGUUAUACGGCCAUCGUCGUUGCGGUCAAACAUUUGGAAAACACGUUUGAGCUCAUUUGGAUCCAUUGUUAUUGUCUUGGUAAAAACAAGACCUCUUUUUGAUGUGGAAGAAGGUGUGGUUAAGGUUUGAUGAGUGAACCAAGAAUGAGGGAAGAAGGUUAUAAGUUUCUUAGGAACAAGACUAAUGAGAAAUGAAUUGACAACGUUGUAUAAAAGGAAAAUUCUAAGCAAAAUAGUUGGCAUUUCUAACAAGGAAGCGAGUAAUUUGUAGUAUUGUUUAUGACUUAUGUUGCUGUUGGUGUUGGUUUUUUCUUUAUUAUAAAGGCAAAGACAUUAAAGUUGUAACGACUAGAAGUAGUAGUAACAAGAAAGUAUUGGUUUUUAAGAUUGAAGUGAUGCUCUUUAUUGUCUUUGAUUUAAGGUGGUGGGGUUCAUCAAUUUUUCACGCGUAUUUGAGUUGAGGUGGUUAACCUUUUUAAAACUAAUUUAGUAAGACUAUGAUUGAUCAUUAGACUUGGUUGUACAAUAACGCGUUUACAUUAAUUAUUGGGUCGCAGGUACUUGUUUCCCUUUGUUUAAUGUGCCCGUGUGUCUCACUUCUAUAGGGUUGGUUGGUUGCAUGUGUUUCUCUACAUGUUACUGGUACUGAUUGUUUAUUUGAGUAGAGAAAGAUAUCUCAACUAUGGAAACUAAUCAUUUAAUAAGAGUUGUGUUAUUUGAACAUCUAUUUAUAGGACAACUUUUGAAACAAUAAAAAAUAAAGUAUCGACACAAAAACCAAAGCAAUAAAGAGAGAUAAAGUUGAAAGAAAAAUUGUUGUUCAAAUAUCAUUUCUCCUUUAAGAAUAGUUGAUUUCUUUCGAUAUAUAUAUUUUUUAUAUAUAUAUCGACAUAUCGUUAGAGAUCGAACUCAUGACCGAACAGUAAAAAAAUUGAAAGAUCGGUGUCUGAUCUAAAAACCGACUAACUUAGAGGAUCAAUCUUGUCAUCUACCGGUAGACUCUAAUUAAAGUUAGAGAAAAAGAUUUUGGUGUAGAUUUGUUGAACUAACUAGUGAUGUAGCAGUACUUAAGUCCAUGAUGAGUAGUAGUCUAUUGUACCGUGGAGUAGAAGAUAAUUAAAAGAAUUACUCUCUCCCAACCAAUUUCUGCCUUGACCUUCCCAAGUCUGAAGGUUUAGGGCCUGUUUGAAUGUGUUUUGAUUUUUAGUUUUUGAAAUCUAUUUUACAAAACAAUUUUAAAAAUUGUUUUUAAGAAGAAAAUAAAAAAUAAAAGUUGUUUGACAAACAUAGAGCAAAAUCAGCAUUUUUAUCUUAUAUUUUUAGGUUGUACAAUAUUAUAGAAAUACCAUUAAUGAAAAUUGCAUUCUUCUCCGUGUUUUUACUUUUCAAAAACUGAAAAAUUGAGAACCAAAACACCUUUAACCUGUUUUGCUUUUUCGUUUUAAAAACCAACAAAUAAAAAACAGUUUUCAAAAUCACUCUUAUAAAAUUGGAUUGUCAAACAAGUUUUAAAAUUUUUAAUUUUAAAAAACUAAAAUUAAAAUAAGGGAAUCAAAACAGGCCCUUACUCCCUUUUUUCUUUUUUCUUUUUUGAUGUAAGAAGUGGUCUACUCUUAAUUUUUAGUAUUUUUAUUUUGAGUAAUUAUUCCACGCAAAUUAUUUUGACUAAUUCUUGUUGUUUGCUAUACUCCCUCUGGUCCUAGAGACAAUUUACUUUUUAAAUACAUUAAAUAAUUUAUGUAUUUGGUUUAGAUUCUUGAUUAGAUACAUACAUUAUUCAAUGUAUUUAAAAAAUCAAUUUUCUCUUGUAAAUAGGACCGGAUGAAGUAUUUCUCUUCUUUUAUGAGGGGUUUAUUAAAACAGUUGGUAUACUUUUUUAACCCAAUUUAUUGUGUGUUGAGGUUGACCUGAAUAAUACUAUGGUUUUUUAAUAUCAGAUGAAUGAUAAUGAUAUGAUUAUACCAAUGGUAGAGAAAUGAGUAUUAUUACGAGUAUAAAAAAACAUUAGUGGCUUUUUGUGUGACCGUAUUUUUAGGUGAACAUUUUUUUGACCGUUGAUGACGGAUCUAAACGUUGGAGAGUGGAACCCGCAACUGAAAAAGGAAAGGCAGAGGCCGGCAAUUAUAAUAUGCACUGUUCAUUGACUCUAGACACUUUAGAGAGUUUAGAUUUCCUCAACGGUUCUUUUAGUUUGCGCGUCUUACCUUCUCCAGCUGACACGUGGCAUCUUUUUGCGCAUGACUUCUACUUGGUGACAUUGUCGUUGCUGACAUUGAUGUCAUUGAUCAACCACAAUAUCAUAAGUGAUUUUCUUCUACCUUUUCACAAGAUUUGUUUUUUGUUUUUUUAUACAUUUUGUAACAUUGUGGUUGGAGAAUGUCACAACUAUCACCAACCAUAUGUUAUCCCUUCUUUCUUCCCUUGAUGGAAUUGGAUUGGGCCGUCAAAAUUUGUAGCAUUUAUCGUGAAGCCAUAUGCGGUAGAUGGUUUAGUAGCUUUGAAGUGUGAUAAAUUAAGGGAAAUGUUAACUAGUGCUUCCGGAGCAUUGGUUAAGGAUAUUAAAUGGUAACUUUUUAUGAAAAUUUGUUUAAUCAGUGUAUUAAAAUUGAAAAUUUUGACAUUUUUAAAGAAUAAUUAUUUAAUACUGUGUUGUUUUUUCUUUGUUUCUAGACUUCGACCUUCUUUGUUUUCAAAAAAAGUGUACUCUUAAUUUCACAAUGAGUACCAUUUAACAACUAAAAAUACUUUUGCAUGUUUGAUUCCAUUUUUUUAGAAAAUAAAAUUGAUUUUAGAUUUGUAAAAUUACUUUUUUUUUUUACAAACUGUAAAAUUACUUUUGAGAUGUUCGAAUACUCUCAAAUAUAAUUAAUUUUGCUAUGACAAUUUUUUUGGGUACAAUAGAAUUGAUCUUUUCUUCAAGCUGAAAAUCCAAAAUUCAGUUUUUAUUGUUUAACUCUCUUUUAAUGCGUUCAAAUAUAAAUCAGUUUAUUGUGUGCAUUUAGUUAUAAGGUGAUAAAAAAUAAUUUUAAGAGUUUUUCUACUUGCACCCUAGUUAAUCAUGGUUGCACCCCAAAAUGAUAAGAUUAUCCUUUCAUAAAAUUUGAUUUUCAAAAAGCCUAUUCCUUCUUUUUUGGUUACACCCCAAAACCCUUCUUUCAAAACCAUAAUUCUCCAAUCGAUCGAUUGUGUUCUGCGAAGAUUUUCAAAACCAUACUUUCUCACGUCCAUUCAUGAUUUCAAAGAAAAUUCGAAGCAAAUCAGGUUAGCAAGUGUUGUUCUUCAAUCGAUUGUGUUUUCUUGUUAUGGGUUCUCAGUUCUGAUUUUGUGUUUUCCUUGUUCUGCGAUUUUGUAAAAUCAGUUUAAGUAGGUUCAUGUAAACUCAGUUUAAGUAGGUUCAUGUAAACUCAGUUUAAGUAGGUUCAUGUAAACUCAGUUUAAGUAGGUUCAUGUAAACUUAGUUUAUUAAGUUUACAUGAACCUACUUAAACUGAAUUUAAGUUAACCUUGUCAAUGUAAAUUAAAACCGUAAUCGUACAGUGCAUCAUUGCAGUUGAAGGAAAAAAAUUGAAACUAGCAAAUAGAAGAAGAAAUUCACUUACUUAUAUCCAAUUGAGUAUGGAUGAAAAAUAUUUUGAUUCACUCUUUAAUUUUCAUGGAGAUUGAUAUUGAACAUCAAAUUGUUUGAUCGAUCGCUUUGUGGGGUGAAAGAGGGUGAAACUCACUGACAAUGAAUAAAAUUAGGGUUUUAAGAAAAAUGAUAUAAAAGGGCAAUUUUGGUAUUAUAAAAAAAUUAAGAAAAUUUGGGUGUAACCAGAAAAACAUAAGGUGUAAAUAGAAAAACUCUAAUUUUAAAUGAAUUGAUUUUGACUAAAAGUGAGUUGAAGGUAAAAUAAUUGAUUUUUAUUAAUUUUAAAAAAUUAUUACUAUUUUUCUUUAAUUUAAAACUUUUAUUUUAUUUUUUAUACGGCAUAAAUAACUGUAUCACCUAGCCUAAACACAAUUAUCAUCACCCAUGAGACGGAAAACAUUUAUUCGUGUCAAGUCCCACACUAUAGUACUACCUCAUUAGGUGGCUUCAAAUUUCAGUUCAUUAUGUUUCUCCAACUCCACAAAAUUUUGUCUUUUCUUCUUCUUCUUCUUCUGGCAUACUUAUUCCAUCAAUGCCAAACUGGCAAACUUAGUAAGUAAAUUGCUUUUAUCUCACCCAAAGUUUCACAAGAUUGUGUUUGAUUUUUGUUAAAAGAAAAUUGCACUUAUAACCGAUAAAUUAUUGUGCGAUGGUGGGAGUAUUUUAUAAAACAUUAGAGAUCUUGAGCUUGAGUCCAGCUCUAAAAAUGCAAUAAUGUUAAAUCUUUUCGAGAGAUUUGUCACUUAUUAUAGACUCGAUUCAAGAGAUUAAUAUAUCCGGUUACAUGCAAAAUAUACUUGAUUUACACUAAACAAAAAAUUGUACUAUGCUUAACUGUAAUUUAAUUACCUCAUCUUGAGCAUUUCAAAUUUUGUUUUCAUUUGUGCAUACUAGUUUCCAUGCAUACAGGGUCAACCAAACAUGGAAAUCUAAUUAUUUUUCUUAUUAUAGAUAGAUGCCUAAAGAAUAUCCCCCACCUUGCUAUAGUAGACAGCAAUGUGGAUAUUCAUAUGUGCUAUAGUAUAAAAAUACACUGCGCGUUUUGAGUUUUUCUUUGCCACUAGGUUGCUCCCAGACAAGAAACAACUUUGGUCAUAACAAUGAGAUAUAUUUAAAUUAAAUUAUUAUACCAGACUGUAUUAGGGAACAUGUCCUGUCUCUAUUUCCACCAUCCACUUAUUAAUGACACUAUCUAUCAUGGUGAACUGGACUUAAUAGGGUGUUAAUGUGCUCAAUCUAUUAUAAAUUCUAAUUGGAACGGAUGGAAUAUUAUUAUUUUUGUUAUUAAAAAUAAAAUGAUAUUUUCUGUUGUCUUAUUUUCCUACACCCAUAGAAGACUUAACACUUGACUUUGUUUGAAAAACAUAUGGGAAGGGAAAAUAAAAGUAUACUAUAAAAGGGAUUUUUAGUUGUUUGCUAAGAUGUACAUUGUGGUUGAAAUUCGAAACUCGGUUCUUUCAUUUAUGUUUAUGAGUUUCCGAUGAUUAUUAUCUAUUGACAACAAAAAUAUGCGAAAAGAAAGUUAAAAUUCCACCUCUUAUUUGAAUUCGUAUAUAAUGUAAAAAGAAUAAAAGAAAUUGAUGGCAUUUAGCUAGAAUUCUCAUGACCAGAGCGCACAACGGAAUAAUCAAGCUACUUUUAAUAAAAAGAGCCUUGUUUUAUUAAGCGAAGGAUAUCUUCACGAAUAUGAUGUGAACGCUUAUGUGUUGCUUUUACAAGAAAAAUUCAAACUUUUAACUCUAACUUAACGGAAAACAGGGAAGGUAAUUGUGCAGUUGGAGCAAAUAAUAGAGUGUCGUGAAAAAUCAUGAAGUUGCAAUUCGCAAAACUAGUUGAAUUCCCAUUUUUUUAAUGCAACAUAGAUAGGAUACAUCAAAAUUUAAGUUAAAUGUUAUAAGGCCACACAACCACAAGUCACAACUAUAACGUGCAUAGUUUUGAAACUCGGACCGGUCAUUAACUCGGUGAGAUUAUUAGGUCACUGAGUCAUUGGUUGAACCAUUGAGUCACCGAUUAAACCGCAUGACGAAACCGGGUUAAAUCGGAUGAUUCGGUCAUUAAAAAAAAAUAUAUGUAUGUUAAACUAGAUCAAAUUGAAUGACUUGGUCUGUACAAAUUUAUAAAAAAAAAAAAAAAAAAAAAAAAAAAAAAAAAAAAGUCUUUUAAGCAAAAUUGAAACAUGGCAUUAUGAAUUAAUAAAAGCAUAGUUCAAAGAAAAAAAAUAGGUAAGUAAUAGUAGUACAAAGAUAGUUAGUUCCUAGAUAUUUACUUUACAAUUAAAAAUAAUAAAGAAAAAUAAAAUUUUGCUAGGUUUUAAAUGGGACUCUUAAAUGUCAAAUUAAAGUUGAAAACAUAACCCUAUUUUUUUUUUAUGUUGCAGACUUGUAGUCUUCCUCCCUUACUCAAGCUGCAGGUUCCAUUCCGAGCCUCCUUUAAACACUUUGCCUUAGCUUGGCACCCAUAAUAGCAACCUCCAACUGUUCUACAAAAAAAGCCUUCUAUUAUCUCUAAAUCAAAAUCUACAUUCAUCCAAAUAAGUAGAUCUCAAAUUAAAAAGCACAUAUUAGAUCUAAAAUUUCCAUCAUGUUCUUGGCUUCUUCAUCUUCUUCCCUUCCGUGCCAGAUCUGUCUGUUCAAUGAUUUUUUUCCUUCAGUUUUUCUGAUUUUUUCAUUGACCCGGUCCGGUUCACCAAACCGGCCGAGUCACCGGUUUUUAGCGAGUCAUACCGGUUUUCACCGGUUCAACUGCAUGACCGAUCCAAUAAGCAGACCGAACCGGUCACGUCCCCGGCUCACGGUUCAACCGAUCGGUCCGAGUUUUAAAACUAUGAUGACGUACGUGUGUCGUAGGGAGUGCGAUGGGAACCCAUUAGACAGGGUACUAUAAUGCACAUUCCCUUACUCACGUUUGUAAAAAAAAAAGUUUGUACUUGAAGUCAUAGUCUCGCGCGCAACGAGUUAGUUGCUUGUCUUUGUACCUUUUGGGUACCUAAACGCCGGUACCCACACUUUAACAACAACCAAAAGACAAUAAUUAAAAGAAAAAAAAACUUCACAAUAUAAUAAAAAUAUGAUCCAACCCAUGUGAUUGCUUUAUAGGCCCCUCAUAUUGCUCAACCUUUGAAAUAUUUAAAAAACAAUGAUAGAGUUGUAACUCUCGAUAGAUUUUAUACGAUUGAAAGUUACGGUUUAACAAAUCUGAUGAACUUUUGAUCAAUGCGAAAGACCUACAAAGCAAUCACCAUUGUAACAUGCCUACUUGCUUGGUCUAAAGAAAUGAGUACCGUAUAUAUGGUUGUUUUUUUUGUUGCCACUUUAUUUUGCAACCCUAUUAUCUACUUGUGCUCCAUUUAGAUUAUAAAAUCUGAAAUGUUUAAACGUAUUUUGGAGGGUUUUAUAGCGUAUUUAUGUUGUUGGGAUUAUAAAAUCCGAAAUUUAUAGAGCAUGUGACAAAUGAAUAGCAUGAAAAAAGAAGGUACCAUUUUUGUUUUUUGAAUGGGCUGAUUUUUAAGGCCUUUUUUAUACACUAUGUAAGUAGAACAUUGCACUUCAGACUUCAAAGUCUGCUAUCACGCAUCUGAAAAUGACCUUCAAUACCUUCAACUGUAGUUAACUGCAGUUUGCUGUUUAAUUUUUCUCUUUGAACUUUGAAGCGAACGGUAAUUAACUACUGUUGAAGUUAUUUUGAUUAUUUCCAGGAGUGUGAUAGCAAAUCUUUUAGUGUAAACAACAAUUUCCAUAUAAGUUUGGCUGUUUGGGCCCAUUUUGUGAGAUGGUAUGUUGUAUGGAGAUUUUUUUUCCUUUGAAUUUUGCUAUCUACGCGUCCAUUGUUUGCAAUCAGCACCCUAAAUUGGCGAAAAUAUCAUACUAGUAGUUAAUAUCAAAUAGUAAUUAGACCAAUCUAAAAAGUUUUGAACAAUACUUAACUGCUGUUUUGUGGGCAAACAGUUAUUAAUUGUCACUCAACCAACGAUAAUUUGAUUUUUGAGCAAUUAGAGGCUCAAGAACAACCUUCUUUUUCUUUUACUUUUGUUUUAUGUUAAAAAGAGGAUAUUUCUAGCAUUUCUUUUGUCAUGUAAGUCUAUUUUGUAAUCGCGUCCUCGUGCGCUUAGUUCAGCUGGUUGGGACAAUGCAUAAAAUAUGCAAGGUCCAGUGUUCAAACUCCGACCACUACCAAAAAAAGUCUAUUUUAUAAUCGUCUUUUAAAAAUAAGUACCACAUAACUUAUACCUAUCGGAAGCUGAUGUAAAAUUAGUUUACACUUACGUUACAUAUUCUUUUUACUCACACAACCAAACAUUGAAAAUAAAACUCUUAUUUUUCUCUCACUUUAUCUCCUUUUCAAAUCUCUCGUCUCACUUCCUUAGGUACCGAACAAACUAAAAAUUUGCUGAGGAUAAACGAAAAUGCAAAGAAAGAAAAGAGGUAAAAUAUAAGUAUCAAAACAUUUGGCCUGUGUUUUUAUGGCUUAGCUUUAUUAUCACAGUGCGUGAAAAGAAAAAAAUGAAAAAAAAAAAUUAUCAUCACAAGAGACAAAAAUAAAAAAUGAGAAAAGGAAAAAAAUUCGACGCCUGAGAGAUUCGAACUCUCGCGGGGAAACCCCAUGUACUUAGCAGGCACACGCCUUAACCACUCGGCCAAAGCGUCGAUUUGUUAUUUGGUGCUCGCAAACACAUAUAUAUACCAAUGUAUUAAUCGAGUCCAGUGUAAUUACAAUUGGAUUUUAUUUCUCUUGUAUCCAUGUUUAUUUAUACACAAAACUACUAGUUGAAUCUACAAUAAAAACAAUUAUCAUAUCUCUGGCACAUUUUCUUCUUUGUAGUUGAAUUUAAUCUUAUGGAUUUUUAGUUUUUUUUUUUUUUUAAUAAUAUUGUUAUUGACAAAAUUUAGAGUUUGUCAAUGAGAAAGUCUAUAUAGACAACAAUCACAAGUUUGAUGAAGUAAAUGGGUUAACUGAAACAAAACUACCUAUAAACAAAUAUGUAAGUUUUCUUUUUUGAAAAGUAAUUAACAACAAAUUUAUUCGAAAGUAAUGAGAAAAGUACAAAUGAUACUCAACCAUCGACUCGUUAAAAGAAAAAAAACUAUCUCUUAAUAAAGAACACAUAUGAGACUUCGAAAAUCAUAUCCGAGAAGUGAAUUUAAUAUAUCAUUUACUAAACCUUCUCUUAAAACUUCUUUAUUUACAAAAAAAAAUAAAAAAAAUCUACCGUUUUUAGCCUCCAAAAUCUUCUACACUAUAGUGUGCCAUAUCAAUAUUAAACCAUGAUGAUGUUUUUUGCUGAGAGAGAGAAUAAGAAGAGAAAUAAUUACAAAGGGUGGUGAUAGAGCCAGAAAGCACCACACAUGUUCCCACCCAUUUGAAAAUUUGGUACCAAAUCAAACUCGAGAACUUUGAAUGUACAAAACAAAUGGUCCUUCACUUACAAGGUACCUAGACAUCAAACACAAACCACUACCAAACCAUCAUUAAGGAUUCUCCUUUUUUAAAUAUUUCCUCUUGUCAUAAGUCUUCCAAGAAAUAGUUGUCAAGCGAUAGUUUAAACUAUAGGUGAAUCAAAACUCUUUCAAUUAGCUUUCAAACCCUUUUAAGUUGUCGAAGUUAAAAUAUACUUUUGUAAGAACUUUUUAUCAAGAUACAUAUAUACCAAAUUAAUCGGAAAAACUCUGAAAUAGUCAAGCACCCAAACCCAAUGGGUCAUCUUCAGGGUCAAUUAAAAACCCCGUCAAUGCAGCCCCAUAACUCUUGGAAUAAAUAUUUUUUUCUCAUUUAAAGAAAUUCUUCCACCACUUGAAAUCCCAACUCGAUGACCUUUCCCCCACGGAUCACAUCUCACUAAUGCUACAAGAUUUUCGGACAGACAAGGAAAAUAAUAUUGGAAAGACUUUUCUAAGCGCCUUGUUCAUCAACCAAACAUCAUCCCAAAAUUUGGUAUGAUCGUCAUUGCCUAUUUUUUUCUUUACAAACUCGAACCGAUUUUGAUCUUCCCUCUCUUCCCAAGUUCACACAAGUCUUUCCACCAAAUAGUAGCAUUUUUGUGAAGAGUUUGAGAGGAAGGGUUAUGGAGUUGGGAUAUGAUACUUUUUCUAUAAGAUAUAAUAUAACAAAAAAAAUGAGAUGCAAGACAACUUAUAAUUCAUGCAAAUCUGUCACCAGGCAAGCAAAAAAGGCAAAACAAAUUCACGCAGUAUAGUAUAAUAUAUAGUAUGGCCACAUCUCCUUUAUUGCAUAUAACUUUAGUUGGGCUCUAAAAAAAACUUAGUUGUAUUAGUAUAGCGUAUAGCACAACACAUGCUAUGUAGGAAGUGUUUGCCAAAUGUAAAGAAGAUCUUAACAUUAGACCCUACGACACACCGUAACAUCAAAAUUCAAAGCCUGAUGGUGAAAUUUAAAUUGCAUUGCAUAAGACUAGGGGUAAGAUAGCUAACUAAUGAGCGGAAAUGGUGAGACCAAAAAUAAAAUAAUAAAAUUUAUGUCUUUCUUUUAUCCAAUAAAAUGGAGUAGACACAUCAUACCUCCAUCAACAUGAAGGAAAAAAAAACAGCCAAUUUCCUGGCUGAAAGAAGAGGGAAACGUCCGUGGAUGGGUCUGCAUUCAUGGGCUUUUGAAGAUAGGUUUGACUAGGGCUAUUCAAAGUUGAACAAACCCAAUAAAAAAUCGCAUAACCGAACCAACUUAAAUCGAAACCAUAAAAAAUUGUGUUUGGUUCAGAUGAAUUCAUGCAAUUUUUUAACUCGAUUGUGCGGUUUCAUUUGUGAUUUUUAUUUUAACAACCAAAAAGAACCGCAACAUAAAAGAUCCAUUCCGACCCAAUCUCAACAUGACAUGUUUCUUAUUUUGAUGUAAUGCAACAUGUUAAUGGUAAAAUUAGCAAUUUGUACAUGAUAUGUACUCUUAUUUUGAUGUAAUGCAACAUGCUAAUGGUAACCAAAACAUGAUAUAUUUUUUAAUAUGUUUGUUUUUCUAUCAAUUUAUAGAAUGACAAAAUUACAAGUUUGAAUGUAAUUUAUUUUUUAGUAAGUUCAUUAAAUAUUAAAAGUGGAAAAGAAUCAGUGACAUUUUACAAUAUGAAAAAAUUAAUCGUAUCAAUGUAAAACUAGUAUCAAAUCACUACAAUUCUCACAUAAGAAAUUGUAUGUAACUUGUCAUGUUCCCUGGGUGGAACAUGAAAUAUAAACAUUAGGAGUACUUUUAGUUGCGUAUUUCUCGUAAAUAUCUAAACCAACUGAACUAAUCCAAACUGCAUUGGUUUGGUUUGGUUGAUUAUGUUUUGUUUUAAAAGCCAACCAAACUGAAUCACAUAUUUUUUCUCUUGUGGUUCAGAUGACCUUUAACUUCAAAACUAAACCAAACUGCAUCGUAAACACCCCUAGGUAUGACAACAAGCAAUCACCUCACUCCAUCAUCUAACGACUUAAGGGACAAUUGUUCUGGACUUGGUCAAGCUCAAUCCACUCACAGACCGAGUCAAUAGCUCCACCAAUGGAUUACAAUAUGAACUUGCCUUAUAGUCAUACUAUAGUGAAGUCGUUGAUUGAAUUAAGGUCAUCAAAUCCAGACGAAAUCAUGAUUUGUGACAUUUGUCUUCUAAGACAACUAUCUAAUUAAGGCUUUGGGUCCUAAAACCCUAACCCUCCUACUAUAAACCCUAACUCACGGUUUAGGCUCAUGUACAUUAUUCCUAACCCUAAAUCUUCCUUCUCAUGUGCUUACUUACUAGAUCGUCGCAAUGUUUUCAUGUACACCGCCUCCAUUGUGGAGCUAUCAGUCAAUCACCAUCGUUUUCAUGUACACCACCUCCGUUGUGGAGCUAUCAACUCUCAAAGCGUAUUUCUUAGGCUCGGUAAGGACCAAUAACGUUAAAAGAAACUUGAACAACUAACUUAAUAUACACCACUUUGGUUCAUUGUUUCAAAGUUGCUCGGUAGACUCUAAGAAUGUUUAAAUGAGCUUAUUUAUGUUUUUGUUUAAUUUAAUAUGAGGUCUUGAGUUUAAAUUCAGUCAUAAAACAUAACAAUGAUAAAUGUGGAUAUCUAUCCCUUGAAAUUUUAUUUUUGGUUCCCCGUUAGAAUUUAUUUUUUAAUAAAUAGAUAAAUACUACACAAGAACCUUUAUAUACCAAUCAUUUAACAUAAUCUAAAUAGAGUAAAGAAAAGUAAAGGAAACGUCAAAUGUUUGAUAAAGACCAAAGAUCUACUUAUAAGUUGUUGUUUUUUUAAUUUGGUAAGAAGAUCUACUUAUAAGUUAUAGCCCAUGCUUAAUUCGACUAUACUGUAUAAUUCAGAAGAAAAAACUACUAAAAUGAGUUGUUAUUUCCAUAAUGUAAUCUUUCAUGGCUAAUGAGAGUGACAGUUUUUGUGGUAGCACAAUCUUAAAUAAGGUAGUAACUACUAACUACUGUGCCAAUAGCUUGAUUAAGUUUUUCCCCCUAAAAAGAUCACUUUAUUAAGUUGGAAGUAAGGAAAAUGAUAGAUUAAUUGUGCUUCAUAAUGCAUCGACUAUUAUAGACAACAUUUAAUUAGUUGAUGCAACAUAUAUGCACUUCAUUUGUAAGCUUCUAUUUUACCAACAUUUGAUCAUAUGCCCAAAUGGAGCGACUCUUUUAUGGGCACAAUCUUAAGUAAAAAAUAUUUGGGCACACUCACAUCAAAUCAAAUGAAAACAUUAAAAAGAAUACAAAUAUGAAAUGUUGUUGAUUGAUGUGAUUACAUUAUUUUUGUUUUAAUUUUUUUUAUUUGGUGUUCUCAAAUGUUUUUGAUUUGGAAUUAUGACUAUAUAAAACUUGUUCGUACAAAUGAAGAUUUACCUUACAUCAAUUAGGAUUGAGAUUCCCUUGCCUUAGGGGAGUUAUGUAGUUACAUGUGAUAGACGAUCUCGACUGUUAAAGGACAGUUCAAAUCAUACAUAUACAAAUUGAGAUCAGACGAUAAAAAAUAUUAAUCGCGUUACACAAUUAGCAAUUAGUUAUUUUAGAUAAAAAAAAUUAUUAACUAAAGUUAUACUAAAAAUCAUUUUAACAAUGAUGUAUAUCAACCUACUUGGGUUGAUCUUGCGAUGUUGGCUUGAAACUUUGGAAUGUGCUCCUCUUUAAGGUAUCAAAUUCGAUUCUUUUCUAUGUAAAUUUGAGUGAACCAAUUUAACUUAUGAAAAAAACAAUGAUGUAUACGUGUUAAGAUAUGAAAUGGUAGAAACUUCGACAAGUUACAUAUGACCACAAAUACGAUUUGUUUAGUUAGCUCAAUUUGAAUUAUUAAGUUCUUAUUAAAUAAGGUCCCAUCCACACUACUCAAAGUCAUCGUCAAUGUUCGUUAUUUCUAUCAUGAGUUGUGUGAUAAAGAGUGAAUUUUCCUACAAUUAGCGUUUCAACGUGAGUUAAGAAACUGUAGCCUUUUCACUAAUAAGGCAAAAGUGUUUCUAUCACUCUUUCUAGAGAGAGACACAAUACGAAAACCAUAUUGUAAAUAUAAAGAGUAAACUAUCUUUAUAUGCAAGAGUAAUUGUCAAUAUGUUUUUUGGCAUGUAAAGCCUUAAUUAAUUAUGAUGAUUGCUACUUGUUAAUUUCUUCUACCCCUUUUCAGUAAUUAAGGUGUCUUCAGUUAAUUAAAUUUUCUAACUCAUUAUCAAUCAUACAUCAAAGAGCUUUUGCUUAAUAAGAGUGCAUUGAUUUUUUUCCAUAUAUACUUUUAUAAAUAUUAUUUGGGAGAGGUGUUGUUAUUUUCACAAAACUUCAUUUCUUGCAAGCAAGUUGUAGUAAUAUGAGAAUUCAAAUUAUACUAAAAAUUGUAAAACAAAAUAGUAUAAUAGGAAGAAGAAAAAAAAACUAUCAAAGGUAUAAUCGAAAAUUACUAAAAAUUUCAUUUUAAAAAAUAAAACAAUAUUUUUUGACUUUAUUGAGUGGGUUAGAGACUUAGAGAAACAUUAAAAAAAAUAGGGAACAGAAAGAGUAAAUAAAUCAUGCAUUACCGUUACAAAAAUAAUAUAUUUUCAUGCAUUGAUUAUGAUCAAGUAAAAUUAAAUGUUUGUCCAAAGUAUAAUAAAAACAAUUAAAUGUAAAAUUGACAUAUGACAGAUGAAGAGAGGCUGUCAACUUAAUCAAACUUGAAUAGUCUCUGUGUAUUUUAUAAAUAAUGAUGAAUAUUAAAUUCAAUAAUUUGCCAUAAAUAUUUUUAAAACAUAGUUCUAGUACCAUUUUUUUUGUUUUAAAGAAACUAACGACAAAACUCAGACACAUUAAAAUACUCAGAAGUGAAUAAUUGUAGAUUCAAACAUGCGCGUCGGCAUAUCAAAUAAGUAUCUAUGAACUAGCAGCACUAACUAUAGUUCUAGUAAAAGUUGUAAGUAAAAAGAGUGAUAAAGUUGAUGUAAAUCAGUGAAAAGUAUAUAGUGAAAAAACCAACUCCAUUAACUACAAACCAACCAGAAAAAUAAAGGAUUCAAAUAUUUUUGUGUGUAAAGAUUGUAUUUGUUCUCAUAUCAAAGUUGGUUGUAAAUAAUAAUAUACAAAAUUCAUUCACACCUCUCUUUUCUUCUUUUUUGAUGAAAGUAAAAUUGUGUGGUAAGUAACAGUAAUCCAGGCAUGAAAACAUGAACAAGCAUUAACUUUGACAUUUAAUGCUUCCAACUACACUUACCCCAUUUUCAUAAGUAGCAGUUUUAACUCAUUUAUUGCACCCUCUCUUUCUAUGUCCUUGCCGGUCACCACCCUCUGAACCACCCUUCAACAAUCCAUUUUCUGUUUGUUUUCUCCUUCUACCAAUUCUUAUAUCUCUUAUAGUCUUUUGCUACAAAAAAAGAAAAUGGUGCAACAAGAGUUUCUACCAACUUUUACAAAAUGUGUGUUUCAUUACAAGUUUAAGGACAAUAGCUUCACUUGAUAAAGAAUUGGAACUUGAAGCUAGCUUUUUCAUCUUGGUAAGUUCAACGACCUUUCUCUUUUCACCUUCCAAAAUGUACACAAGAUCCACUAAAAAGCCUUUGUUUUUGCCUGCAAAUAAGUCCUAGAAACCCACCAUGAAGAUUCUGAUUUUGCUAACUAUUUUACACACCCCACCAUUUUUUUUUUAAGUCUCUAUCUUCUACAUUACAAGUUUUUCAUGAAAACUUGUGAAAAAAACCAUAUCUUUGUGGAUGAAGUUUUUUAGUCUUUUUCUGAACUCUUUAAACAACAAUAUUUGUCAUGUUUCUUGCUGAGUUAUCAAUAGGUAUAUUUUAUUCAUCAAAUGAAAGGUGGAAGUCAACAAGAGUAUGUGAUGUCUCAAGUCCAACCAACAUUAUUAGUAAAAAUUCAACCUUUUUGGUUAUAAAAUAAAGUUUUUGAGUCUCUAGGUAUCAUGGGGUUCUCAAGAAAACAAUUCUCAACCUACCUUUUGAAUACUAUUUUAUUUGAGGUUGUUGUUUUUUCAUGGUUAUGGUCAAAAGUAACUGGUCUUGGUUCCAUGUCAUCAAUUGCUGUUUCUUAUGGAGAUAAAGGUUCUGCUUUCUGUGGCUUGAAAUCAGAUGGAUCUCACACUGUGACAUGUUAUGGAAUGAACUCAGCCAUAGUUUAUGGAACACCAUCUCAGUUUCCAUUCCUUGGUCUAACUUCUGGUGAUGGUUUUGUUUGUGGACUUUUAAUGAGUUCAAAUCAACCAUAUUGUUGGGGAAGUAGUAGCCAUAUAGAAAUGGGUGUGCCACAACCUAUGUUUAAGGAUGCUCAGUACUUAGAAAUCAGUGCCGGCGAUUAUCAUGUUUGUGGAUUGAGGAAACCAUUGACAGGAAGACACAGGAACUUUUCUUUUGUUGAUUGUUGGGGAUACAAUAUGACAAAGAACUAUGUGUUUGAUGGACAGAUUCAAUCGAUUUCGGCAGGUUCUGAGUUCAACUGUGGACUUUUUUCGCAGAAUCGGACGGUAUUUUGUUGGGGUAAUGAGGUUAGUACUCAAGUUAUUAGGUUGAUUCCACAACGAAUGAGGUUCCAGAAGGUGUCUUGUGGAGGGUAUCAUGUAUGUGGAAUCUUGGAAGGUGUGAAUUCUAGAACUGUUUGUUGGGGGAGAAGUUUGGGUUUGGAGCAAGAAAUUUCAUUGAUACCUAAUCAAGGACAAGGUGGUAAUGUUGAGUUGGCUCCAAAUGAUCCUAUGCUUUCUGUUGUUGGAGGAAAGUUUCAUGCUUGUGGCAUUAAGAGCUAUGAUCAUGUAGUGAUUUGUUGGGGGUUAAAUUUGAAAACAAGCACAAAAGUUCCUAAAGGGAUUAAAGUGUUUGACAUUGCAGCUGGUGAUUAUUUUACCUGUGGAAUUCUUGCCGCAAAAUCUCUUGAAUCUAUUUGUUGGGGUGUUGGAUUUCCAACUUCUCUACCUUUGGCUGUUUCACCAAGAACAAGAAAGUGUUUGUCUGCACCUUGUCCUCCAAGUUACUAUGAAAUUGAAAAGGAUCAACAAAAUGGUCUAAUUUGUCAAGAUCCAAAUUCUCACCUUUGUGUUCCAUGCAGUGGUGUUUGUCCUGAUGAAAUGUAUCAGAAAAGUGGUUGCAAUUUGAAAUCUGAUAUACUAUGUGAAUAUAAUUGUUCUGUUUGUUCUUCACCUGAAUGCUUCUCAAACUGUUCCUCCUCUUCUUCCAAUGCUGCUAAUGGUGGGAAGAAAAAUGAAAGAUUUUGGUCUAUGCAGUUGAUAGUUAUUGUUGGUGAGAUAGUAUUUGCUGUUUUUAUAGUCAGUGCUGUCUCUAUUACCGCGGUUAUGUAUGUUCGCUACAAGCUAAGAGAUUGUGAGUGUUCAACAAGACCGUUAAACUCGAUGAAGAGACUCAAUGUUAGUUCUUCGGUUCAAAAGGAUAACGGUAAGGUUCGACCGGACGCAGAGGAGAUCAAGAUAAGAAGGGCUCAGAAGUUUUCCUAUGAGGAACUUGAAAAUGCAACCUGUGGAUUCAAAGAAGAAUCAAUUGUUGGGAAAGGAAGUUUUUCAUGUGUGUUCAAAGGUGUUCUCAAAGAUGGAACAGUAGUUGCUGUUAAAAGGGCUAUUAUGUCUCCAAACAUGCAGAAAAAUUCCAAAGAGUUUCACACAGAACUUGACUUGUUAUCUAGGUUGAACCAUGCUCAUUUGCUCAACCUAUUAGGCUAUUGUGAAGAAGGAGGUGAAAGACUACUUGUAUAUGAGUACAUGGCACAUGGAUCAUUGCAUCAACACCUUCAUGGCAAAAACAAAGAGUUGAAAGAGCAAUUGGAUUGGAUCAGAAGGGUAACAAUUGCGGUCCAAGCAGCUCGAGGAAUUGAAUAUCUCCACGGCUAUGCGUGCCCACCGGUGAUUCAUAGAGACAUCAAAUCUUCAAACAUACUCAUUGAUGAAGAACACAAUGCAAGAGUUUCGGAUUUCGGUUUGUCAUUACUAGGUCCAACAGAUAGUAGCUCCCCACUGGCCGAGUUACCGGCCGGAACACUUGGUUAUCUUGAUCCUGAAUACUAUAGACUUCACUACCUCACAACAAAGUCAGAUGUUUAUAGCUUUGGUGUUCUACUAUUAGAAAUUCUAAGUGGUAGAAAAGCUAUUGAUAUGCAAUAUGAAGAAGGUAACAUUGUUCAAUGGUCGGUUCCAUUAAUAAAAUCGGGCGAUAUAGCUUCGAUUUUAGACCCUUGUUUGAAACCACCUUCUGAUAUAGAAGCAUUGAGAAGGAUAGCAAAUGUUGCUUGUAAAUGUGUGAGAAUGAGAGGUAAAGAUAGGCCUUCAAUGGACAAAGUAACAACAAGUUUGGAAAGAGCUUUAGCAAUGUUAAUGGGAAGUCCUUGUAUUGAUCAACCAAUUUUGCCAACUGAGGUUGUUCUAGGAAGUAAUAGAAUGCAUAAGAAAACAUCUCAAAGGUCUUCAAAUCGGUCGGCUUCAGAAAUCGAUGUAGUCGAAGGUGAAGAUCAAAGGUUUGAGUUUAGAGCACCUUCUUGGAUAACUUUUCCAAGUGUUACUUCUUCUCAAAGAAGAAAGUCUUCAGGGUCAGAAGGUGAAGUUGAAGUGAAGAUUGUUGAAGGAAGAAACUAUGGUAAUGUUGUUGGUGGUGGAGGUGAUGUUUUGAGAAGUCUUGAGGAAGAAAUUGGUCCUGCUUCUCCUCAAGAGAGACUCUUCUUGCAACACAACUUCUAAUUUUGGAGGAAGCAAUGAUUAUGUUGCAAAGAAUAUGAUAUUAUUAGUGGCUACGUUAAUUAGUGUUGAAUGUAAUUUUUUGUUUAACUUUUUCUGCAUUUGAGUUUGAUUAUGAAUGCAAAUGUGACAUUAUUUAGUUUUGUAAUUGUAUUGUAUCUUCUGAGAGCUAUGGUUUAGAAUUAGUGGAGCUUUCAUUCUUUGAUGCAACUUUGAUGUAAUGUUAAUGUAACUAUCAUCUCAUUUUAUUGACUGUAAAGCUUAUUAGCUGUGUCAAAAUCUAUAACAACAUUUGUUUUUGCUUCAUUUUUCCAACUAGAAAGAUUGUGAAAUGGUUAUUUUAUAACCUCUGAAGAAAUGAUAAUUUUGGUUUAUGCUGUAAUGGAAUAAUUGAGACCCAAAAUUAUGCAAAAAAAAAAAAAAAAAAAAAAAAAAAACAAGAUAUAAUACAAAAAAGAAAUUUGCCCUCACGCAGGAUCGAACUACGGACCUCCAGUUUACAAGACUGGCGCUCUACCACUGAGCUAUAAGGGCUUAUUGUUGAAAGAAAUCAUCCUCUUAUGUAUAUAACGUAAUAUACAAUGUAAUAAAUGACUUAUAAAGUUCAUUUAUGAGACAAUUUUGAUUCUCGGUGCUUCAGGGCCAAGUAAUACGGAGUUGAAUUUACAUUCCUUUCCUUGAGUAGAUGUAUAAUUUUAUCUUUUCGUGAAGGUGUUUUCUCUAGUAAGAUAAGGAAUGGACAAGAUACAAGAGUGCUCUUAAGUUGUUUGAUAAGAAAAACACAUUGAAAGUGCAUUUCCUUAUUCUUAUUUCAGUAUCCUCUCUGCUUAUCCACUUAUGGACUAUGGGUUUAUGAGACCUACUAUAGUUAAAAUUGUGCUUGUAAAAGUCAAAGAAAUUAUCCAUAAUAAUUGAGCAACAGUGAAGACUAUACAUUCUUGCCUCUCGUGUACCAUUGAUGAUGAGAUACAAGGUUGUUAGGAUUUCGAAAUUGGCUUCAUUCCCUUUUGUAUUAUGCACAAUUUGUGCAUAAUUUCAAGGUUAAAAUAUGGUUUUAGUCCCUGCAAAUAUGCCUCGUUUUGGUUUUAGUCCCUGUAAAAAGAAAAUUUUGAUUUUGGUCCCUGCAAAAUUUUUUGUUUUUGAAAAAAAAAAUUUGCAGGGACCGUUUUUAAAAACAAAAUAUUUUGCAGGGACUAAAACCAUAUUUUAGCCUAAUUUCAAUUACGACUUGGUAAGCUUCAUACUAUUUGUCUAUUCAGAGUUGAUGGGGGCAUGCCCAUACAUUAUUUGAACACUGAACAAACUGUUUCGUAAUGCAAUCUAUCUAAAAAUGAAGAUGUUUUAAGUAACGUUAAAAAGAAUAAAAGAAGUCUCAGAAGUGCAACUCAUGGUGAAAGAAAAAAAAAAAAAAAACCAGUGGAACUUUUCAUGUUUAGAGGCGCCGGUUUGAACUUCCAAUUCUCCACUCGAGCACAUAGUAUGUAUGAUUAUGAGCUUUGCCGUUAGACUCUUUAAAAAAAAACAGCCAUGAAUCAAAUUUACAAAAUGAACAAUGGAAUAAGAAAAUUCUAUCAAGGGAAUGCCAUGCUUGUUAAGAGUCGUCAUAUUGUUAGCAUUAAUUCACAAGAAUGGACUUAAAUGACCUGUACAUUGACUGAGCUAGUCUCUUCUAACAACUGAAGUAUCAAAGCAAAUAAAGCAAUCCAAUGAAUAUUGAAUUCCAUUGAACUUAACAAACUGAACUACAGAACUCACUUGACACCUAAAGUAAGCUGGACUGAGUUACAAGUUCAAUGGUCAGCAACUAUAUUAUUGCACAAUUUAUCUACCACAAUUCAUCCAGUGAUAAAAGAAUUACAAGUCUAGAUAACAGCCAAUUGAAACUGACUCUCUUGUUCUUUAGCUUCCAUCUCCUUCACACUCUCUACUAUGUGCUGUAUCUUCUUUGAGACGGCUUCAUUAUGCUCCUCGAUGCACUCAUAUAACAGGUCAAGGUUCCUUUUAUAGGUUUCAGCUCGCUUUUUCUCUAUAGCCAACUGUUGAGUUAGUUCUCGAACUCUGUCGUGUCCACUCUGGAAAUUGCAUGAAAACAAAUAUGUAAGAUGUGGGAGGGAAACUGAAAAGGGGUCCCAACGACAUGUAACACGAAUUGCUCAAGUUACUCGUACAUAAAUGUCUCAGAGAGACAAAUACAUUCAGAUGCACCCAAAGUAUCAAUUUGCUGUUGCCAAAAUAUUUACCUCGCAAAAUUACUCCAGAAACUCAAAGUAUCGAUUUGGGAAGAGAGAAAACAGAGUUAAAGAACUAAUCCAAAACUCUAAAUUAAGUGCAUAGACCCCCGGGAGUAAUUUUACUGAUUUUUCAUGUGUAUGGAUUGAUACAGAACCUCGAAGAUCAAUUAAAAUGGAAAUCAAUAAGCAUAGAUAUAAAACAUUGAAGUCUUUGGUUAGUUUCUCUUCUUGCAUAAACAAGUGUAAGUUAUUAACAGUAUUACAAAUAUGAUUGAUGAACAUCUUCAUAAAAAUCAGUGACGAGAUCCUUUAAAUUCUAUUAGUUGCAGAAGUAGCUCAAUGAUUUUUCAUUGUAAAAAAUAAAAAACUAAAGCCAUUUAAGGGCCUUUUGGUUUUUUAUUUCCAUCUCUACUUUCAUUUAAUCUUUUCACUUUUAAUAAAAUGCCACACUGUUUUACUAUGUUUCAUGUUUUUAAAUAAAGAUUUGUACACGAAAGAGUGAAAACAGAGAAAGGGGACAUAAACCAAACAGACCAAAAACUUUUCUAGAACUGCAAAUAACUGGGAGAACAUGAACUAACCGGAUAUUGCUCAUAAACGAAGUCCCUUCUGCCUCUUCCAGGUGUCAGAGGAUGUGUGUGCUCUUUUACAAACUUUGUUAUAGACCAUAGACCAGAAUUUAAUUUCCUCACCAUAAUCAUUGCCCUGCAACCAACCCUUGUUUCUGCCCUUUGCCUUACAAUCUUUUCACGCUUGUCAGGCAUUCUGAAACCUUCUUUGUUGCAAACUAGAGCCCGUCCAAUAACAGAUCCAUCGCGCCUUGAUCUCGAGAGCUUACUUACACGUAUGACGAAUCCAACACGUGUAGCAUAUGAAUUAUAAAAUGCAUGUGCUUCUGCUUCGGAUACAAACUCCUGACCGAUAUAGGGUUCAUCAAUUGUUCUCAUAACCGAUGUUACAGGAACUGCUGAGGCGAUUUGGUCCACUCCAGAAGAAUCUUGAGUCAUAGUAUCAUCUUGAUCCUGCUCAUCAGUUGGAUCAAAAGAACUGCAUUCAACUAUUUCUUUGUUAGCUAUGCUACUACCGACCUCUCCAAUAGUAGCAUUUCCUAGCGCCUCACCAUUACCAGAGUCAUAGAUCUCAAUCUCCACUGCACCAAAAAAAUAUUUGAUAUAAGAUUUUCAUUGCCAAGUGAUACUCUACAGAACAGUGUAUAAAAUAGAUGAAAUGCUGCUUCAGUGAUGAUAAAAAUUAUGAAAGAACUGAAGAAGAAACAUAUCGUAUUAAUUCCAAAAUUAUCCUUUUCGGAAACCCUAUGGUUUAAACUAAAUACUAUAAUGAAUCAAAGAGAGGAAACCAUACAAGUCAAAGUUGCUAAUACAGGAAACCCUAUGAAUGACACUAAAUAUUUGUCAAAUACCCUUCACUUCAACAAAUAAAAUCGAUUAUUAAUAAUAAUUUCCCCUUCCCUAGUUUCUUAAAAGAAAAAAAAAGACAAAUAAAACCGAUUACUAGUUAAGUUAGCAUGCUGAAUCCAAAAAGACUUUGCAAAAAAUCAAAGUGAAGGAAGAAUUCACAUAUUUCUGAAGUACAACAACAAACAUGCCAUAAAGAUCAGUCAAUUUAAAACAAAUAUAACAAAGCCCAAAAACCUAAAUGAAAAAAUAAUAAUUUACAAUCUUUAGAUAAAGCUUAAUGGCAUCCAGAUGGUUAUUUUCAUAUUUUUGAAAAAAACUUAAUCUUAAUAGAUUAAUAAAUUUUGGAUUUUGAUAAAACUUAACGGCAUCCAGAUGGUUAUUACUGAGUUAUAAGGUCUCACAAAUAUGUUUUAUUUGUAAUUUCUCCCAGCUCAAACAUAUAAGAAAGUUGGCGCAACAACUAAAAACAUUAUGACUCAAAAUACCUAUCUAUUACUAAAAGAAGCAAGCAAAUUUUAUUCAGCUUAUUGUAAAUCAAAUAUAAAUAAUGCUACACAGGCAAACGAAAAAUGCUAGAGUUUUGCAAAAAUUGGACCACAUUUUUGAGAAUGGUUAUGAAACCACUAAGCCAUCUGUUGUAAUUUGCCUUCAAAUUAGUGUUGCUGAAAACUCAUAAUCGUGACACGAUUUUGAGUGGCGCGUCACGAUUUUGGUGGCAGAAUGGAUGGUUUCUGCUGAAGGCAAAACAUGACGAGAUUGGUGCAGGCGUGACGCGAUUUGUGGAUAACGUUGUCGUACCUUGGGUCGUACUCAUCAAUCGUGACACGAUUUUGGGUAGCGCGGCGCGAUUUUGUCUGUCACUGUGUACUAUUUAAGUGUUUCAGCUCAUUUUUGAAGGAAGAUGAGAGAGAACUUCAAGAGAGGAAAACUUGGGAAAUCAAAGGAGGUAACUUUAGGGUUGAGGGUCUUUGAUUAGAGUUCUCUUGGGUUGGGAAACAUUGUAAACACCUUGGGUGAGUGAAAAUCAUUGAGUGUCUUGUUCAUUUGUGAGAUUGGGAAAAUGGGUAGAAAUUAGGUUUGUUCUUUGUGAGCUUGUUUAAGCUAAUUUCUUGUAACCCAUUUGUAUCCCUUUGUAAGAACUCAUUGAUAGUGGAUUGGAGAGAUCUAUCUCUCCCCCAGAUUAGGUCAAGUUGGACCUGGGUCAACAAUCUUUGGUGUGUUUGUUUCUCUCUUCUCUCUUUAUCUUUUGCUUGUGGUUUUGAGUUUUUCACUUUGAUUACUAGAUUAGAUCUAGGUGUUGUUAUUAUUGUUGUUGCUUGAGUUCACUUUGAUUUUGGUUACUACUUUCCUUUGCUCCACACAUCAUAGUUUGUAUUGGUGUGAUUUUGAGUCCGAAUUCACAACACCAUCAAUAGUUAACAAGCAAGCCAAUUGUUAAAAUUCUUAAAUUUGAUAAGCAUUUUUAACAACCUAUCAUAUCAUAGUGAACCUUUACCCACAAAAUUAAACUGCAAUAUUAUCAACAAACAAUAGGGUACAUCUCCAAAAGGUGCAUAAUGCAGUAUAUCUCUAUAUAAUCCAAGCAUAAUUGAAUUAAUGGGUUUAAUUAACCUAUGUUAAAACCUCAUUCUAUGUUAGCUACUUAGCUCAUUCACAAAAAAAAAAAGUCAGAUUAACAAAAUUAACAAAAAAAAAUAAAAAAAUUGAGCUACUUAGCUCAUUCUAUUUGAAAUUCUAUAGACAAAUUGAAAGAAAAGAGAUUCAAUAUAAGGCACGUAACGCAGUAAUUGAAAAGAAACUAAAAACCCUAAAAUUGAAAAUCGAAAUUGAAUUGAGAACCGAAAAUGAGAAAGAAAGAAAAAAAGAGAAGCUUACUGAGAAAUUAGUGUGACGCGGAUUGAAUUGAGAUGGUGAAUUUGAAAAAUAAAUUGAAUUUAUUAAUUUUUCGUUCUUUUUUGUGUUUGGUUCAGAGAAGAUUCACUCAGAACAUAGAUGAAGGAUUCGAUCAGGUAUGGAAAGAUGUAUGUAGCUUUCUGUGUACCGUAUAACAUGGGCCUGGGCCUAUUUUUUCGAAAAUUGCUCAAUAGGCCCCCUUAAAGUUUGUUUGAUAAAUUGAUUGAUUAAAGCAUUUUUUUUUCCUAUGUGUUAACCCUAACCAAAAUUGGAUUCUUCAAUACAAUUCGUCAUAUGAAAAGUUCAUUAGUUAUUUGAGUUCAAUCACUUGGUUGUUGAUUAAAUGGUGUACAUGUAGAGUGAAAUGUGUGUAUCACUAUUUGACAAUCAAUGAAAAUUAAAGUCCUCGGCACGAUCGAACAUAAACUUAGCAAAACGAUGUUUAAAAAUUGUUUGCGAUUUGUGCUCCUUUCAUGUUGAUACUAUGUACUCCCUCCAUCCUAAAUUAGAUGUCCUUUUGAGUUUUACACAGUAAUUAAGGAAAUGAUUAGUAGUAUUGAUUUUAAUCGUAAAAUGUGUUUAAUUUACUAUAACACCCUUAUUAAUUAAAGUUAUUACAGUAGUUAGAUAAUUGAAAUGCAAUAAAUAAGGGUAUGUUAGUGAAAAGGAAUAAUAAAUGUUUAUUUUCAAAAUGGACAAAUAAUUUGAGACAAAGAAAGUAGUUAAGAUGACACCUAUUAUAAGACGAAGGGAGUAUUUAAUUAACUAUGAAACAAUUUUCUUCAAUCGUCCAAUCCCAAAAAAAACUGUUUAUCAAAAAUCUCUAAAAAAAAUUAAAAACAAAAUCAUUUUAUUUUUAAAAAUCAAAACAAAGCACCCUUUGUAAGUAAAAAAAACAUGCAUAGUUUUAUUUAUAUGGGAUUAUCAUAAUAUAUCUUGACUUAUCUUUUAAAUUACAUAUAAACCUUGACUUAAAGGAGAUAGUCUUAGAGACAUUCGCUAUCAGUAUAAAUUGUCACUUCACUAACUAUAGCAACCGUCCCUUUAAAUUAAGGUUUAUAUGUAACAUGUAAAAGAUCAGUCAACAUAUACAGAAGCAGGUAGAGUUUUACCUCUACCGGCUGACGCAAACCAUCGGCUAAAGCCAUUAGCAUCAUUAAAAUGAAGACAACUCUCCUGUUUAAUUUUUUGUUGUUGUUUUGAUGCUUUUGUGCGGUGAAUGAUAGGAUGAUGAAGUUAGCGAGUGUAAGUUUAAAUUUAUAGAGUUUUUUUCCUAUGGUCAGCCGGGUGCGGUUAUGGUGCAUAAGAAAAUCCUUAUGCACCCUGCAUAAAUUCAGAAAUGGUUUUGGAGUACAACUCACAGAAACCAUUUUCACAGCAAAAUGGUUUUGGCAUAAUUUUAUGCAGGGUGUAGGAAAUCUUUAUGCAGGGUGCUGGAAACCAUUAAGUACAUCUAAUGGUUUUGGAGUACAACUAACAGAAACCAUUUCUGGAUUUAUGCAGGGUGCAUAAGGAUUUCCUUUUGCACCAUAACCGCGCCCUGGUCAGCCACCCCACCUUCCCCAUGCUAUCGAUACAUUACUUGGAAUUUCCUUAUGCACCAUAACCGUGUCCUGGUCAGCCACCCCACCUUCCCCAUGCUAUCGAUACAUUACUUGAUAUCAUCAAUAUUAUUACUGUUUACACAAUACAUUAUGUGUUUUGAAAAGGUAGUAAGAAAUGAAUGUCACCUUAGAGGAGGUUGGUAUGAAUUUGCAAAGAGUCUGUCUAAUAUAUAUAAUAUUUGCAUAUGUUAAACCAACCACAAGUGGAAACUUUUUAUUGAAAAACAAUAAUUAUUUAUUAAACAAUACAUAUUUAAUGUUAAAUGCAUAAAUUCAAAUGCAAACUUACUUUUUUGCAUAUACAAAUUUUCACACGAUAGAAAAAACUCAUUUGCAAAAAGCCAAAACUUCAAGUUUGAUGAUAAGUUGGUUUUUUCAAAAUUAUGCAUUGUCCAUACCAACUAAAUUAAAUUUACAAGGAGGAAUUGAAAAUUAACGUGGAAGUGAAAGUCUGGGUUGUAUGCUGUUUUUUUUAAUGAUGUGGAAGUUACGAGUAUGUCUUAAUCUAUGUAAUAUGAACAACUACGUGGUGUGUUAACAAUUAUGUUGUGUGUUUAAUUGAGGAUAUCCUAACUUGUAAAGUUAAGUUAUCACAAGUGUGAAUACACUCUUUUUAAGCUUAGAUGGAACAAAUAAUUAGAAUUGUGGGUUUGGUUUGCAAAACAGUAAGUAUUGGAAAAAACAACAUAAGAUAGAACAGUACAACACAAGGCAGAACAACACAAGAUAAAUUUUUUAUGGCAUUGAGUAAUUUUUUGUUUUAUAUGAUUUUUAGGGGACAAAAUGUUAUUUUGGUAUUUUAGACAACUUGUCCGUGAUAUAAAAAGUUGUGUUGUGGUUUGAUGAAGGACAAAAAUAUGAGUUUUUGUCUUGUCCCUUGCCUCCAGUUUGUCAUGUACCUGAAACGGUUUUACAAAUCAAACACUAGACAACUAGAGUUGUUAUGUCAUGUCCUUCAUUUUUUAGCAAAUCAAACACACCCUAAAUAUUGAUAUAUUAUAAAUGUUAAUUAUUUUAAUUAAUAAAUACAAAUAAUUUGUAUUAAAAUGUUAACCUCUCUAAAUUCCUCCAAAAACCAACUAACAUACAUACCCCAAGAUUCAAAUAUUUCGUAUAUCUUAACAGGUGCGUAAACAUUUAAGUCAUCCAACUUAUCAAAUUAAAAAGAAAAAUCAAGUCAUAUCCAACGAGAUACUUGACCUAUUUUCUUAACAAAUGAAUGGUUGUUUGUCUCUAUCAAUCACCAAAUUGAGAGCCUAACCAAACCAAAAAGAGAUUAUAACUCAUCCAAAUUCAACAACGUGCGGAAAUGAAAUGCAAUCGACGAUCCUUUUUCGUUGAGAUAUGUUGUGUGCCUAAAAACACAAAGAACACCAUAAUAUUUCAUCACGUUUUCCUCUUAGUUUUGGUCACUUCACUUUCAGAAUCUGGGGAUUGUUAAUUUUUUUCCCAAAAUUUGUGUGACAUUGCGUUCAAUGCUUUGCCUUUCCCUUUCCACUCUUUCUAACCUCUUCAGGCUUCAGCAUUACAUAUUUAUUCUUUUUUUUUUUUAAAGAGAAUUUUCAAGGUACUUAGAAAAAUUAGCUAUUAUUGGCACUUGGUAAGCCUAACUUCCUUUCUUUUUUAUCAUCACGUGGAACGUAACGUCUUUUAAAAAAACUAUAAUAACUAAAUAAAUUAUUACACCAUGUACAAUGAGAAAAAUAUAUAUAAGAAUAAAAUAUAAUUAUUAGGUUACUUGUGCAUGCACGUUAUAUUUUUUAUAAGGAUAUAUAGAAAGUUUACAGUUGCCAAAAUGCAAAAAAAAGUUAUGCUGGUAAAGAAAAUUUUCAAAAGUCAAAAUCCUAUCUUCUUUUUUUUUUUAAUCGAAGAUCAUAUCUUCUUAAUUUCACAAGAAAGUAUUACCUAAUAAAAACCUUUAAAAAUAAUAUUGAAUUCUAAAUUAAAAAAAAUAGAAAAUUAGUACAUUUCUUACAUGAUGCUUCUUAAAAGAGCAAGAGUUUAUAAAUAGAUAACUAGUUUUAGAGAAAUGUCAUUCACUUGUUGGUCAAAAAUAAUGACUUAAUUGAUCAGUUGGUCCCUUAACUUAAUUCUUUAUUUUAAAGUGGUCCCCCAACUAAAAAAAAUGUCUCAAAUUGGUCCCUUAUAUUUGCUUCCGUUAGCCAAUCUAGUCCAAUUCCGUUAAUUCUAACCCCUAAUGUGUAAGAUGGACCAUCAUUGAAGGUGGUCUACGAUAGACCUUAUUAAUCUUAUUAAUUUUAGCCCUUUAGUUUUUGUCUAUAAAUGAGAACCGUUGGAUCUCGCAUGCUUAUCGUAUCUUAUAGUAAACCACCAACAACUGAUUUCUUUUCCUUUUCUUCAUCUUCUUCCUUUCAUUUCUUCAUCAUCUUCAACAACAUCUUCAAAUACGUUCAUCAAUCUUCAAACAAUUAAAUCCAGAAAUAAUAAAAAAUUUAAAAAUUUGUUUAUCAUUUUCAAAACAAUACAAUUAAAUUUUUCAUCUUCUUCAAAACAACAUAGUUUAAUUCAAUUGAAUAACUCAAUUCGUUAAAACAACAUCAAUAACUUCUCAUAAAACCCAAAAAAAAUGCGUUGAAGUUACUGGUCACUACUUCACUCAAAGGUACUAAAUCAUUCUUCCUCAUUGUAGGAGGAACCUUCCAACCACUUCCCUUGGCUUCCUUCUUUGACCACAUUAUCCUAAACCCUUCACCUUACAAUAACAUUCACACCCUGUUAUUUUUCAUCGAUUUUUUCUCUCAAUUUUGGUUUUUUUUGUUCCCACAACCGAAUCCUGAAUCCUCGUACCCAAGGUUCUAUCCUAUUAUUUUGUUGUGGGUUUUAUGUUAAAUCGCUUAUUUAUUCAAAAGCUUUUUUUUUUGUUUGUUAUCUCUUCCUGAGUGAGAAAUUUGAUUUUUUAAUUAAGGUUUCUAUUUUUUAUUCUACAAUUUGAUUGUCAAUUCCAAUUAUCUAAAGCCUGAAUCACUCAAUAUAGUUUCGAGGUAUUUUUUUGCUAUGGUUGUUGAUGUGGGCUACUUUGAUGGGAUUGGUGAUUCAAUCCGAAUUGGGCGAGAUAUGUGCUUUGGUUUAUGACGGAACUUGCUUUGAUUGGUUCUGUCAUGGUUGAACUUGCUUUGUUUAUGGCUGAACUUGCUUUUCAAUGGAGGAAGAAAUUGAUGAAUUGGUGUGUUUCAAUUCUAGAUUUUUUUAACAAUUGGAUCCAAUUAAAUUUAGAUUUUUUUUUUAGGGAAAUUAAAUUUAGAUUUUAGUGAUCGGUAAAGGAUUCAAUCAAUUUUUUUAUUUUUAUUGGUUUGUUUGUUCAAUUUUUUUUGGGUUUAUAUGAACAUAAUGUUUAAGAUGAUGAAGAUCAAGAGGAAGAAUAUUGAAGGAGAAGAAGAAAAGGAAAAAAAAAAAAUUAGAUACAGGUGGUUCACUGUUAUAUACAGUGGACUUACAAUCAAACGGUUAAAAUCAUAUUAAAAAUGUUAGGCUAUAAAAAACUAACAAAAAUGACCACUUGGGUAAACGGAGAUAUACUUAUGGGACCAAAUCGAGACACUUUAUAGUUAGGGGACCAAAAUGAAAUCCAAAAAUAAGUUAAGGACCAAAUCAUGUAUUAAGCCAAAAAUAAUUAUAUAAAACCUUCAAUUUGUUGAAGUAUGAUAGAUAUUUUUAGCAAGUGUACUAAAUACUAUCGAAGUAAUAAAAAUAUCGUUCCCACAAAAACUGUGUUAAUCUCAAUUUAGAAAUAAAGUAAAUAUUUAGGAUGUAUAAAUUAUUUUGUUUAGAUUUUGUUUGAUUGCAUAAAAUUAAAUAACAUAAAAUAAAGAUUGAUUUAAAAAAAAAAUAGAUUUGGUUAGAAAAUAUGAAGAGAGAUAAGAUCAGGUCUUUCAAAUCAUUUAUGUUCCCCUAAUUGGUAUACUGCACCUAUUCUUAUGAAUGAUUUUCUAGUUCCACGAUAGUUAACAAAAUAGUCCUAAUCAAUCCCUUGAGUUAGGACCCUCUUCUCAAACUACAACCCCUAAUUCCUUAGGUGGUCUAAUAAUCUUUGAAGGUUUAAGCACGUUAACCUAAUAUCACUAACAAACGAUUAUCCAUUCCUAGACUAACCCUGUUUAUUAGAACAAUUCAAUUCUGUCUAAGUAGAAAGCUAUGGUCAGUAGUCAUUCAUUCUCACUAAAUCAUGUUUAUAUUUGAUCAGGAUAUAAAAAGCAUUAAGAACAAUUGAAUUGAAUAAAAACUAGAUUGUCAUUCACAAUAAAUAGAGUUUCACAACAACAUGGUUCAAUUAGGGUUACAAAGAAUCAUCUCAGACCUAAUCUCUAAGAGAUUUAGCUACUCAUAAUGGUGUUUACAAAUAGCAUAAUCAAUAGUGGAAUUAAAACAUACAUAAAUUGAUAGAAGGUUGAAGAAAUCGCCCUCCUAGCCGUCUUUAGGUCUCAAAAUUGCACUUUGCUCUCUCCAAAUCGUAACCCUUGUUUUCAGAAUAGUCUUCAGCUUAAAUAGGCACAGAAUUUCGCCUAAAAUCGUGGCACGAUUCUCCUUGAAUCGCAAAUUACUGAAUUAGGAUUUCCUCAGAUCGUGCCACGAUUAUGCCAUCGUGACAUGAUUUCUUCAAUGUCGAAGCUUGAUUUUGGUUUUCUAAAAUCGUGUCACGUUUUUACCAAAUCGUGGCACGAUUCUCUUCUUUGUAUUUUCUUCAGUUUUCUUCAGUUUUCUACUCUUUUGCUGCAUAAGUUGCCUUGUGAACUCCAAUUUGUGAUCAAAAUACAUAUAAAAAAGACUCUAGAAAUAGCGAAUGACGGACUGUCAUCAAAGUACGUCAAUAUAAUUUGAUGGUGGGGUUUAGUAUGGAAAAGGAAAGUUGUUUCAAUCCAUGGGAAAGUAAAUAUUAGCCAUUAGAUAAAGUAGAGAACAUAAUUUUAUCAUAGACACUCAACACCAAAUUGUUUACCCCACAUCCACUCACCAUUUGACGGAUCUCCUUCUUCCUCUCCUUCAAUCCUUGGCAGUGACAGAAAAAUAGAUUUUUCAAAAACCAUUCCCUAUAUUUCAAUGGCAAAACUUCCAUGGGCAUGGGCAUGUGAUUCUCUCUCAGUGACAAAAAAUUACACAUAAAUAAAUUAAAACAUGAUAGAAGAAAUUUCAAUUAGAACUUAUGAAAAGUGACAAGUUUUGCGAAUGGGGUUUGAAGUUUGUAAUUGAUCCCCACCAAGAACACGAUAAAAAACUAUUAUGGCAAAAAUUCCAUUGGGUCUGUGGUUCUCUCUAACCCCCGAAAGAAAUUCCUCCAAUCUAAAAUCCAAACCCAAAUUCAAUCCAAGGAUUUUGUUCUUUAUUUUGUGAUUGGUUCUUGAAAUUUUGAGUCUUUAUGUUAUAGUUUCAUUAUUUGAUUUCUCUGGAUCUAUGACUUUUUUAUUAAUUGAAAUUUGAAAGAUGGGUUUAAGUAAGUAUAAGAGGUUGUGGAUCAGUUCCAAUCUGUUUAAUCUAGAAAGAGACUCCUCUUUCUUCCACCUUCACUAUUUCAAGCUAAAAUCAUACUCAGAACAGAGAUGUUUGGCCAAACAACACCAUACAUAAAAUAUUUCAUUUGAUCCUCUUCAUUUUUUUCUCCACUUUUCUUGCUUGUUAGCAUUUAAUUUUCGUCAGUUUAUAAUGGUAAUAUUACUGGAAUCGUAAGUGAGAGAAGUGGUGAAAUCAAAAUUGAAGAUAAACUCUGUCAUAGUCAAAACCAAAGAUGGAUGCUUUCUUGAAGGGAUUUCCACACCUUUUUAGGUUGCAAGUGAAAAGAUGAUGAUGAUGGGAAGUGGUGGUUCCAUGGGAGUUGUUGAGGGUGGAGCCCAAUUACCAUGGCACCGUGUGGGUAGAGUUACAUGCAAUGAUUCUUCUUUUGUUUAGAGGUAACCGCUUGGAACUGCUACUCUUUCAAUGCGUUGCCGCCACUGUCUUGGAAUUUUUUCUCUAUCAUUGAAAUUUUUUCCGGAAUAUACACAGACACGAGAAGGAGAGGAAGAAGCAAGCAAAGUUGGGACAGCUAAUGGUUGGUGUGAGUGGGGCACGGAGAAGAUAGUUUAUGGAAAAAAAUUUGGUGUCGAGUGUCUAUGAUAAAACUAUAUUCUCCACUUUAUCUAAUGGCCAAUAUUUACUUUCCCAUGGUGGGAAACAACUUUCCAUUCCCAUACUAAAGUACGAAACAAUCGUGUUUUAUUUGGUACAAGUACAAAACAAACAUUUAGCAAUCAUCUUUUAACUUCCUGUAUUUUAUUUCACAAGUAGUGUGUCCGAAUAAAAUUGUUUUUGAACUGCACUGUAGGAUCUGUUUUAGACUUACAUUCUUAUGGUACUACCGCUCUAAUAUGACACUAUGUUCACUCUAGUAUGAUGAGAUUAUGAAAAUUCUAAUAUGAUAUUUUGACUACUCGAACUUCUAAAGGGACAACCUGAAAAGGGCAAAUUAUUUUGAAGGGAUUAAAAAAAAGUGACUCAAACUUGCGUCAUGCAAAGAGAUAAAAUAUGUAGCUUAAAAAGAAUCAAAGCUAACGUUAACACUUUGUGUAUAUAGUGCUAGAAACUAUACCCAAUGUAUGUAUCAAUAUGAAAUUUUUGUGUUUUUUCCCAUUUGAGUAUACUCUAAUAUUCAAUGUCGGAUUUUAUUGUUUUUUUUUAGUUGACACACACUAAUAUUCUUGAUCUUCCAACGAUAACUAAUUAUCAAUAGUUUUUUUUAAAGUCUCUCUUAUAGUUAUAUGUAGUAAACAAAAAAAACAAAAAAAUACUCAAAGAGUAUUCGUUAAUAUCAAUUAUCAUUGCUUGUUAAAAGUCAAUUGUUAAUCUUUCAUUUUCUUCGGAGGGUGCAGUCCUUUUCAACUUUGAAAAGGCACCUCUCCAGUCUCCACCAAUCGGGACAAUGAAUUUCUUAAAACAAUUUACUGCAUGAUUGCUGGUAGGUUUUAAUCGUUGGAUCAUACUCUUAUUUUUAUUUUAUGAAAUGAAUUUUGGAUCAUUUUUAAAGAUAACAAUUGACUUUAGAAAAUAUGAAAUAUGUAAGUCAAGUCAUAGAUAACUCAAUAAUUAAUAGUAAGUUUUUGCUAACAAGUGCCCUAAGAACAUUGUUUAAGGAACCCGAAAAAAAAGUUUAUAUUGAAAAUAUAAGUUAAACAUAUGUAGAUGUUAUAACUACACAAUUUUUAAUAUAAAAAUUACAAUUUUUGAAUGCUUAAACAAUGUCUUAAAGACCUUUGUUGGCAUUUUCCUUGAUGGUAUAUACACAUGUAAAAUAAAUUACGAGUUUUUGAAAUAGUUAAUUUUCUCACUUUACAAAAUAUUCACUUUUUUUAUGUGUCCGGAGAUCAAACCCCAAACCUUGUAUAUAUUAUGCAUUAUUCUUACCGACUGAGUUAAGAUCACGGGGCACAAUAUUUGGUAAGAAUAAUGCAUAAUAUUUAGAAGAUUAAUACCACCAACGUUUCUUUGUCCUCAAACUAAAUUGGGACGGGUAACCCGAUGGGUAACACGAACCCCGUGCUUAUUUCAGUUGUGUUCAUGUAUUGUCCCUUAUUUUUGUCCAUGUUUAUCUUACUGAUCAAGUCAAACCAGUGCCCUUGCGUUUGGGACAGGAUGUGUUACAAGAUCUGACCGAGUUUUAUACACCCCUAGGUAAAACCCAUUAUAGGUACAGUGACUAACUUAAAUGAUAUUUGAACAUCUAUUUAGUGACAACUUUCUCUCUCAUACUCACAUUAUUUUUUUACUUUAUCUCUCUAUUCCUUUGAUUUCCGUGCAAAUACCUACCUUUUCUCUGUAAAUUAUGGCUGUCAGAGAGUUGUUAACCAAAUUGAUUGUUCAAAUAACACUUCUCUUAACAUAUACAUUUUUUUUUAGAGGAAGCUUAACCUAUGCAUGUGAUGAGAGUAAAAUAAAAAUAUUUUUUUUUGUACCAGUUAACUAAUGGAGGCGAUAACAUUAUUGCAUUGAUUGCAUUUAGUUUUUAUGUUUAAAUGUAAUUUUGAUCUCUCUAUUUUUUAAUUCAGGUGUCAUAUACUCAGUCAAAGAAGCUUAUGAGUUGAUCUUUAAGUUUUAUUUAAUAUCAGAUUCUCCAUAGACAUCUUAGAAUAGUUUGGUUGCGUUAAAGUAACACUCUUUAUUUAGAGAUUGAUAAAUGACCGCCUUCAACUAUUGAUAAUUUGAUUUGUAGGGGUGUUUGUGAAUAUAAUAUCUCUUUUACACGCGGAAGGAUGUGUAAUAAAUGAAACAUCUAAUCCUUUGUUUUUUGACUCUCAUGUAUCACGUAAGUUAUAAUCGGACGAUUUGUCUUGAUUACAUUAGUUCUACUUUGUCAAACAAUACUCUAGUCAUGUUACUCAAUUUAUAAAUUUGGUUCCUCUUGAGAAAAAAAGUGAAGGAGUGUCUUCACUCAAUAUGGAUGGUUAGCUUGUGGAUUAUUUGGAAGCAACAUAAGAUAAACUUAAAGAUAUUCUUCUUAAUUUGAUGAAGCUUUUGAUGUGGUCUUGGAUUAAAAAUAAAGUUAUGGGAUUCUCCUACAAUUUCUAUCAAUUGAGUACUCAACCUCAGGUGUUUAGGUGUAACUACUCUUGGAUUCUUACUGUUUCUUUUGUUGGGUUAAUAGCGUCGUUAUGUUCCUGCCGUUUUCAGAGGAAAGGGUCUAAAUAAUUGGAAUUCGACAAUGAUGUAACUAUAGUGUGACCUAGAAUUAUUUCAUGCAAUAAUUAAACUCAUAUUCUUUCAAACAAUUCAUCAUUUGAGCGGUGCUCAUUAACCACUCGCGUUUAAUCAUUUCGUUAGAAAUAAACUUUUUGCUUAUUCAAAAAAAAAAUAAUUUAAAAACAAGAAUGAAAUAAACAAAUUAUAAUUUCUAAUUUCACUACGGUGAGUAACUUAAAUAGAAAUAAAUUAUUAUUUUAAAAUAAAUGAUGCCUGAUAGAUAUUUAUUUAAAAAUAAAAAUAAAAUGCUAUUUUAUGUUAUUUAGAUUUCUCAAAAAAAAAAAAAUGUUCUUUUAGAUUCACCAAUUCUCUAACAAAAAGAGAAUUCUACCAAAAAAAAAUUCACCAAUUAUUAGUAAUUUUACUAAAAUAUAUUUUAAUUUCAGUCAUGAAACUUAUCCAACCUAUUCCAAAAAGAAAACAAACUUAACAAACUUUUGCCAAAAAGAAAACAAACUUAUCCAACAUAUUGUCUUUUGACACAAGAAACUUAUGAUUGAGUUUUGAAAUUUAUUUCAAAAUCAAAUCCAGUAAAAUUAGACUCUAUCUCCAAUUUAAUUUGAGUUUUACCUGCUAAAUUUAAGGAAAAAAGGGAUAUACAUAUACACCACACAUACUAGUAUAUCGUAUUAUUUUUUUCAUUCUUUCUAAAUCAUGCCUAGUCAGCAAACACGCUAGUGGACAAUAGAAUUAUAUUUUUAGUUCAAAUCCAAAUGAUAACAGUGACUUUCGGCCUAAAAAAAAUAGAUAAAGGUAAGUUUAAAAUAUUAAAACAGUCCAAAUCCACUGUCCAUGCCCCCAACAAAACCGACGGCAAAUAACAAAAUUCUCAUAUUUCAACUUCUUAUUAUAUUUUCAAUUUGACUCUUCAAUCAUAAAUAAAAUCUGCAUCCACCUCAAACAAUAUUUUUUUUCUUUUGUUUUUAAAGGUUAAUUUUUUUGUGACAAAUAAUAUUAUUUGAUUAAUUAAAUUAUAAGCAACAACUAAGAUCUACCAAUCAAACGAAACAACUAUUUUUUUUAAAAUUUUUUGUACCAUUUUUAAUAUCUUUUUAUCUUUAUCAUUUUUUAGGAAUUAUCUAUAUCAAUUUUGUUUUUAUAGUUUUUUUCUUCACAAUUUUAAAUCAUAAGAACUCCUUUACCAAAUCAAAAACAAAGAACAUUAACACCUUUAUCAAGUCAUCAAAAUAAGAAACUCCUUAUUAUCCGAAAUCCAAAAUACAUUCCUUUAAAUGAUUUACUUCUUUUUCAAGAAUCAAAUCAAUCUUAUUAUAUUUUUCGAAUUAAUGGAUAAAUCCCUUAACUUUAGUAAUUUUAUUCUUAUCCCCUUUUUUUAUGAUUUUUAUGAAUUUGUUUUUUUAUUCUUAUCCAUCUCUCUACCAACUCCUUCUAUAAAUAUUUACCACCAAACCCCAUUCUUGUAUCACCUCUGUCACUCCCAAAACCCAAAACACUUUUUUUUCUCUCUCAAAAUUCACUCACUUUUCAAUGGCUUCAAGCAAUGGCAUCCCAACCACAGGCACUGGUCUCAUCGUCAGCUUCGGUGAGAUGCUGAUCGACUUUGUCCCAACAGUCUCCGGGGUCUCCCUCGCAGAAGCCCCCGGUUUCCUCAAAGCUCCCGGCGGUGCACCAGCGAACGUCGCCAUCGCUGUUUCCCGAUUAGGCGGUAAAGCUGCCUUUGUCGGGAAACUAGGCGAUGACGAGUUCGGUCACAUGCUUGCCGGGAUCUUAAAGGAAAACGGUGUGGUUGCCGAAGGUAUAACCUUUGACCAAGGUGCACGUACUGCUUUGGCGUUUGUUACUCUACGCGCCGAUGGAGAGCGUGAGUUUAUGUUUUAUAGAAAUCCAAGUGCUGACAUGCUUCUUAAACCUGAAGAACUCAAUCUCGAACUCAUCAGAUCUGUACGUAACAUAACAACUUUAUCUAUCUGUUAUGUUUUGUUUUUGUAUAGUACUUUGUUGUUUCGAUGUUAUUUUUGUUUGUUGUUGUUAUUUUCGUAUCUGUGUCUUGUUUGUAACGACUUCAAAUUCGUGUGUUGAGGUAAACGACAUUGACAUGUCAGCGUUUGUGUGUUCAUGUGGUGGGGUCCAUCAUUAGAUCUAGGACUAAUAUUACGUUAUGUAGCAGAGCUACCGAUACACGCUUUCAAAAUUUGUCUAAAUCCUAUGAUAUGGUUUUGAUUUUGUUUUGGUAGGUGGGGUUGUUGUUUGGUGUUAUUGUUACUAUGUGUAGAGUAAAUUACGGAUUCACCCUCUAAUCUUUUAGGAGUCACCCUAAAGUUGAUGAAGAUAAAGAGGCUUUUGAAUGAUGUUGACCAAUUUUGUCCUCAUGCUAAAUUAAUCUUUAAACCAUGUUUCUAUAUGGUAAAUUGGUCCUCAAAUUAUGCAGCUUAUUAGCAAAUUUAUUAGUAAGAUUGGUUGAACUCUUGAUCGAAUAGUAAGACUUAUUGGUCCAAUGAUAGAAACAAGUUUAUGCACUACCUAAUUGACCCUUUUACAUAUCUGCAAAAUUUAGAGAUGUUGGUCCCUAUAAUUUUAUGGACGAAUUGAUAAUUUACUCUUACUAUAAUUACUAUGUAGUAAUUUUUUACUCUCUCUUACACGUGCCAUUUGAUAGUUACCAUUACGUUGCAAAAAAAAAAAAAAAAACAGGAUUAGGAUGACGGAUCAUUUUUCGAUCCAGUUGAUUUUCUUUAAUGUUUCCUCAGAAUCCAACAAUAAUAGCAUACGACGAAAGCGUUGGUAGGUUUUAUCAGGAGCAAUUAUAUUUCAUAGGUGGUGUCCAAUUCUUUUUAUUCUUCUAGAAUUUAAAUAAUGCAACUUGUGGUUAUUCAAACAUUUAUAAAUAUAAAUUCGCAUGGUGUUUCACGCCGUGUUACAUCAUUGACUAGGUACAUUAUUUGGCAGCCUAUUCAUGCCAUGUGUAAUAAUCAAAUUCAAAUUUGCCUAGUGAACUAAAAAUUUGUUAAAAAAAUUCAUCAUUGUUAACGUUACUGCCUUGGUUGAAUUGUGUGAUUUACCAUUCGAGUAAUUAUGAAUGGGUUAGGUGACUAACUGAAACUUAAUUUUAAUUUGACAGGCUAAAGUUUUCCACUAUGGAUCCAUAAGCUUGAUUGUGGAGCCAUGUAGAUCAGCACACUUGAAGGCAUUGGAAGUUGCCAAAGAGGCUGGCUGCCUUCUCUCCUAUGAUCCUAACCUUCGCCUACCCUUGUGGCCCUCGGCCGAUGAAGCUCGCAAGCAAAUACUGAGUAUUUGGGAAAAGGCUGAUCUAAUUAAGGUUAGUGAUAAUGAGCUGGAGUUCCUCACUGGAAGUGACAAAAUUGAUGAUGCUACUGCUUUGACAUUGUGGCACCCAAAUUUGAAGUUGCUCCUUGUCACUCUUGGUGAACAUGGCGCAAGAUACUACACCAAGGUAAAAUCUAUAUCCCUACUCUUUAUUUACCUAUCACUUUUUGUACACUAUUGAUUGUUAAACUUUGUCUAAAAAUUGUAAACCAAAGAAUAUAUUUGUCUAGAAACACUAAUGAGUUUUUUUCCUGCCUCUUUUGCCAGAAUUUCCAUGGACAAGUAGAUGGAUUCAAAGUUAACACAGUUGAUACAACUGGUGCUGGUGAUUCUUUUGUUGGUGCUCUAUUGGCCAAGAUUGUUGAUGAUCAGGCCAUACUAGAAGUAAGUAUUUAGGGCUACCAGACCCCUUAAUAAACCUUCACAUUAGCUACUCAAAUUGAAAAACAUGUUUGAAUGAUUUUGUAUGUAAUUUUUUUCUAAUGUUCUCUAAAUGUCUGAGAAACACACUAUAAUGCUCCGUUUGAUUUUUUAUAACUGGUGAUUGAUUGAUUUUCACAAACUAAUUGCAGGAUGAAUCAAGGCUAAGAGAAGUACUCAAGUUUGCAAAUGCAUGUGGAGCAAUCACAACUACUAAAAAGGGAGCAAUUCCUGCUCUUCCCAAGGAGGAGGAUGUACUCAACCUGAUCAAAGCAUAGAUUCCUGCAUAUUUACUUUUCUUUCCAUUUUUUUUUUCCACCUUUUCAUUGUUGUUGCUCUUAAUCAAUUUAAGAGAGAAUUUGUCUCUAAUUUUCUUUGUUAUUUCUUUAUUUUCUGAAUCAGACAUCAAAAUUAUUGCCGAGUUUGGCCAAAUAAUGUUUAGGGAGUUUUGAUGAGUUAUUGAAUGAAAAUUUGAUUCAAGAGUAUUGCUGCUUCUUAAUCCAUAUUAUAUCUGUUAAAUUUUGCCUGUGUCCGAUUGUUUGACUGAGUGAUAUAUUAUUUGUUUUUCUUAGUGAAAAAGAAAAGAGAUUAGGUUCCCAACCAGUCGAUCUUACCUAUUUCAAAAUCAUUAGCACAAGAAAGGAGUGAUCUCUAAGCAAUGAUACACCAUUUGCAAUGAAUUAGUUGAUGUGAAUCAUCUUGAAUGUAGUGACUUGGCUGAACGUCUUGAUCUUAUUGGGUACCAAUUAUCAAUAUAACUGCACUUUCUCAAUCAACAUACCAUACAAGACAAUUUUUUUUUGUUCAAGAUUUUUGUUCAACAUAUAGAAUUACAUUCCAACAAAUAAAAGUUAUUUUCAGAUAAAUAUUUCCGCUUAUUUAAGUACAUACUGCUUUUUGAAGCAUGUUAGGUACUUUUGGGGACACCCUUUUGUUCUGCCUAGAUGCGGGACUCAAAUUUUGUUCUGUCUAGACGCGGGUACAACUAUAACACGAUAGCUUGAGGAUGACAUUCACUGACCUCCAUCUUUAAAGACUUCCAAACUUUUGGACAUCUUUCCCAUUUUGCCUGCAUGUGAGCUAGAAAAGCUUCUGCCCAUUGUUCUUUACUCCCUCUAGUGCUUAAAUCAUAAGGCACUGAAAAACUGUUCAAACAUGAUUAGAAUAUCAGCAAUAUGCUUAUUGACUGAACAAAGAACUCAGGAUGUGGAUUACUGUGUAUAGACGGAUACACUACAAGUCUACAACUAAAGUCCACCCAUAUGGAACUCGAAUAUCAACUAAGCCACAUCUCGUGAUUCAAUUGUCAAACAUUCUGAUGAACAAAAUGAUAUGUACAAAAAUCCACAAGUAGUAUUCACCUUAGCAGUUCUUCAGUUUGACUUCCUUUGUUGAGAUUACUAUUCCUGCAAGUGCUCAAAUUUUAAUAUAGUCAAUUUGUGUUGAAAUGCUUGAUAAGAAAAAAAAAAAAUGAAACAAUGAUGUGAUCUCAAUUCCCGAGUAUGGUUGAAUAGUUAUCAAGCAUGACCACAACCACAACUCUUUGAUUGGUAAAAUAAUCACAUACACACUAAAAGCGGAUAUCAUAGUAUCUUGUUAUGUCCUUUUAACUCCUUUCUUGGCCUUAUUUACCAUUUUUCUUACUUUAGGCUUCAGAGAAUGCCUUUUUUAUGGAACACACCACAUGCUGGAGAAUUUAAUACAACAAUUUCUACAUCACACCAAUAGCAGCAUUUUCAUAAAACAAACCUGCAGACAAACACUUGGAAAAUAUGAAGAUAUUUGGUUGAAAGGUUAUAAACUGCAUCAGAAAUAUGAUCUUUGCCGAACAGAUACACCACUGGAUAGCCUAGAAGCCAUCUGAAACAAAUAAAUACACUAAAAUGAGAUAGGCGACCGCAAAUUAGAUGUUUAAUAAGGAACAAAAAACAAUGUGCUAUUCUAUGGAACAACCAUAAAGGAGUUCUACGUUGAUAUGGAUCCCGGUACGAGAUUUAAAUUUUAAAGGAAAAAAUUCCAAUUCCUCCGUGCUAACAAGUCUAUAUGAUUAGACUGUGACAUACCUACAUCCACAACAGGGGACAGUACUAACAUAAACACACAGUGGCUUUCAGGGUAAAUAUAACAGCAUGGCCAGCCAUUUUUAUUCUAAACAUCCCACUCCUGGAAAGAACCAAGUAUGAUAUGGUUGAUAUGAACAGGAUUGAAAUCACCAAGUUCCCAUUCCCCAAAGAGUUAGGAAUUUGGCAUAGAUGAACUAGCCACCCAGCAGGAAAAAAUGUAUAAGCUUUAUAAUAGUACUAGAUGUGAUCUAAGUAACAUUACUUGUUAAUUCCCACAGACUCUUAACAUCAUUGAACAUUUAUAAAGACAUGGAAAAUGGAGUUUUAGUGCAGCUAUGUAUGUAACAACCAACAAGAAUUCAAGUGUGAGUGUCUUCCUUCCACAGAAAAUGGGGACAAAGCUAAUAACCUCGUUCACUGUAUAAAUCUGCAGCUACAUCAUUUAGUGAAACCAAUAUAACUAAUAUAGUAAAGUAAAAAAAAAGGUAAGGUGAUAUGUAUCUAGCUCCUCUAAAGUUAACAAUUGAAUUAAUAUAGUAAAGUAAACAAUCUUAGUCGUUGACCAAUUUUUUCUUUGUUCCACUAUCCGAACAUGCAUAACAAAUCAUCAAUUGUAUAGUGAGAGAUGUCUCUCAUUUAUAUAAACAUGUUUUUAGGCCAUAUCUCAUUUAAUGUGGGACUCUCAACACCUCCUUCACACCCAAGAUAGAACAUCUGAAGCGUGACCUGAAUGACUCGAUAGCGGAUAUCCCAACGGAUCUUGAACAAACUCUGAUACCAUCUUAGGAAUCAGAGGUUUAGGAAAAUGAGAGAAAGUUUAAGCCUUAGAGGCUAAGGAAUUAUAUUAACAAAGAUGGUGAAAUUGAUAGAAUGAGCUCUUACUGUAUAUAGAGCAACUAACUAUCUAGAGAUCCGGGACUGUGGAAGGCAGUCUGGAAAAUAAAUGUUCCCAGUUGUGUCUAUCUCUCUCCAAAUUGCAACAAAUGGAAAAAGUUAUAAAUGGAGAGGAUCUUAACCCGCUCAAGACAUGUCCAAACAGUUAGAGCUGCUCCUGACAGAUGAGAAUGUCCUGAACAUGGCUGCAAAAGUGAACAUUGACGUUCGGUGCUUCAUAAAUGGAACUACAGGAUGGAGAAUGACUGUUAGAACUUAGAACACAUAGUGGGACUGUUGAGUUUGCUGCAACUCACUUGGAAAAGAUCAAAGUUUCCCCAAACUUAGCUGAGGCUAUGGCAUUGAGUAGGUGCCUACAGUGGAUCCAAACAACAACUUAAAAUGAGCACAUAAUCAUUGAGUCUGACUGAGGAGUGAUUGUCAAAUGUUUACAUGGAAGAUUAAAUGAUGCUUCUGUUGCAAAAGUAAUCACAGACAGUUUGAAUUUCUGUCUAGUUUGGCAAAUGGAAAAGUAGUUUUUGUUAGCAAAAGUAGAAACGCUGCUGUUCUUGAACUAGUAUCUAUUGCUAGGCAACAUGUUUCCAAAUCGUGGGUGGGCUGUGCCCCUAAACCUGUAGCAAAUAUUGCUGGUAAUGAUUCUCUUGUUUGUCUUUGAAUGAAAGUUUUUUGCUGUAGAAAAACAAACUAAAUACCUAACUGAAGCAUUACUAAAUGUAAUCAACUAAUAUAUUUCAUAUUCUAUAGCGAAAGAAGUGAAAUACAGAAAAGGAGAAAAACACAUUGACAUAAGCAUAUAUAUUACCGGAGAGGAAUUACCCAUUCAAUGUUGGCACUAAGAUGUCAGUGUUUUCCAUACAAUAACUAAGAUCAAUGCACUCAGUAGAAGAACAGUGGGAACAAUGAGCAGAAGAGUUAGCAUCAUCCUUUAAUUUUUCCUCCCCAUUAGAGGAAAAAACCGUUGAAAACAGCUUCUGAAUUGACACCAUCUGCAUAGCUAAUUGGCUUUUCUCUAUUUCCGUUAUCAACUAAACACAAAAUUAACCAAACAUUCCAUUAGGAAUAAACACAUGAAAUUGAGUAAGAUUCUGUUCGGUAAAAAAUUGUGGAUAAAAGCAGCGGUUGAAUUAGGUUAUAAAUAUGAGAUGACAAAAGAAGUAUGCUUAAUUAAUAUUUAAUUUUUUUCAAUUAAGAUAACAAGGGCAAAAUUGAGAGAAAAAUGUGAGUUAUAAGCUUUAAGUUACUUGGAUUAGCUUAUCAAAAAACAUCAGCUAACAAAAAUAAGCUAUAAGCUAGUGAAAAAAAUGACAGUUAUCAAACCGGUCAUUUUAGUAGUAUGAGCUUAUAAGCUAUAAGCUAUCAACUAUAAGCUAGUUUGUUGUGCUUGCCGAACAUACUAGUAUAAGCUACUGUAUCAUAUACGUGCUUAUGUAUCAGCUAUUUCCAUUACAUAGAUAAAAUAAAGUCAGAAUAUUUUUAUCUAAGCAAGUUAUUUCUAUAAGCUAUCCUGAAAAGCUUAUGAAAUAAGCUAAAAACAGCUUAAGAACAUGUCAUAAUUAAUUUCUAUAAGCUAAUUCCAAAAAAGUCUUCAAAUAUUUAUGGCAGUAAAUAAACAAAAAUAUGUUAAUCUACCUGUGGGGAUUCAUGUUCAAGAUCAACAAAGAGCAAUUUCGAAUCCAAAGACGAAUUAACAAAAUGAGUUAACUCAGUUACAUGAAUGAAGUAAAUCAUUUCUUGUAUAACCAUUAAUCUUAAUUGUUGAAAAAUUUGGGAUUGAUUUUGAGCAAGUUGAAGAAGUGAAGAGAGUUGGUGUUGAAGUUGAGGCAUGAUUCCACCGUAAUCGAUCAUAACUACGGGUCUCAUUCUUGUGAUUAAGGCAAUGAUAUCUGUGAUGCGUGAAAUUGAAUUGAAUGUAAAAAAUAGAAUUGAUUGAAGAAAAUUGAAAGAGAUGAAGUGUGAGGUACCUAAUUGUAAACGACGUUUUGAAGAAGAUUUGAGGCUCCAAUUCAUUUGAGAUAAACAUGAAUCUAUUGUUUUCAUGGCUUCAUCCAACUCUAUCGCUUCCAUUUUCUUCUUCUACUUCUGAUUCAAUGUCAGUGCCGCGUUCUUCUUCUUCAACUUUUUUUGGGGGGUCAAAAUGGAACAUAGCAUAUGUUUGGUUCAAGGUAGAGAAUAAUUGAUUUGGAAUAAAUUGAUUCUUCACUAAAAAUAAGUUAUGUUUGGAUAAAUUUAUGGAAAAGUGAGGUGAAUUAUAAAUUUUUCUUUAAAUAUCAAUUUUAAAUAAAAAAUUAUGAAUUUUAGCUUCAAGUAGAAUUAAUUUUAAAUACAAAAUUAAUUGUAUUAGAAAGGAACCAAACAUAUUAGAAUCAACUAUAUGUCUUCAAAAUAAAAUUUGAACCUUCUAGAAGUUAGAAGUGGAACCAAAACGAGUUUAAGCAAAUAAAUAAGUUUGUACGUAUUAUUCAUAAGUUUGUCAAGGUAGUUUUUAUUAUUAUAAUAAAACAGCUUAUGAAGAUGCAAAUUUCGUUAGUGAGAACUAAUGAAUUGACAUAAAAACUUAUUGAUUUACAUAAACUGCUUUUCAUAAGCUUAAAAAUAAGUCAAUCCAAACGAGUCCUUAGUAUUUGAGUUUGAGAUAGACCAUAGGUCAAGGUCUAAUGGUUAUUCUUACUCCCUCAUUUUCUAUAACACACCAAGUCACAAACCACUUCGAGAUUUUAUAAUCAUAACUUUUUUUGUUCCCUUUUGUUUUCUUUUACACACUCACUGUAAUGAUCUCAAGGAGGUGCUCCAAAGUAUUCUCACAAUUUAAUAUUUUGAAUUUACUAUAAGACUAAUCCUCAACUCACCAGCAAUUUUUUUCCUUUUGUUUCAAAAGCGAUUCUAAGAAUCAAACUCUUUUUUUUUUUCCUUUAUGGAAGAGAGUCGUACUACCAACUAUUCUAACAUGAUUUUGAUAUCAAAAAGUAGAUUUUUAUAAGUUCUUACAAUGAACCGUCAUGGAACAAUGCUCCAGGAUCAUUUAAAACUUCAAUUGUGACUCGUGUAGGCCCAGAAGUAGAGUUCACAAUCAUCCUAGUUGUAAUUGUUUUUUUUUUGGUAACAAAGCUAAUAACAAAGAAAAAGCUGAAAGUAAAAAUACAGAAACAGAAACUAUGCUCUAGGAAACAGAGUUCCUAUGGCAUCAAAGCGAAUCAAAUCCAAAAGCUCAUGAGGUGGUGUGGCGUGGAAUAAGCACUCUUCAUUAGAUGAAGCUCCUAACUUGGCCAAAUAGUCCGCGCAUUGGUUUCCCUCACGGAGACUGUCAUACCCCAAUUUUGGACCGUUUAAAAUCUCUUGUCCGUAUUUUAAAAUGGUUCACGUUCCCUUUUUAUUCGUUUUUUUUACCAUUUAAAAUUCGGGUUUCUUGUCUUUAGUCAUUCAAAAAGUUUUUAUUUUUACAUUUUAAUCAACGUUCGCAUUUCACAACAAUUAAAAACCGUCUCACUUUCGUUUUUACGACGCAUAGUUUUUUUUACCGUAACGAUCACGUCAAAAAAGAGAAGGCCUAAUCGCUUUUUUUUAAAAAAAAGGCGUCUUUUCUUAUUAAUCAUUUCAAUCGAAAUUUCGGCAGGGAGGAUACUUUGAAGUACCUCAUGUCAGAUUCCGAAGGGACUUUUUAUUUUUUUAUUAUUUUUUUUAUUUUUAUUUUAUUAUUAUUUUUUUAUUUGUCUUUUUUAGUUUGUUUAUUAUUGUUUUAUUUUAUUAUUUUUAUUUUUUUAUAAAAAAAAAACACAACAAAGAAAAGAAGAAGACAUACGUCUUCCCUUUCUUCUUUUUCUUUUGCUUUUCUUUUUCUUUUUCUUUUUAUUCAUUCUUUUUAUUUUUAUUUAUUUAUUUAUUUGUUAAGCCUUUGUCCCCAAGUCUCAGCUGCAGGGGCAUUUUGGUUUUUGUUUUGUACCAGAGCCAACCCUAGUUUGUCACUAUAAAAACCCUGUCAAUCAUUGGGAAAUGGGCCAGAAGUCACUGUUCACGUCAAAAAAUCAGCAGCAAUUCACAAACACUCAUUUUCUACUUUUCCAACCCUUUUUCAGAUCAAACACUAAAAAUUACAAAGAAAUAACAUGAACACAUGAAGAACAUUCAUAUAUUCAUCAAAAUCCAGCAAUACCAAAACUUUACUAAAACCUCAAAACUAUUCAUAUAACCACACAAAUCACAAACAAGCAACCACAACACAACCGGACCGGAGCAACAACAACACAACCGGACCGGAGCAACAACAACACAACCGAACCAGAACAGCAAGCAGGCCGAACCGGAGCAGAAAGCGGAACCGGACCGUAAGGGAGCAGAAACGAACCGGAAGGAAAGAAGGGGACCGGAAAAAGAGGUAAAAAUUUCACAUUUUCAUUUGUAGAUCUAGGAUUUUUGGUGUAUGGUUUCGAAAUUUUGAGCUUGGAUUCGAGUAGAGGAGGGGAAGAGGAGUAUUUUGAUGUAAAAUUUUUUCGAGAAAAGCAAAAAAAAACUCCGGCGCGGCGGCGCUCCGGCCGGCCACCACGCCGGAGUUGCUCCGGCCGCCCCUCCCCCACCUUCUUCUCCGGCGAGAUUCCUAGAGAGAAGUGGGAGCUUCUCUCUCUAGGUUUUUAGAAAGAGGUUUUUUUUGUGAUUUGUGUUAUGUUUUUUUGUUAAAACUCUUUUAUAGUGUUUCUUUUUUUGGUUUGAUCUUGUGCACAUGCGCAUACUGCAAUUCAGUGCUCCAUCGCGUUACACCCCUUGGAUCUGGAUCAUUCCUUGAUCUGAGGGCUCCUGUGUAUCUUGAUUUUGGAUCAAGUGGAUUUUCUUUCUGCGUGAGUAUGGUGUGGUUUCUGUUUGGACCAUCAGAUCGUUGAUCUGACGGUCACUGUGUUUUCAGUAUAAUCCCUUUGUUUCUAUGUUGUUUUUGUGACCGUUGGAUCUUAGAUCCUAUGGCUAUGAUGAAUCCAGGGGUUUGAACUUGGACCAUUGAUUUAAUCCAAUGAUCCAGAAUUAAUCCUGCUGAGCCAUUUGUUUAUUAUUUUUAUUUGUUAUUGUUUUUACUUUUUAAAUGCUGUUUUUUAUUCUCUUUGACAUUUUUACGUUUAGAAAAAAUUCCAAAAAAUGUUUUUCUCACUAUUUUUAAUUUUCUAUCAUUGUUAAAAAUCCAUCCUUUUUUUUCCCUUUUAAUUUGUUUUUUUUUUUUUUUUUUAUUAUUAUUUCUUAUAUGAUGAUCUUAAAUUUUUUAUUAUCUUAAUUCUUGCUUAUUAUUUCUUAUGUCUCAUUCAUCAUAAUAUUCCUUGUGAUUACUAACCAUUUAAUUUUUGUCUUAAAUCAUAGCAUGCAUAUUCAAUUUUCUCAUCAUUUUAUUUUGUCAUUGACUUAGUAUGUAUAAAUAGGGAAUUGAUGUAAUUUUAUUUCUUGCAUUUUAUUUUGGCAUAAAGGCCUUAGGGUUGUAUUUAGGAAUUGAUGUAAUAAUGUAGGUAACACAAGCACCGACACAUGCACCGACACUACCACAUUUUAUUUACCGCUUUCCGUUAGUUUUUUACGACGUUACGUUAGUUUUCACCGUUAGUUUAGAAAAAUCAUUUUUCACAAAAAAAAUCAAAUAUGUCAAAUUCAAAAAAUAUUUUUUCUUAGCAACAUUUUCCCUUUAUUUUCUUAAUCAAAUUUUUAAUCAAUUUUAAUUCAACUUCAAUCAUUUUCAAAAUUUAAAAUCAAUCAACCUCACUCAUUUCUUUUAUCUCAUGCCUUGAGGCCUCUUUCUCUUCUUAAAACCAUUUUCAAAAAUCUUAAAAUCAACCUAACCCACCAAAGAAAUUUUUGAGUGGAACUACGUCGGUUUUGAUCCCUUUCCCAAAAAGGGUACGUAGGCAGAGGACUCGUCCUUCCAAAUCAAAUAAAAAUAACCAAAAACAUACUUCUUCUCCCUCCAUUCUUUCACUUAGACAUUAGGCAAUAAUUUUUCAAAUAAACAAGUAGUUUAGCACAAGAUAAUCUAGGUAAGAGGUUCCUAUGGAAUACCAUAGUCGUUUAGGGUGCUUAACACCUUCCCUAUUCGAAACCAACCCCCGAAUCCAAAGUCUCGAUAAGGGUUUUUACUCAUUUUUUCCCUUCCCAAGAAUAAAAAUCGAGAGUUCAAAGAUUGACGAUUCAAAUCAAUUAAUGGUUUGAUAUCCGAAAAUCGCGAGCACAGAAAUGGCGACUUCACUGGGGAUCUUAGAUCCUACGCGGGUUAAACCCACCUUACUUUCUUUAUUUUAUGCUUUAUUACUUGUUUAUACUUUGUAAAUAUUUGCUUACAUGUUUACCUUAUUACGUGAGGGGUGAGAAAAUAAGCUCUACACCCGAGCUUGAGGGAAAUAUAAGAUAGGAGUGGUAGACUCAUAGUGGCAUACCGAGAGUAUACUCGUGUCUUGUCACACGUGAGAUAACCACACUUAGCAAAGGAGCUUGAAGUAAUGUAUGUCGACGUGUGUUUUCACGUUUUAGACUUUAUUACUCUUAAGUUUCCAAUGAAGCUAAGAACCUUUUAGUAACCCUUAACCCAUCUUGGCCUUUUAGGAUGUAGUGCGGUGGCUAACCGAGUGUUUUUUCGGAAUUAGUCGACACGCGAUACUACACUCAAAUGAGACUUUCCUACGAACGUUGUUGGACCGGGUGUUUUCUCGGUAUCCGAUAAUAUUCGGAAGUGGUCAAUGACUUUGGGAACCUCGGUAGAACCCUUGUUACAAGUGCAAUUUAAACCAUAGUCCUUACCAAAUGGCGUUGUUACGUGGAACUUACCCUCACCUUGUAUUCUAUGUACUUGAGCAUUAUCAUACAUACAUGCAUUCAUUCAUAAACAUAUUUUCUCAUCCAUUAAAAUAUUGAAGGACUUAUAUAGGUUUUUUAUAAACAUCAUAGGUUAUGGAGGUUGUUGGAAGGAGGACCCACGGGUAUAAAUUCAAGGCACCGGAUACAGAGAGUUUAGAGGGUUUGAGGGGUUUGACGAAGAUGUUGAAAAAUCCGGGUCAUUUUCAGGAGCGGUACGGUAAUUUACUCGAUAUUCUCAAGACAAAAGUGGAUGUAAUGCUUCUCAAUACUUUGGUCCAGUUCUAUGAUCCGAUUUACCAUGGCUUCACAUUCCCAGACUUUCAGCUCUUCCCAACUCUAGAGGAGUAUUCCCAUUGGGUUGGUUUACCGGUGCUCGAUGAAGUACCCUUUCAUGCCUUUGGGCCCAUUCCUAAAAUCCCUACCAUCGCAAAAGCCCUUCACCUUGAAGUAGCCGACAUAAAAGACAAGUUCACAACCAAAGACGGUCUCCCAUGCUUACCUUACAACUUCCUUCACCAAAAGGCCACCACUUGUUUCGAGAAAUCCAAAACCGAUGAUUUUGAGUCUAUCCUUGCCCUGCUUAUCUAUGGCAUAGUCCUCUUCCCGAAAGUUGACAAGUUUGUUGACAUGAAUGCCAUACGGAUCUUCUUAACCCAAAACCCGGUUCCUGUUUUACUCGCUGACACGUAUGUCGCUAUUCAUGAUCGCACUAGUCAUGGAAAGGGGACCAUCGUCUGUUGUACACCUUUACUCCACCGCUGGAUUACUUCACACUUACCCCGUCCCAGUAUUAGACCAGAACCCAUCCCUUGGUCCCAAAAGCUCAUGACUUGGACCCCAAAGGACAUAAUCUGGUUCAACCCAUCUUGUGGCCCAGAGUUUAUUAUUGACAGUUGUGGUGACUUCAACAAUGUACCUCUUCUUGGUACGCAGGGAGGAAUUAGCUACAGCCCAAUUCUUGCGAGACGACAGUUUGGGUAUUAUAUGGAGAUGAAGCCUGUGUACCUCAUCCUAGAUAGGGAUUUCUUCCUCUACAAAAAAGAUGAUGCAAAUCAAAGAGUGCAGUUCGAGAAAGCUUGGCAUUCCAUCGUCAAGAAAGAUAAGAAUCAGUUAGGAAAGAGAUCGGUUAUCGCCCAUGAAGUUUAUGUCCAAUGGGUUAUUGAUCGAGCCAAUAAAUUGAAGAUGCCAUACCCACGACAAAGGAUCGCAACAUCAACCGUCCCAGCUAUACCUUUACCUUUACCUCCCGAGUCCUUAGAAGGGUAUCAAAAGCAGUUGGAUAUCGAAAGGCGUGAGAAGUCCAUGUGGGAAAUGAAGUACCGCAAGAAGGAUCAGGAGUAUGAGACUGUGAUGGCCUUACUAGAGCAAGAAGCCUAUGAUAGCCACAAGAAAGAUGUGAUAAUCGCCCAGCUGAAAAAGAGUAUCAAGGAGAAAGAUGCCGCGCUGGAUCAAAUUCCCGGGCGGAAGAAGAAACGCAUGGAUCUCUUUGAUGGGCCGCAUUCUGAUUUUGAGGAGUAGCUUGGUUCAGAGGCUUGAGAGUCUUUCAGUUUGUUUUUGAUGUUUUUGUGUAGUUACGGAGUCUAUCCCUUGGCUCAUUUUGUUGAAAGGGAAUUAUCUUGUUUUAUUUUGAAAGUUUAUCCCUUGGCUUUGUUGUUAGAAAGGGAAUUAUCUUGUUUUACUUUGAAAGUUUAUCCCUUGGCUUUGUUGUUAGAAAGGGAAUUAUCUUGUAAUCAACUUUGUUUUUUAUGAUUUGUUUAGGUUGGUAUGUUUACAAAACUGCUUCUAUAGGUCCUUCAAUAAAAAAAUAUAUAUAUAUAAAAAUUGCAUAUUUUUGGCAUAUAGCAUAUCAUGCAUCAUAUUGCAUUCAUAAAAAGUAUCAAAAACCAAGUCUCAUGCUCUCCUCAUUUCUGCCUCAGAAAAGAAAAGUGGCCCGGCGUAUUCAGUACAAACCCGCUCGCAUUCACAACACUCAAGCUCAUAUCAAGAAAAGGAUGUUAGCGGCAGAACAGGAAAACGCUCAGCUCAGAGAGGAACUGGUUAACCUCAAGGGGGAGAUGGAAAGAAUGGCACUUAUGAUGGAAACUAUGAUGGCUGAGAGAGAGCAAGCAGCAAUCUCCAAUUCAACUCCUGUUGUGGUCGUCACAGCUGCACCUGAGGGUCCCCCGCAACCAUCUCCGACUACUACUACAACUAUCGGCCUCACCCAGCCUCUGAUGACUGAUUUUUCUUCUGGUAAUAUGGCAACUAUGGGCAACUCAGGCUUCCGUCCUCUUGGCCCCCAGGGUCCCUUUGCUACUCCUCAGUAUUCCAUGCCUUCAGGCUACCCUUGGGGCAUGCCGAUUGCAACCAACGGGGGUUUUGGUCCAGGCGCUACUGAAAUGCCUUUCGCACAGGGUCAACAGACUUCGGCACAUUUCCAGAUGAGUCAACCGAUUCCUCAAGCUACCAUGACUCAAGCAGGUCCUACUGUGCAUGUUGGGCCACAACAUGAAGAACAGAUUUAUCACUCCGACAGUAUAAUGGGGGAUGAUAAAGCAAUCGAUUGGGAAGAAAGGUUCGGUGCUCUAGAGAAGAAGAUGAGUAAUAUGCGGGGAAAGGAAACAGUCGUCCAAAGCAUAUAUGACCUUUGCUUGGUACCAGAUGUAAACAUACCUCCAAAGUUCAAGAUGCCUGUAUUUGAGAAGUAUCAAGGGGACACAUGUCCACAAAAUCAUCUAACUAUGUAUAUUAGCAAGAUGAUAGCUUACAAGAAUAAUGUUCCCUUACUCAUUCACUGCUUCCAGGAUAGUUUGACUGGUCCGGCACAUACCUGGUUCAUGGGAUUGAAAGGAGUCACUACUUUUGAACAGUUGGCUGAGGCCUUCAUGCAACAGUACAAAUAUAAUACCUAUCUGGCGCCAAGUCGCAAGGAGUUGCAGUCCUUAACCCAGAAAGAUAAAGAAUCGUUCAAAGAAUACGCACAACGCUUCAUUCAAAAAGCUGCUCAGAUUCGUCCUCCCUUGGAUGAGAGGGAACUUUCAGAAUUGUUCUAUGAAACCCUGAGCCCUUGUUAUUCAGAAAAGAUGAUUGUCUGUGCAUCACAGAAGUUCACUGAUUUGGUGGAAACAGGAAUGCGCAUCGAGGAGUGGGCUCGUAAGGGAGCAGCUGUUUCGGGAGGUUCUUCAGGUGGUUCUUCAGGGGUUUCGUCCAAUGGUAAUAAGAAAUUUGGGAAUGGUUACCCAAAGAGGAAUGCCCAAGAGGUUAGCAUGGUGGCUCAUGGAGGACCUCAGCCCGUGUACCCUAAUCACCCCUUUGUUGCCAACAUCACCCCACAAAUGACCGCGCCCCAGAACCCAAACUAUCAAUCACCCAGACCUCAAGGACCUACACCAUACUACCCCCCAUUAUACCAACCACUAUACAACCUACAACAAUUCCCUCAACAACCAUAUUACCCCCAACAACCAUACCAACAAAGACCACAGCAACAACCCCGUCCUCAGGCUCCUUACAAUCAGCAGAAUCAAAGGCAACAAUUUGACCCCUUGCCAAUGACCUAUGGAGCAUUGCUCCCUUCUUUACUUGCACAGAAUCUGGUCCAAACAAUACCACCUCCUCGCAUUCCAGACCCUCUCCCACGCUGGUACCGUCCGGACCUUCAUUGUAUUUACCAUCAAGGGGCACCAGGCCACGAUGUGGAGCGUUGUUUUGCUCUUAAGAAAGAGGUUCAGAAACUGAUAAAUAGUAAAGAGUUAACCUUCACCGACCCUGAUGCUGUAGCUCAGAACAAUCCUCUGCCUACUCAUGGGCCUGCUGUUAAUAUGAUUCAAGAAGAUCAGGAAGAGGCUCGCAUUCUCUCUGUAGGUGAUAUCAAGACUCCUCUGGUACCGAUACAUGUGAAAAUGUGUAAAGCAACUCUCUUCAACCACAAUCAUGAAGCUUGUGACAUAUGUUCGAUGGAUCCUCGUGGAUGUAUACAAGUCCAGAAUGAUAUGCAGGGUCUCCUAAAUAGAAGGGAACUUGUGGUUACAAGGGAACCCGAGAGCAAGGACGUCUGUGUUGUCACUCCGGUAUUCAGAGCCAGGAGGCCGCUGGUGAUAAACCCUAACAGUACAAAGCCUGUUGGUACUCCCUUGGUAAUCUGUGUGCCUAGGCCCACGCCUACUACUGCUCAGAAAGCUGUACCCUAUAAGUACGAAGGCACGAUUCUUGAGCCCGGAAGUGAGACAACUUCACCUGUUGCUGUGGAUAAUAUCGCAGAGAAUAGCCGGAUUUUGAGGAGUGGCCGCAUGUUUCCUACGGUGGGUCCGAAGAGUGUUAGUGUUCCAGUCGAUGAGCCAGUAAAAGAGCAAAACGCCGGUAAAGGUAAAGCUGGGGAGCAAGCCAAAGAGUUUGACUUUGAUGAUGCCGAUGAAGUCUUGAAGCUGAUCAAGAAGAGUGAAUACAGGGUGGUGGACCAGCUGUUACAAACUCCUGCGAAGAUUUCCAUCAUGGCCCUGUUAUCAAGUUCUGGUGCUCAUCGGGAUGCCCUGAGGAAAGUACUAGACCAGGCAUUUGUGGAUUAUGAUGUAACUCUGGGUCAAUUCGAAAGCAUUGUGGGGAAUGUGACCGUGUGUAACAGUCUGACUUUCAGUGAUGAGGAUCUCCCGGCGGAGGGGAAUAAGCAUAAUCAAGCAUUAUUCAUCUCUGUACUUUGCAGAACGGACUCGUUAUCCAACGUCCUGAUAGAUACCGGCUCUGCACUUAAUGUGAUGCCCAAGUCAACUUUCGACCAAUUGGCGUACUCCGAGGCUCCUUUGAGACUUAGCAAGGUGACAGUAAGGGCCUUCGAUGGAACUAGGAGAUCGGUGUAUGGUGAGGUAGAUUUGCCAAUUUCGGUCGGCCCACAUGAAUUUCAGGUUACUUUCCAAGUCAUGGAAAUCCAGGCUUCUUUCAGCUGUUUGCUCGGCAGACCUUGGAUUCAUGACGCUGGGGCUGUGACAUCUACUCUCCAUCAGAAAUUGAAGUUCGUAAGUCGUGGAAAGUUGAUCACUGUGAGUGGCGAAUCGGCCUUUUUAAUCAGCAAUUUGUCUGCUUUCUCUGUUAUCGGUGGUAGUGGUUCAGACGGGCCAUCAUUCCAAGGAUUCUCUGCCGAAGAAAGUGUCGGUAAGAUUGAGACUUGUAUGGCUUCGUUGAAGGAUGCCCGGAGAGUAAUUCAGGAAGGCAAGACCGAAGGCUGGGGUCAGCUAGUGGAGUUGCCAGAAAAUAAGCGUAAAGAGGGAAUUGGUUUCCUUAACAGUAAGCCUGGGAUGUUCGACCCUACCAGAGGUUCUUUCCACAGUGCUGGUUUCAUUCAUGAUUCGCCAGAGACUAAUGCAAUUUUAGAUGAUGCACCUGGAGGAGUGACACCGGUCUUUGUGACGCCUGGAGGAGCUUGCUGCAACUGGAUUGCUGUUGACAUUCCUUCUGUGACACCCCGCUCUAAGUAAUGUGUUUGUCUUGUCUCUUGUUGUUUUUUGUUUUUAAGAAAACUCCUUUCGUUCUGCCCAAGGCGAAAGUGAAAUCAUGUAGGGCUUUGUUUUGAUUCUAGUACUUUUAUUACAAAUAAAAAUCGUCGUUUCUAUCACGGCCUUUAUUACUUUUUAUUUUUUGUUACUUUUUCUGGAAAAAAUGGUAAUACAAAAAUCCAAAAAAAUCAUUCUCUUUUUCUUUUAAAUUUCAAAACCAAAGGUCUGCAUUUACUCAUUAAAAUCAAUCAUGAAUCAUGUGCAGACUGAACAUAAGUGAAUCCGUUGAACACAGUGACCCCAUGCUUUCUCCCAACUUUGAGGUCCCGGUUUACGAGGCUGUGGCAGAGGAGGAUGAGGAGAUCCCGAAUGAGAUCAAAUGGAUGUUGGAACAAGAAAGGAAGACAAUUCAACCUCAUCAGGAGGAGAUAGACAUCAUCAAUCUGGGUACUGAGGAAGACAAGAAAGAAAUCAAGAUUGGGGCAUCGUUGGAUGUAUCUGUCAAGAAAAGAGUAAUUGAGCUUAUCAGAGAAUAUGUUGAUAUAUUCGCAUGGUCAUACAAAGACAUGCCGGGUCUAGACCCUGAGGUCGUUGAACACAGACUGCCUUUGAAGCCUGAGUGUCCUCCGGUAAAGCAGAAAUUGAGAAGAUCUCAUCCUGAUAUGGCCCUCAAGAUCAAAGAGGAAGUACGAAAGCAAAUUGAUGCAGGUUUCCUAGUCACAUCAGAGUAUCCUCAAUGGUUGGCCAACAUAGUGCCUGUUCCAAAGAAAGAUGGCAAAGUCAGAAUGUGUGUUGAUUAUCGGGACUUGAACAAGGCUAGUCCGAAGGAUAAUUUUCCUUUACCUCACAUUGAUGUAUUGGUUGAUAAUACUGCUAAGUGCAAGGUUUUCUCCUUCAUGGACGGUUUCUCCGGCUACAAUCAGAUCAGGAUGGCUCCUGAGGAUAGAUAAAAGACGUCUUUCAUCACGCCCUGGGGUGCUUUCUGCUAUGUGGUGAUGCCAUUUGGUUUGAUAAAUGCUGGUGCCACUUACCAAAGGGGUAUGACCAAAAUCUUUCAUGAUAUGAUUCACAAAGAAAUUGAGGUCUACGUAGAUGAUAUGAUUGUUAAGUCUGGCACAGAAGAAGAACAUGUUGAGUAUUUGUUGAAGAUGUUUCAGCGGUUGAGAAAGUACAAGCUCCGGUUGAAUCCUAACAAAUGUACUUUCGGUGUCAGAUCUGGUAAACUCCUAGGCUUUAUCGUCAGUCAAAAGGGUAUUGAAGUUGAUCCCGACAAGGUCAGAGCCAUCAGAGAAAUGCCUGUUCCAAAGACAGAGAAGCAAGUCAGAGGUUUUCUUGGUAGACUCAAUUAUAUCUCCAGAUUUAUCUCUCACAUGACCGCCACGUGUGGACCAAUUUUCAAGUUACUCCGCAAGGAUCAAGGGGUGAAGUGGAAUGAUGAUUGUCAGAAGGCUUUUGAUCAAAUCAAAGAAUAUCUGUUAGAACCUCCAAUUCUUGUUCCUCCAGUUGACGGAAGACCUUUGAUCAUGUAUUUAACAGUACUAGAAGAUUCCAUGGGCUGUGUUUUGGGUCAACAAGACGAAACCGGAAAGAAAGAGCACGCUAUCUACUAUUUGAGUAAGAAGUUCACUGAUUGUGAGUCCCGAUAUUCUGUACUUGAGAAAACUUGUUGUGCUUUAACUUGGGCUGCCAAGCGUCUCCGUCAUUAUAUGAUUAAUCAUACAACUUGGUUGAUAUCCAAGAUGGAUCCUAUCAAGUACAUAUUUGAGAAGCCAGCUUUAACUGGAAGGAUUGCUCGCUGGCAGAUGUUAUUGUCCGAGUAUGAUAUCGAGUAUCGCACUCAGAAAGCAGUCAAAGGUAGCAUCUUGGCAGAACAUUUGGCUCAUCAACCAAUCGAAGACUAUCAACCAAUCAAAUUCGACUUCCCAGAUGAAGAGGUUAUGUAUCUAAAAGCAAAAGAUUGUGACGAACCAGUGUUCGGUGAAGGUCCUGAUCCUGAAUCCGAAUGGGGUUUGAUAUUUGAUGGAGCCGUUAAUGUCUAUGGUAGUGGAAUUGGUGCAGUUCUCAUUACCCCUAAGGGUACUCACAUCCCUUUUACUGCAAGGAUUCGAUUUGAUUGUACAAACAACAUCGCAGAAUAUGAAGCUUGCAUCAUGGGUAUCGAAGAAGCCAUCGACUUGAGGAUCAAGAAAAUUGUCAUCUAUGGAGAUUCAGCUCUCGUGAUUAACCAGAUCAAAGGAGAAUGGGAAACUCGCCAUCCUGGUUUGAUUCCCUACAGAGAUUAUGCGAGACGAUUGCUGACUUUCUUCAACAAAGUAGAGUUACACCAUGUGCCCCGUGAUGAGAAUCAAAUGGCGGAUGCUUUAGCUACUCUAUCCUCAAUGAUCAAUGUGAACGGUCACAAUACUGUGCCAGUAAUCAAUGUCCAAUUUCUCGACCGACCUGCUUAUGUGUUUGUAGCUGAAGCAAUUGAUGAUGACAAGCCAUGGUAUCAUGAUAUCCAAGUUUUUCUUCAAACUCAAAAGUACCCACCUGGGGCAUCCAACAAGGACAAGAAAACAUUGAGAAAAUUGUCAAGCCGUUUCUUCCUUAACGAAGACGUUUUGUAUAAAAGGAACUUUGAUAGGGUCCUACUUAGAUGUGUGGAUAAGCAUGAAGCAGAAAAAUUGAUGUGCGAGAUUCAUGAAGGCUCUUUCGGAACUCACUCAUGUGGGCACGCCAUGGCGAAGAAGAUAUUGAGGGCUGGGUACUACUGGAUAACAAUGCACGCUGAUUGCUACAAUCAUGCCAAGAGAUGCCACAAAUGUCAAAUCUAUGCUGACAAGAUUCAUAUACCACCAUCUAUGCUCAAUGUCAUCUCUUCCCCGUGGCCCUUCUCUAUGUGGGGCAUUGACAUGAUUGGUCGGAUUGAACCAAAGGCUUCCAAUGGGCAUCGCUUCAUAUUAGUGGCUAUCGAUUAUUUCACCAAGUGGGUUGAAGCAGCAUCUUACGCCAAUGUGACCAAGCAGGUAGUGGUCAGAUUUAUCAAGAACAACCUCAUCAGCCGCUACGGUGUUCCCAACAGAAUCAUCACAGACAAUGGCACAAAUCUGAAUAACAACAUGAUGAAAGAGUUGUGCGAUGACUUCAAGAUUCAACAUCACAAUUCUUCUCCUUACAGACCACAGAUGAAUGGGGCAGUUGAAGCUGCAAACAAGAACAUCAAGAAGAUCAUACAGAAGAUGGUAGUUACUUAUAAGGACUGGCAUGAAAUGUUACCCUACGCUUUGCAUGGAUACCGUACCUCAGUGCGAACCUCGACAGGGGCAACCCCUUUCUCUUUGGUAUAUGGUAUGGAGGCUGUACUACCUGUAGAGGUUGAGAUCCCUUCUUUAAGAGUCUUGAUGGAAGCUGAAUUGUCUGAAGUUGAAUGGUGCCAGAGCAGGUACGACCAGUUGAAUUUGAUUGAGGAAAAACGUAUGGCUGCUUUGUGUCAUGGACAGUUAUAUCAGUCAAGGAUGAAACAAGCAUUCGAUAAAGGAGUCCAUCCCCGCGAAUUCAAGGAAGGAGAUCUUGUGCUCAAAUGUAUCAAAUCCUUUCAACCAGAUCCUAGGGGCAAAUGGACGCCAAACUAUGAAGGUCCCUAUGUGGUGAAGAGAGCUUUCUCUGGUGGUGCUUUAAUUCUUACAAAUAUGGAUGGAGAGGAGUUACCUCGUCCUGUGAAUUCUGAUGCAGUCAAGAAAUACUUUGUCUAAAUAUAUAAAAGAACAGCUCGGUAGGUCGAAAACCUGAAAGGGCGGCUUAAACCAAAAAUGAGCGUCUCGGUGGAUCGAAAACCCGAAAGGGCGGUCCAGGCAAAAAUUAGAGACAAAAAAAAAAAAAAAAAAAAAAAGGGGAAAUUAUCCUGAUAGAUCGAAAACCCGCAAGGGCGAUCUAUGCAAAAAUUAAGGAUCGAGACAAGUAACUGCAUCAGAUGAAACACCACUCGCCCGAGAUACCUUGACUGUCAGAAGUUCUCUAAUGUUGAAGCAUCCAAACUGUGGAAUUCAAAGUGGUUAGAAGUAUAGCGGUUAUUGUGUUCAAUGUGCCUAUCCCAUAUAAUUACCAUAUUCCAACUCUUUGUAAUCUGUGGUGCCAUGCCUUUAGCCGGUCACCUUUUCUAUUAAAUCAAUUUGAGCAUGUGCCCCUUUGUUGGAAUUCUUGUUUAUUCUAUGUGCAAAAAAUCUUUCUUUCGUUUUUAGUAUUAGUAUUUGAAGCAAAAAUUUUGAAAACUUUUCUAAAGAUUUUAUGUUUUCUUUCCAAAAAAAAAAAAAAAAAUGACAAACAUAUUAUCUUUAAAAACAUGUAUCACAUAAGUAUGUGUCAACAGUUGGUCCGAAACAAGCAGGUUCAACAAAGAAGAAAUAGUCAUUGCAAAAAAAAAAAAAAAAAAAAAAAAAAGAGGCGCCCUGGUGGAUCGAAAACCCGAAAGGGCGGUCCAGGUAAAAAUUAGGGGCAUACAAAAGAGAAAAAGAAAAAUGUCUCCCCGGUGGAUUGAAAAUCCGAAAGGACGAUCCAGGCAAAAGUUAGGGAUUUCAAAUAAAUACAAAAAGCAAUGACUAUUUAGACAAGACAGUACGGUGUUGCAUUGAUGAAAUGGCGACUUCUACCACAGUUUGUGAAGACUUACCUCAGCAGUAUGUUUAAGGGCUGUACCCUAACAAUGUUUGAUUCAUUCCCCGUGACUUUAUCCCCAUUGAAGGCUUUGAGUGUUCGUACAGUGAUGCCGGGCCAUUCUCCUCGUAGACCUGCCCAGUCCUGUCUCAACAAUCUUACCAUUACACCAUCAUAUGAGUCUCAUACAUAUUCAUUCAUUCAUGCAUACAUAGCACGCAUAUAAACACCAUCCAUACAUAGUUUCUUUUUUUUACCCAAUAUUUUGCUUCAUUAUCCUCAAAAUGGGUCUAAACUCAGGUAUGUUAUAAAACCAAUCAUGUUUCAAAGUGGCAGGUCUCGCCAGUAACCAGUCUAUACAGUUGCCCCAUCGUCUUCAGACAAUUUCAUUUUUCCCCUCAGGUGUAUCUUUGUCAAGUUAAUCCCCACUCAUAUCAAGCUUUACAAUGUCUUUACUUUAGCCACUCGUCGGCCCAUCAUGUCUUUAAUUUCGCCACUCGUCGGCCCGUCAUGUCUUUACUUUAGCCACUCGUCGGCCCGUCUUGUCUUUGCUUUAGCCACUCGUCGGCCCGUCAUGUCUUUACUUUAGCCGCUCGUCGGCCUGUCUUGUCUUUACUUUAGCCACUCGUCGGCCCAUCAUGUCUUUAAUUUCGCCACUCGUCGGCCCGUCAUGUCUUUACUUUAGCCACUCGUCGGCCCGUCUUGUCUUUACUUUAGCCACUCGUCGGCCCGUCAUGUCUUUACUUUAGCCGCUCGUCGGCCUGUCUUGUCUUUACCUUAGCCACUCGUCGGCCCGUCAUGUCUUUAAUUUCGCCACUCGUCGGCCCGUCAUGUCUUUAAUUUAGCCACUCGUCGGCCCGUCAUGUCUUUACGUUCGCCACUCGUCGGCCAAUCAUGUCUUUACUUUCGCCACUCGUCGACAAUCAUGUCUUUACUUUCGCCUUGAAACAAUGUUAUUAAACAUCAUCAUUUAUACUCCAGUCGUUUCAAGGUACCUCACAACAAUCGUAAGCAUUACCUAUCAUUUCUUUCCCCAGUGAUACCUAUCCAUUUGUCUCCCAGUCAGUCUUUGCAUCAUCUUUACCUUCAUGCUUAUAUCAUAUUCAGUCAUAUUAUCACAUUCAUCAGCAUCACAUCUCUGGCGUUUCAAAUGGUCCAAAAUUGGCGUUUUUAUAUAUUUAAGUCUCUCCGACCCUUUGGUUUAAAAAGUUCUCUUUUAAAACCUUUGUGACGAAGAAACUUAAAUAGGGGCAUCUGUCAUACCCCAAUUUUGGACCGUUUAAAAUCUCUUGUCCGUAUUUUAAAAUGGUUCACGUUCCCUUUUUAUUCGUUUUUUUUACCAUUUAAAAUUCGGGUUUCUUGUCUUUAGUCAUUCAAAAAGUUUUUAUUUUUACAUUUUAAUCAACGUUCGCAUUUCACAACAAUUAAAAACCGUCUCACUUUCGUUUUUACGACGCAUAGUUUUUUUUAUCGUAACGAUCACGUCAAAAAAGAGAAGGCCUAAUCGCUUUUUUUUAAAAAAAAGGCGUCUUUUCUUAUUAAUCAUUUCAAUCGAAAUUUCGGCAGGGAGGAUACUUUGAAGUACCUCAUGUCAGAUUCCGAAGGGACUUUUUAUUUUUUUAUUAUUUUUUUUAUUUUUAUUUUAUUAUUAUUUUUUUAUUUGUCUUUUUUAGUUUGUUUAUUAUUGUUUUAUUUUAUUAUUUUUAUUUUUUUAUAAAAAAAAAACACAACAAAGAAAAGAAGAAGACAUACGUCUUCCCUUUCUUCUUUUUCUUUUGCUUUUCUUUUUCUUUUUCUUUUUAUUCAUUCUUUUUAUUUUUAUUUAUUUAUUUAUUUGUUAAGCCUUUGUCCCCAAGUCUCAGCUGCAGGGGCAUUUUGGUUUUUGUUUUGUACCAGAGCCAACCCUAGUUUGUCACUAUAAAAACCCUGUCAAUCAUUGGGAAAUGGGCCAGAAGUCACUGUUCACGUCAAAAAAUCAGCAGCAAUUCACAAACACUCAUUUUCUACUUUUCCAACCCUUUUUCAGAUCAAACACUAAAAAUUACAAAGAAAUAACAUGAACACAUGAAGAACAUUCAUAUAUUCAUCAAAAUCCAGCAAUACCAAAACUUUACUAAAACCUCAAAACUAUUCAUAUAACCACACAAAUCACAAACAAGCAACCACAACACAACCGGACCGGAGCAACAACAACACAACCGGACCAGAGCAACAACAACACAACCGGACCGGAGCAACAACAACACAACCGAACCAGAACAGCAAGCAGGCCGAACCGGAGCAGAAAGCGGAACCGGACCGUAAGGGAGCAGAAACGAACCGGAAGGAAAGAAGGGGACCGGAAAAAGAGGUAAAAAUUUCACAUUUUCAUUUGUAGAUCUAGGAUUUUUGGUGUAUGGUUUCGAAAUUUUGAGCUUGGAUUCGAGUAGAGGAGGGGAAGAGGAGUAUUUUGAUGUAAAAAAUUUUCGAAAAAAGCAAAAAAAAACUCCGGCGCGGCGGCGCUCCGGCCGGCCACCACGCCGGAGUUGCUCCGGCCGCCCCUCCCCCACCUUCUUCUCCGGCGAGAUUCCUAGAGAGAAGUGGGAGCUUCUCUCUCUAGGUUUUUAGAAAGAGGUUUUUUUUGUGAUUUGUGUUAUGUUUUUUUGUUAAAACUCUUUUAUAGUGUUUCUUUUUUUGGUUUGAUCUUGUGCACAUGCGCAUACUGCAAUUCAGUGCUCCAUCGCGUUACACCCCUUGGAUCUGGAUCAUUCCUUGAUCUGAGGGCUCCUGUGUAUCUUGAUUUUGGAUCAAGUGGAUUUUCUUUCUGCGUGAGUAUGGUGUGGUUUCUGUUUGGACCAUCAGAUCGUUGAUCUGACGGUCACUGUGUUUUCAGUAUAAUCCCUUUGUUUCUAUGUUGUUUUUGUGACCGUUGGAUCUUAGAUCCUAUGGCUAUGAUGAAUCCAGGGGUUUGAACUUGGACCAUUGAUUUAAUCCAAUGAUCCAGAAUUAAUCCUGCUGAGCCAUUUGUUUAUUAUUUUUAUUUGUUAUUGUUUUUACUUUUUAAAUGCUG
rnacentral:lncRNA from 1 species